GCUGGACGCACCUCCUGGACGGUCUCGGCGGCGCGGUGCGCCUGCAUCUGCCCGCUGUCGGCGGCGGCGGCGGCGGUGUCAUGGACGGCCCCGGCGGCGUGGCCCGCCUGGUCGUGUAGCUGGGCCUCGGCCUGGCCGGAUUCGAAGGACUGCUUCAUGUCCGCCAUGGUAAGGUGAUCGAAGGUUGCUGCGAGUGAAAAGGAAGCUGAGAUGGAAAUGGGAAGUGGAGGUUGCUGGUGCCAAAACCGGGUGUCUUGCCCUGGGUUAUAUACGUGAGCGUUCUGCUAAUUUUCGGCGAAAGUGUGUGGGUCUGCGCGGUGGUAGGGAAUUCACAGAUGUAUUUCAUCGUUGUCGUCUGGUAUUGGCAGUUGGAUGGCUAAUUUAGAUGGCCCAGAAAUAGGAUUGGCUAAAUUAACGAUGGCCUCGCGUACACACGUUUGACAAGCAAAAUGACCAUGUCCGCAAAAUGUGCUCCCGGUUUCCACAUCCAAAAUGCAAAUAGCCAAGUGCCAUGUCUUAAAACAGAAAGGUUUUAAGACAUGACACUUGGCUAUUUGCACACGCAUUAAAAGUUCUAUGCAUACACUCACACCACCAAACACCCAAUGCCUACGGGAAGAUCGGACCGGAGUUCAUAUAAAACAUAAACUCAUGAGAGCAACUCCAACAGCUCACCUCAAAAACUUCCCGUAAAAUUGGUUUUAUGACACGGCCGUGUAAUUUAGGGAAAGUUGUUUGAGAGCUACUUUUGCUAGUUUCCCUAACACCUAUUUUAUUUUUAUUUCAUUAAACAAGCCUAGUGCCCGCAAGCCAGUCACAUAGAUGAGCGGCGGGGCCGCGCGGGGGCGCACCGGGGCGGAGGCGGGUAUGCGUGUGGCGGCAGAGUGGCGNNNNNNNNNNNNNNNNNNNNNNNNNNNNNNNNNNNNNNNNNNNNNNNNNNNNNNNNNNNNNNNNNNNNNNNNNNNNNNNNNNNNNNNNNNNNNNNNNNNNGCUAUCCAAUGGAACCUAGAGAGAUCACUAGCUAUAUGCAAUUUUCAUGAUUAUGACAAUAUCAUAUUGCUAUCCAAUGGAACCUAGAGAGAUCACUAGCUAUAUGCAAUUUUCAUAACCUUGGAUCAUAUUGAACCAAUUAGAUUUUUCAGAUUGUGGAACAUUAUUCCAAUCAGAUUGUGUUUCCUUCAACUAAUCAAAAUUGUUUCACUACAACUAUUUGAAGCGAACCAACUAUGAUUCCAAUGGAACAUAUUAAACACUAGUUGAUUCUAAUAAGAUUUUUCAGAUUAUGGAACACUAUUCCAAUCAGAUUGUGUUCCCCUUCAACUAAUCAAAAUUGUUUCACUACAACUAUUUGAAGGGAACCAACUAUGAUUGAAACAAAUAAACUUAUAAUGUCAUUACCUUAGAUCAAAGAAAGCCUCAAAACUUACCUCGCCCAUUGGAAGAUCAAGACAUGGUGUUUGAAACAUAGUUGGAUGAUGGCCAAAUUGUGUUCCCCUUCAACUAAUCAAAAUUGUUUCACUACAACUAUUUGAAGGGAACCAACUAUGAUUNNNNNNNNNNNNNNNNNNNNNNNNNNNNNNNNNNNNNNNNNNNNNNNNNNNNNNNNNNNNNNNNNNNNNNNNNNNNNNNNNNNNNNNNNNNNNNNNNNNNUGACAUCCCGCGGAAAGCUUCACCCAGGCUCAAAGAGACGGACGGAUAUUUUCAAGACCCAAGGCUUACCUGCACAGCCACAAGUCAUUAUGGGCUCUGGCUUGGUUGGACAACGCGGCGACUCUGGACAGGCGGUGCUAGCAGAUGCAGAAGAACGGUAGGAAUGGAUGGGCACCGACAGGGAUUCAGAGGGACCCGUUGAAAGACCAUGUUUUGAUCAUCCGUUCUUCAAACGCCCUGAAGUGCGAGGACAUACUCGGAGGCGAUCAAAUCUUGUGGGGAACGUGUGGAAAACUCUACAGAGUACUCAAACCUAAUCGAUUAGCCGUGUCCACGGUCAUGGACAACUUGAGCCAAAGGAACUGAAGUUAUCUGGAUUUCUCAACACCAUUAUAUAUAUUUGAUGAGGGUAAUAAUGAUAACUCGGGUAUGAGAACUGGUUGGCGGAACCAUCUCAUUAACAACCAACAGCGUAGUAAUAUUUUGGUUUUAGCCCUCUCUUGAUGUAGGAGAAAACUUGCUUUUCGCUAAAAACUUAUAGCCCCACCUGCCAUAUAUGCAUAUAGUAUAGAUGAUUACUUUGCACCCCUCUCAUAUGUGACUUGCCAGCAUAUUCAAUAUGCUGACCUACACGGCUGCAACGUCUUAUGUUGCAGAUAUUUUUCUUUGACGAGUAAGAGUACGAUUCAGGGUUACGGUCUACACUCAACUUGCCGUUGGUGUUUAUUGGGACUCCACUCCCUUGACUGCUUCCGCUGAGAUAUUUAAGGUAUAUAUCAGUUUUACGCUAUUUACAUGUGAUUGCACUUUGAUAUAUACAUUGAUGUACUGUGUGUGCCAGCAUACUGAUCCAGGGAUGGCACAGAAACACAGAGGCUUGACUCGUCUUGAGUCGGGUCGCUACAGAGAUGGUAUCACAGCACAUGUUGAGUGUAGGACGUCACCCUAGAAACUGGAAAUUUCUUACGAUGGGAUCUCUCGAAAAAAUCUUCUUUUCAAGAACACAUUUUACUUCUCAUCUCUUCUGAUUUCAUCAAUCAUUCUCUCUCACCUCCAAUAGUUAGACAAUACCCUUACCCCUUUGACCUCAUGGAGAAUCAACGAAGUUCUACUUCAAAGUAAAGAGGAUUUAAUCAUGCAUUUGAAGAAUUGAAGCUGCGACAAUUGAAGACUCUCAAGACCCGAAGAAUUUGAGGACCCUGAAGCGUUCGAAUGUUUAUAUGACCAUUAGAAGUCCAAACCCCUUUUAUAUACCCACGGUAGAUACGAUGAUUUGUGAGCCGUCAUUGGUGUGUGUUUUCCGACGGCCACAAAUAAAACCCACUCUCAAAAAUAUUGUUUGUAUUGUGUGUAUCUCCCUCCCUAUCUUACCUAUCUCAUCCCCAAAACCUCAACACUACCAGAGGAGUAUGAAGCUGGACUUGUAGUCUCUGGACCAAUGACCCAGGUGGAAGCUGAUAUAUGGAUCCAAAACAUGGAGAACCACUUCGGGAGCAACUUGAUCGCAAGGAAGUAUGAAGUGGAACACGCUCUUUAGUACUUUACACAAAGUGCUGCAAUCUGGUGGAAAAUGCAUCAUGCCAUACAAGGAUUUAGUGGAGCAGAAACCUGGGACGAAUUCAAGAGGACUCUGUUAAGAUCCCGUCUCAUUCGGAAGUGCUAUGAUAAUCCGAAGGAGAAUACUUGUGCAUGCAAGAUCUGUGGAGAAAUAGGACACACCCAGGAAGAACACAAGGAUGGAUGCACUCAUUGUGAAGAAAAUCACCCAGCUGAGGAGUGCCCAAGUAGUUAGGUGACUUGUUUCCUUUGUGAAGGAACCACCCACUACCCAGCUCAGUGUCACAUUUACCCCAAGGUGCAACAGGUUGUCAAGCAGCAGAAAGAAGCAGUGACGGAAACCCUUAAGAAGAAUAUUCUAGAAGAACCGGUGAUGAACGAAAAUAUUGAAGACCCUGAUGGACAAGGUCUGGCCAGAUUUUUCUCCAAUGCAUGCUACUCAUGUGGAGAAGAAGGACAUUAUUCACAGGACUGCACGAAGAGAAGCCAAGAGUAUGUGGGAAACUUCCCGACGGAAGAAGUGGAGUUUGAUCCACUUGAAAUAGAAGAACUAGCCAAAAUGAAGGAGUCCAAAAACAAGAAAAAGUACCAUCGGAAGAACCAAAUCUCUAUAGACAUAGACCUGAGUCAUGUCAGAUGUUACAAGUGCAUGAAAUUUGGCCACCACAAAUACAUGUACUCAGGAAGGAAGCCGGGAACCCAAGGAGCAAAGGCAAACACUAAGACGCCUCGAGACAUGUCAGAACUGAUUUGCUUUUGUUGCAAGGAAGCGGGACAUUUUGCUAGCGAUUGUCCACAAAGGAAGAAAGCUAGAAUGGAGUAGUUAAGUUUUGACCAUGGCAAUAAGUGUAAUCCGAAGCACUCUUUCUUUUCAUAAGAUCAUGGAGUGAAAUUUUUGUAACAGAAGUCCGUGAGAUUGUAAUAACAUCAUGAAUAAAUGGAAUUUAUUGUCUCAUGAUUUCCUAUGUUGAAAAUGUAUGCGUUGUUUCUCUACGAGCAAAGCUCUCUGAACAAUUAGGAGGAUAAGAGAAAAUAUGGUUUAUGCAGGCAUGAGUAUACUUAAUUUAAGUGUGGUAGUAAUCGGUAAACCCACAGGAUCCAUUGAGUAGGAGUGUACCAUGAUCUCAAGGAGCACCUCGGAAAGUUCGAGUGGAACUAAAGUACCUCCAAGAGAGGCAGAUGAAAAAAGUUGGCAGAAAUGCUCGACCAUACCGAACCAUGUGGAUGGCAGCAUUUGUAAUAGAGUACUUUUGAAUUGGAGUUUCUUUUGAGGAGAAAUUAAGGAAUGUAAUAAAGGAUUGAUUAUGAAAUGCAUAUGAUUUAUGGAAGAAGCUAUGAUGGAUCAGCAAACAUUUUCUUAGGAGCGUACGAAAACCUGAGAGUUGUGAAGAUACGAUAGAUGUUUCGUUCAGCUUGCAAACCAAUGGAUUAUCCGAACUUCGUUCGUGGACAAGAGAAAUUCUGCAACGCUUGUGAGAAUGCCCAAGUGUUAGAAUGCGAGAUUCGCUAAACCUUAUACAGAGAAAUGAUUUGGGUGCGGAAUGGAUUGAUCACCAUGACGACCUACUCUUAUCAUUUAUCUUGCUAUUCGUAAUGGUAAAUCUGAGAGACUUACCCAUAUAGAGAGACGCCGUUCUUUGNNNNNNNNNNNNNNNNNNNNNNNNNNNNNNNNNNNNNNNNNNNNNNNNNNNNNNNNNNNNNNNNNNNNNNNNNNNNNNNNNNNNNNNNNNNNNNNNNNNNAUUUGGUUGCCAGCCUGAUAUCGAAUCGUGCGCAUUUGGCGUUUGAUAAGCUUAAAGGUCUUGAUGUGUUUCCGACGAGAUUGUGUUCAGACAUUUCACCAUAAGAUCUUGGACUUGGGUAAGUCGUGUGUUUUGAACGUCGACCGGUCACUCCUUACUUUUUUGUUUUCGAGCCCAUCUUUCUUUGCGAGAAGAGUUCAAAAGGUAUGAGGCGGCGCCCUGGUCAAUCCGGAGCUUGUACAACUUCAAUACGUCCUCGGUUGGCCAUUAUUGCCACCUCUCCUGACCCACAGCUCCACCUAGCUCAGAGCACAAGGCCAUUAGCCAUGGAGGAGAACGGCGGUGUGCGGCACUGGAACGCCGACGUGAACGGCGUGUCCCUCCACGUGGCCGAGCAGGGCCCCGCCGCCGGCCCGGCGGUGCUCCUCCUGCACGGCUUCCCGGAGCUCUGGAUGUCAUGGCGCCACCAGAUGGCCGCCCUCGCCGCACGCGGCUACCGCGCCUUGGCNNNNNNNNNNNNNNNNNNNNNNNNNNNNNNNNNNNNNNNNNNNNNNNNNNNNNNNNNNNNNNNNNNNNNNNNNNNNNNNNNNNNNNNNNNNNNNNNNNNNGCGCCCCUCCUCCCCGGCUGCCCACCGCCCAUAGGUGAGUUUUUUUUAUUUAAUUAGAUUUAGUUAGUUGAUUUAGUUAUUUGAUUUAGUGGUAGUUUAGUUAGUUGUUUUAGUUAAAUAGUAGAUUUAGUCCUACGUUUAGUUAAUUAGUGCUAGGUUAUUUGUUAUUUGUUAAUUUAGAGGUUGAUUCUAUUUUGUUAAUUAGUGGUAGAUUCUUUUUUAGUUAAUGAUUGGUAGAUUGUGUUUUUGUUAAUUUUUUUGCUUUUUAGUGCUAUAUAGGUUUAGCGAUAGGUUAAGUGAUAGGUUUAGAUUCUACAUAGUCAUAAUUGAAAUAAGUAGAAACAAGAUGAAGAAUAAAAGAAGAAUAAGUAGAUAAGGGAAGAAGAAUAAGAAGACGAGGAGGAGGAGGAGGGUAAAAAGAAGAAGAAGAAGAAGAAGAAGAGAGAGUAGAAGAAUAAAGAAGACGAAAAAGGAAAAGAAGGAAGAAGAAGAAGAAGAAGAAGAAGAAGAAGAAGAAGAAGAAGAAGAAGCAGAAGAAGAGGGAAAUGGAAAAGAAGGAAGAAGAAGAAGAAGAAGAAGAAGAAGAAGAAAAGGAAGGAAGGAAGAAGAAGAAGAAGAAAAGGAAGAGGAGGAAAAAAGAUGAAGAAGAAGAAAAUGACACCCUGACACCUCGACACCCCGACACGAUGCCCGAAACCCUGACACGACAUCCUGACGACACCCUGGCAGAAUACGCCACCCCUGACACCACUGACCCCAACCCCCGACCUCCGACAACUCUUGGGCCUCUUGUUGACCGAAAAGUCCCCCGACCACCGACCCCUGACGCCACUGACCCUGGACCCCCGACGACACNNNNNNNNNNNNNNNNNNNNNNNNNNNNNNNNNNNNNNNNNNNNNNNNNNNNNNNNNNNNNNNNNNNNNNNNNNNNNNNNNNNNNNNNNNNNNNNNNNNNGGGGCGGCGUGGGACGACGCGGGGCGACGACGACGACGGCGAGGCGGAGACGGACGGACAGCCUGACGGCGUCGGGAUCGAAUGGAGAGAGGGGGAGAAAUCAAAAUUUCUAAACUGUCGCUUAUAUAGCCCCACCUUUAGUCCCGGUUGGUGGCACCAACCGGGACCAAAGGUCUCUUUUCAGCAGCCCAAAGGGCGGGAAGCAGAGGUAUUGGUACCGGUUGGUGGCACAAAUCGGGACCAAAGGUAUCUUUUCAGCAGCCCAAAGGGCGGGAAGCAGAGGCAUUGGUAUCGGUUUGUGGCACGAACCGAUACCAAUGCCUCCCUUUAGUCCCCGUUAGUGCCACCAACCGGGACCAAAGGCCUUGCGCGGUACGGUGCUAUGUUUAGUCCCACCUCGCUAGCCGAGAGGGGCUCGGAGUGGUUUAUAAGCCCUGCCGAACCAACCACUUCGAGCUCCUCUCUACGGGCCUAAAAUAACUCUAUGUAGUUGUGGACCUAUUGGGCUUACUGCGGGCCUGCAUCCUGGCCCUAGUAAUGAGUUUCUAGUCGUAUCCAUGCCCUGGUGGCCCUAUAGGUGGCACUUUUUUUAAUUUUAUUUCAUGUUUUUUGCUUUCUUUUUUGUUUCUAAUUACUUAUUUAUUUUCUUUUACGAUAAUUCUUUUUGCUAUUAAAGUUUGUAACAAAAUUCUAAUUAGUUAUUUAUUUUCUUUUAUGAUAAUUCUUUUUGCUUUUAAUGUUUUGAACAAAAUUCUAAUUACUUAUUUAUUUUCUUUUAUGAUAAUUCUUUUUGCUAUUAAAGUUUGUAACAAAAUUCUAUAUAAUUUUAGUUUCAAUAAUACUAGAGGCAAAAACUGGAUGCACUUCGUGUACAAAACGGACAAUCUCUUUGAAAGUAUCACGGUUUCAUACGGAAACUCGUCUCUUACAAAGGGAUUUCAUUUUUUAAAACUUAUUUGAACUCCAUAGUUUUUCUGUAUUCAAAAUGCACCAUUCAAAGCCACAUCAUCAAUUUACAACCCUUUCUGACUUCAUUUUUUAUUUUUCAUGAAUUUACUGAUUAUUUUAAGCUAUAAGACCAUGAAAUUGAAAAGCAUUUGNNNNNNNNNNNNNNNNNNNNNNNNNNNNNNNNNNNNNNNNNNNNNNNNNNNNNNNNNNNNNNNNNNNNNNNNNNNNNNNNNNNNNNNNNNNNNNNNNNNNGGAGGAGAUAAGGCCACGGGGAGGAGGAGAAGUAGGCUCGGGGCGUCGCGCUGGCGCUCCUGGGGGCCGCCAGCGGCGAGCAGGCAGGCAGGAGGUGGCCGGGGCUUGGCUGCCGUGCUCAUCUUCUCCUCUGCCUACUGGCAGGAGGAGGAAGAUGACUGGGGAGCCCCAGGUGGGCUGGGCCGGCGACACAUAGAAGGUAAGACUUUCCUUUCUAUUUUUCUUCUGUUUUAUUUACUGACAUUGUUUCCCAUUUAUUUUGGCUUCACAAUCAAACUAUAAAUAGUUUGAAAAAUGUUGGGGUGUUAGUUCGAAUAUUUCCAAUCACCCAUAAAGUUUUCAGCAUUUUUGAAAACUAUGUAUCUUUGAAUUCAAAUUCCAAACUUGAAAACAGUAGUCUUUUGCAUUUAUUUAAAAUGCCAAAAGUAUAAAGGAAAUGUUUUCCUUUAUUGCUUAUUUGUUUUCAAGAAUUAUCAGAAAAGUUGAACUUUUCUUGAGGCCAUUUUGGGUUCAUUGACUUGAAUAAGUUUAUAAUUCCUUUGAAUUUGAGAAGUGGCUAGGUUUUUUGAGUUUCCCUUCACCACUUACUUUGAUCUUGUUGCCAUUUUCUUGGAUGCAAUGCAAAGAAAAAUAUGAGCACAAUGCUAAACCUUGGUUAGGGUUCCAGGGAUGUGACAUCAGUCCACUCUGGAGUACCCCGGAGCUGGUUAUUUCCCUCCUUGGGAGUAGACCAACUUAGGCCAAAAGCCUAAGCUUGGGGGAGUACGUGUUCUCACCGACUUUACAUUCUUGCUUAUGCUUUCGCUUUGUUUGUCGGUGUUCACACUUUGCCAAUGUAUCAUCCAUGCUAGUUUAUUUUCUUUUUCUCGUUUUCUUUUAGUGUGUCUGUCUAGUUUGAGAAAACCCAAAAAGAUUUUCUUUUUCUUCUUUUGUUUGUUGGGAGCUUUCCCAUGUAGAUAGUUUUCAUUUCCUUUGGGUCAAGGUAGAAGAUAUUGGUUACAAUGUUUAGUGGCUCUUGCAUGCAUACAUGUUUAGCUUUCAAAGAGCCAUAUUACUUUGUCUUCUCCUUUGUGUUUUCCUGCUGAUUCCAGCUUAGUCCCAUGCACGAGCACACUUAUUAUUGUUCACAUCGUUCGGUCGUGCAAGUGAAAGGCAAUAAUGACGAUAUAUGAUGAAGUGACUGAGCCUGGAAAAGCUGGUAUUAACUCGAUCUAUUUUGUUUUUGUAAAUAAGACUAGCUCAUCAUGCCCGAUUCAGCUUUUUGUGAGAGAAACAUGUUUGCAAUGACAACUUAGAGAUCAUAGUUGCUUAUGCCAUGCUUACUUAGCUAGGAGCUUAUAAUUGUUUGUCUUGGAUGCCCACAUGAAUGUUGAGAUGACUGUGUUGUAGUAUGAUAGGAUGGUAUCCUCCUUUGAAAGAUUCAAGUGGCUUGACUUGGCGCAUGUUCACGCAUGUAGUUGAAACAAAAUUAACAUAGCCUCUAUGAUAUUCAUGUUCAUGGUGAUUUAUGUAUUACUCAUGCUUGCACUCAAUGCUAGUUAAUCUUAUUGCAUUUUGAUGACUGUUGUCGCUCUCUAGUUUGUCGCUUCCCAAUCUUUUGCUAGCCUUCACUUGUACUAAGCAGGAAUACUGCUUGUGCAUCCACUCCCAUAAGCCCAAAGUUGUUCCAUAUGAGUCCACCAUACCUACCUAUGUGCGGUAUCUACCUGCCGUUCCAAGUAAAUUUGCAUGUGCCACUCUCUAAAUCUUCAAGAAAUAAUCUGUUUUGCAUGCCUGAACCGCUCAUGUGGUGACAGGGGGCUAUCAGUAUCUUCCAUGCUAGGCGUGUUAUCCUCGAUAUGUGUUUUUUCACUACCAUUCACGAGAAAGGGGUCGGUAAUUGGAAUUCUCAGUUCCAUGCUCAAAUCGAAAAGAUAAUUACAAACAAAACUCCCCCAGGAUUGAUGUUGGUAUAGACGGUACCCGAGGAUUCGGCUAGCCGUCGAGAGUGAUUGAUUGGUGGUAGGGGAGUCAAAACUUUACUUUUCUGUUUGGGAACAGCCUAUAGCAUGUGUAGCGUGGAAGAUGUUGAGAACUAUUAGUCAUUGUGUUGACAACGAAAAGCAUGCCACCCAAAAUUAUUAUCUCUGUUUUCAAAGCUUGAGCUCUGGCACCUCUGCAAAUCAAUGCUUCCCUCUACGAAGGGCCUGCCUAUUUAUGUUCCUGUUGAGUCAUCCUCCUCUUAUAAAAGCACCAAUUAGAGAGCACCUUUGUCGUUUUUAUGCUUUGCUUUUAACUGUGUUGAGUAUGACUGUGACUAGAUCUUCAUUGACUUGAAUUACAAUGUUUAGUCAGCCCUUGGUCUUUGAAGGUGCUCUGCAUUUAUGUUUUGCGGUCUCAGAAAGAGCUAGCGAGAUACCACCUGUUCGUACUGCUUCAUGUUGUUUUGAUUGAAGUGUUGACAUUUGAGGCCUAUUAUUAUUUGCUCGCUAGCUGAUUAUGCCAUUGAUAUGAGUUUACCGUGUGUGGUUUGCUUGUGAUCUUGCUGAAAUUCUGGUUAUGAGUUAGACAUAGUUGCAACAACAAGAUCAAACAGAGUGCGUAAAAGUUUUUCUUUUGUCUCUUUCAGUUUGUCAACUGAAUUGCUUGAGGACAAGCAAGGCUUUAAGCAUGGGGGAGUUGAUACGUCUCCGUCGUAUCUACUUUUCCGAACUCUUUUGCCCUUGUUUUGGACUCUAACUUGCAUAAUUUGAAUGGAACUAACCCGGACUAACGCUGUUUUCAGCAGAAUUGCCAUGGUGUUUUUUUUGUGCAGAAAUAAAAGUUCUUGGAAUGACCUGAAAAUUUACGGAGAAUUUUUCUGGAAUUAAUGAAAAAUACCUGCACAAAGAUCCACCACAGGGGGUGAGCGAGUGGGCCACAAGCCCACUGGCCGCGGCCACCCCCAGGCUGCACCAACCAGGCUUGUGGAGCCCACGAGGCUCCACUGCCUCCAAACUCAGCUCUAUAUAGUCCGUUUUGCCAAAAAAAAAUUAGGGAGAAGGAUUCAUCGCGUUUUAUGAUACGGAGGUGCCGCCACCUCCUGUUCUUCAUCUGGAGGGCAGAUCUGGAGUCCGUUCUAGGCUCCGGAGAGGGGAAAUCGUCGCCAUCGUCAUCAUCAACCUUCCUCCAUUGCCAAUUCCAUGAUGCUCUUCACCGUUCGUGAGUAAUCUCAUCAUAGUCUUGCUGGACGGUGAUGAAUUGGAUGAGAUCUAUCAUGUAAUCGAGCUAGUUUUGACGGGGAUUGACCCCUAGUAUCCACUGUGUUCUGAGAUUGAUGUUUCUACUACUUUGCCAUGUUAAAUGCUUGUCACUAGGGCCCGAGUGCAAUGACAGAUCUGAACCUAUUAUGUUGUCGCCAAUAUAUGUGUGUUUUAGAUCCUAUCUUGCAAGUUGUAGUCACCUACUAUGUGUUAUGACCCGGCAACCCCGGUGUGACAAUAGCCGGAACCACUCCCGGAGAUGACCAUAGUAUGAGGAGUUCAUGUAUUCACCACGUGUUAAUGCGUUGGUCCGGUUCUUUAUUAAAAGGAGAACCUUAAUUUCCCGUAGUUUCCAUUAGGACCCCGCUGCCACGUGAGGGAUGGACAAUAGAUGUCAUGCAAGUUAUUUUCCCUAAGCACGUAUGACUACAUACGGAAUACAUGCCUCCAAUAGAUUGAUGAACGGGUGCUAGUUACUUAUCUCUCCAUGUUAUAGCUGUUACGUGAUGAAUCACAUCCGGCAUAAUCAUCCAUCACUGAUCCACUGCCUACGAGUCUUUUACUACUGGUCCUUGCUAUGUUACUUUGCCGCUACUGCUGUUACUACUGCUGCUGUUACUCUGUUGCUAUUGUUGUUACUCUGCUGCUACUGCUAUUCCUUGCUACUUCUGUUACUUGCUACUUUUUUGUUACCUGCUGCAAGACUAUUUACUGGCGCCAUUGAUUCAACAAGUCAGGAAAAGUCUGCCGUGAACAGACCCUUUUCUGGCACCGUUGCUAUCAUACUACUUUGCUACUGAUACUUUGCUUGCAGACACUAAUCUUUCAGGUGUGGUUGAAUUGACAACUCAGUUGCUAAUACUUGAGAAUACUCUUUCGCUUCCCCUUGUGUCGAAUCAAUAAAUUUGGGUUGAAUACUCUACCUUCAAAAACUGUUGCGAUCCCCUACACUUGUGUGUUAUCAGUAAGCAGCAUCAUCAUUAUCAUCACACCUUUUGAAGAGAGCUUCAUUUCGUAAGCACCCAUAAAAGCAACAAACUCUUCUAUUUGUUCCACAUCAUAGAAAUCAUAUAUACCAUUAGCAUAAGAAGCCAAGGUUUCAUUAGCAUUAAAUUUACAAGAAAAGGGAAGGUGUUUACCCUUCAUCCUAGAGCAACAAGUAAUACCAUAUCUCGAGCAUAGCUCCCAAGCAUACCAUUUCAACAUAUGCAUUUGAUCCCAUAAUAGUUUCCCUUUUUGAGUCAAGCGAUAAUCCCUAAAGUAUUCACGUUGAUCAAACGGGUAUCCCAUUCUACAAUUUAAUGGGGUUUUCUGAGGAUUAUUAAAGAAGUGCAUAAUAUUUUCCACAUAACGAGCAUCGAGGGUUUUAGGAGGUUCCCCAUCUCCAUGAGUAGGAAGUACACCUACUUUUUUUGGUAUUUCGUGUUCCAUAUCCAUAACUAAAGAUAGAGAACACCUUAGAACAGCAAAUAAAUCUACUUAGUGAUAAAGCAAACAAGCACACACGAGAAUAUUCACCCCACGCUAUUGCUCCCCGGCAACGGCGCCAAAAAAAGGUCUUGAUAACCCACGAGUAUAGGGGGUCAAUUGUACCCUUUCUCGAUAAGUAAGAGUGUCAAACCCAACGAGGAGCUAAAGGUAGGACAAAUAUUCCCUCAAGUUAUAUCGACCACCGAUACAACUCUACGCACACUUUACGUUCGCUUUACCUNNNNNNNNNNNNNNNNNNNNNNNNNNNNNNNNNNNNNNNNNNNNNNNNNNNNNNNNNNNNNNNNNNNNNNNNNNNNNNNNNNNNNNNNNNNNNNNNNNNNGAUCAAAUUAAGUGGGUCUAAUCGUGAGGCUGCAAUUGUGUGUGUGGUUUUGUGUACGCUUGACUGGUGCACUUAGCAAUGAAUAUGUUGGAUUGUUUAUUAGUAGUAUAGACAUAAUUUUAACGGAUAGAUCAAAUUAAGUGGGUCUAAUCGUGAGGCUGCAAUUGUCCGUGCGGAACGCUGGAUGCACUUAGCAAUGAAUGUGUUGAAUUGUUUAUUAGUAGUAUAGACAUAAUUUUAACGGUUAGAUCAAAUUAAGUGGGUCUGAUCGUGAGGCUGCAAUUGUUAGUGUGGUUAUGUAUACGUUUGGCCGGGUGCACUUAGGAAUGAAUGUGUUGGAUUGUUUAUUAGUAGUAUAGACAUAAUUUUAACGGUUAGAUUAAAUUAAGUGGGGUCUGAUCGUGAGGUGCAAUUGUCCGUGCGGUUGUGUGUACAUUUGGCUGGGUGCAUUUAGCGAUGAAUGUGUUGGAUUGUUUAUUAGUACUAUAGAUAUAAUUUUAACGGUUAGAUCAAAUUAAGUGGGUCUGAUCGUGAGGCUGUAAUUGUCCGUGCGCUUAUGUGUAGCUUGGCCGGGUGCACUUAGGAAUGAAUGUGUUGAAUUGUUUAUUAGUAGUAUAGAUAUAAUUUUAACGGUUAGAUCAAAUUAAGUGGGUCUGAUCGCGAGGCUGCAAUUGUUCGUGCGGUUUUGUGUACGUUUGGCUGGAUGCACUUAGCAGUGAAUGUGUUGAAUUGUUUAUUAGUAGUAUAGAUAUAANNNNNNNNNNNNNNNNNNNNNNNNNNNNNNNNNNNNNNNNNNNNNNNNNNNNNNNNNNNNNNNNNNNNNNNNNNNNNNNNNNNNNNNNNNNNNNNNNNNNUGAAGCAUAAAGCACCAUGUUCAAGUAGAGGGUACAGCGGGUUGCGGGCGAGUGGACCGCUGAAUAUAGAUGGGGGAAGGUGAUGGAGGUGUUGGUGAAGAUGAUGGAGGUGUUGGUGUAGAUCGCCGUCACACGAUGAUGUCCCGGGCGGCGUUCCGGCGUCGUUGGGAGAGAGGGGGAGAGAGCCCCCCUUCUUCUUCUUCUUCUUCUUCUUCCUUGACCUCCUCCCUAGAUGGGAGAAGGGUUUCCCCUCUGGUUCAUGGUCUCCAUGGCGGCGUAGGGGCGAGAGCCCCUCCGAGAUUGGAUCUCUCUCUAUGUGUCCUUCUGUUUCCACGCUCCGAGAUUCUUCCUUUCACCGUUUCUUAAAUUCCUGGAGAUCCGUAACUCCGAUUGGGCUGAAAUUUUAACAUGAUUUUCUUCCGGAUAUUAUAUUUCUUGCUCUGAAAAAAGGGCCCCAACCACCUUAGGGAUCGGUCUCAAGAGUGCCAGCCGCGCCCUAGGGGGGNNNNNNNNNNNNNNNNNNNNNNNNNNNNNNNNNNNNNNNNNNNNNNNNNNNNNNNNNNNNNNNNNNNNNNNNNNNNNNNNNNNNNNNNNNNNNNNNNNNNNNNNNNNNNNNNNNNNNNNNNNNNNNNNNNNNNNNNNNNNNNNNNNNNNNNNNUUUCGUGUAGAUUCUUCUUCCCAAAAAUCAUAAAUAUUCCAAAAAAAAUCCCCGUAGUUUUUUUUUAUUUCGUUUGGUAUGGAUAAUCUGUGAAACAAAAAACAUGCAACAAACAGGCACUGGGACUAGGCACUGGAUCAAUAUGUUAGUCCCAAAAAUAAUAUAAAAAGUUGCCAAAAGUAUAUGAAAGUUGUAGAAUAAUGGCAUGAAACAAUCAAAAAUUAUAGAUACGAUGGAGACGUAUCAGCAUUCCCAAGCUCAAUUCCUGCUCGUCCUCGAGUAGCUAAAUGAUAAAAAAGAUAAUUUUUGAUGUGGAAUGCUACCUAGCAUAAUCUUGAUCAUAUAAUCUAAUCAUUGCAUGAAUACUAAAACACGAGUGAUUCGAAGCAAUAGUCUAUCAUUUGACAUAAAGAUAAUAAUAUUUCAAGCAUACUAACAAAGCAAUCUUGUCUUCUCAAAAUAUCAUGGCCAAAGAAAGUUAUCCCUACAAAAUCAUAUAGUCUGGCUAUGCUCCAUCUUCCCCCACACAGCGUAUUUAAAUCAUGCACAACCCCGAUUUUAGCCAAGCAAUUAUUUCAUACUUUAGUGUUCUCAAACUUUUUCAACUUUCACGCAAUACAUGAGCGUGAGCCAUGGACAUAGCACUAUAGGUGGAAUACAAUAUGGUGGUUGUGGAGAAGACAAAAAGGAGGAGAUAGUCUCACAUCAACUAGGUGUAUCAAUGGGCUAUGGAGAUACCCAUCAAUAGGUAUCAAUGUGAGUGAGUAGGGAUUGCCAUACAACAGNNNNNNNNNNNNNNNNNNNNNNNNNNNNNNNNNNNNNNNNNNNNNNNNNNNNNNNNNNNNNNNNNNNNNNNNNNNNNNNNNNNNNNNNNNNNNNNNNNNNNNNNNNNNNNNNNNNNNNNNNNNNNNNNNNNNNNNNNNNNNNNNNNNNNNNNNNNNNNNNNNNNNNNCAAUUUGAGGAAGCCCAUCAUUGGAAUAUACAAGCCAAGUUCUAUAAUGAAAAUUUCCCACUAGUAUAUGAAAGUGACAACAUAGGAGACUCUCUAUCAUGAAUAUCAUGGUGCUACUUUGAAGCACACGCGUGGGAAAGGAUAGUAGCAUUGUCCCUUCUCUCUUUUCUCUCAUUUUUUAUUAUUAUUUUUUCUCUCUUUUUUUGGGUGGGCUUCUUUGGUCUCAUCUUUUUAUUUGGGCUUCAUUGGCCUCUUUUAGUACUUCCUCACAUGGGACAAUGCUCUAAUAAUGAUGAUCAUCACAGUUUUAUUUACUUACAACUCGAUAUUUAGAACAAAAUAUGACUCUAUAUGAAUGCCUCCGACGGUGUACCGGGAUGUGCAAUGAUCUAGCGUAGCAAUGACAUCAAAAAAUGGACAAGCCAUGAAAACAUCAUGCUAGCUAUCUUACGAUCAUGCAAAGCGAUAUGACAAUGAUGGUGUGUGUCAUAAUAAACGGAAUGAUGGAAGUUGCAUGGCAAUAUAUCUCGGAAUGACUAUGGAAAUGCCAUAAUAGGUAGAUAUGGUGGCUGCCUUGAGGAAGGGUAUAUGGUGGGUGUAAUGCACCGGCGAAAGUUGCACGCUACUAGAGAGGCUAGCAAUGGUGGAAGGGUGAGAGUGAGUAUAAUCCAUGGACUCAACAUUAGUCAUAAAGAACUCAAAUACUUAUUGCAAAAGUCUAUUAUUCAUCGAAACAAGGUACUACACGCAUGCUCCUAAGGGAAGGGUUGGUAGGAGUUAACCAUCGCGUGAUCCCGACUUCCACACAAAGGAUGACAAUCAAUAAAUAAAUCAUCCUCCGACUUCGUCACAUAAUAGUUCACCAUAUGUGCAUGCUACGGGAAUCACAAACCUUAACACAAGUAUUUAUAUGAAUACACAAUUACUCCCUAGCAUGACUCUAAUAUCACAUCUUCAUGUCGCAAAACUAUUGCAAGGAAUCAAACAUAUCAUAUUCAGUGAUCUACAAGUUUUAUGUAGGAUUUUAUGACUAACCAUGUGAAUGACCAGCUCCUCUUAACUCUCUAAAUAGGUAUAAGUGAAGCAUGAGAGUUUAAUUCUUUCUACAAAAGAUAUGCCCCGCUCUAAUAAAUAUAAGUGAAGCAAAAGAGCAUUCUACAGAUGGCGGUUUUCUAUGUGUUGGGAAACAGGCAAUCCAAAUUUCAAAUGAUAUAAGUGAAGCACAUGAAGCAUUCUAUAAAGCCGUACUCAAAAGAUAUAAGUUAAGUGCAAAGAGAAUUCUAUAAAUCAACCAAGGACUAUCUCAUACCAGCAUGGCGCAUAAAAGAAAAAGUAAAAAUAAACAAAUAUCAUGUGAUGAAUAAAAAUAUAGCUCCGAGUAAAAUUACCGAUAGAUUGUAGAUGAAAGAGGGGAUGCCUUCUAGGGCAUCCCCAAGCUUAGACGCUUGAGUCUUCCUUGAAUAUUACCUUGGGGUGCCUCGGGCAACCCCAAGCUUAGGAUCUUGCCUCUCAUUAUUCCUUCAUCCAUCGUGGUCUCACCCAAAACUUGAAAACUUUAAUCACACAAAACUCAACAAAACCUUCGUGAGAUCCGUUAGUAUAAUAAAGUAAAUCGCCACUUUAAGCAUUGUUCUGAACUCAUUCCAAAUUCAUAUUAGCAUUAUAUAUACUGUAAUACAACUUCACCAUGGUUCAUACCCCCUGAUACUACCCAUAGAUUCAUCAAAAUAAGAGAACAAUGCAUAGAAAACAGAAUCUGUCAAAAACAGAACAGUCUGUAGUAAUCUGAACUUAUACCAUACUUCUGAUACUCCAAAAAUUCUAAAACAUUAUAACAAUUAGGUAAAUUUGCAUAUCAAUGAGCAGCAAAAACAAUCAAUUCAAAAUAUCUUUAUGGAUAGGAAUUAAAAAUAAUCAACAUAGUCUCGUGUUUGGGUUCAACCUUGUUGUUUCUUCAUUGGAGCGACAACUGACUUGUCAUUCUCGAAAUUUCACUUCUUUCCCUUGCCCUUCUUGAAACUAGUGGUUUUACUAACCAUCAACACUUCAUGCUCCUUCUUGAUUUCUACCUUCGUGAUGUCAAACAUCGUGAAUAUCUCAAGGAUCAUAUUCUCCAUACCUGGUAUGUAUAGUUUAUCACGAAGCUCGAUAGCUUGGUGGCAGUGACUUUGGAGAACUAUGUCAAUCACUAUCUUAUCUGGAAGAUCAACUCGCACUUGAAUCAAGUCAUUGUAGCACCCAGACAAUCUGAGCACAUGCUCAACUAUUGAGAUUAUAUCCUUUACUUUGCAUACAAAGAAUCUGGUCGGAGGUCUCAUACCUCUCGACACGGGCACGAGCCUGAAAUCCUAAUUUCAGCUCUUGGAACAUCUCAUAUGUUCCAUGACAUUGAAAAUGUCUUGGGCGCCUCAAUUCUAAGCCAUCAAGCAUGACACACUGAACUAUCACGUAGUCAUCAGAACGGGUAUGUCAGAUGUUUGCAACAUCCACAGACAACGCUUGGGGUAGCACACCGAACGGUGCAUUAAGGACAUAAGCCUUUUAUGCAGCAAUGAGGACAAUUCUCAAUUCACGGACUCAGUAUGCAAAGUUGCUACUAUCAUAUUUCAACUAAAUUUUCUCUAGGAACAUAUAAAAACCAUGAUAGGUCUUCGUGUGCGUAGGAAAAUUCACGUCUUCAGUUGCUACUGGUUUCUAUAUGUUCCUAGUGAAAAUUUAGUUUAAAGAUGAUAGUAGGAACUUUGCAGACUGAGUCCGUGAAUUGAGGAUUGUCCUCAUUGCUGCGCAGAAGGCUUAUGUCCUUAAUGCACCGCUCGGUGUGCUGCACCUCGAGCGUCGUCUGUGGAUGUUGUGAACAUCUGACAUACACGUUUUGAUGACUACGUGAUAGUUCAGUGCGUAAUACUUAACAGCUUAGAAUUGAGGCACUAAAGACGCUUUUUUAACUUCACGGAACAUAUAAGAUGUUCUUAGAGAUGAAAUUGGGAUUUCAUGCUCGUGCCCUUGUCGAGAGGUAUGUGACCUCCGACAAGAUUCUUUAUCUACAAAUUAAAAGGAGAAAAGCUCAAUCAUUGAGCAUGUUCUCAGAUUGUCUAAGUGCAACAGUCGCCUGAAUCAAGUGGGAGUUAAUCUUCCAGAUGAGAUAGUGAUGUAUCUCCAAAGUCACUGCCACCAAGUUGCUAGAGCUUCGUGAUGAACUAUAACAUAUCAAGGAUAGAUAUGAUGAUCCUUGAGAGAUUCACAAUGUUUUGACACUCCAAAAGUCGAAAUCAAGAAGGAGCAUCAAUUGUUGAUGGUUAGUAAAACCAUUAGUUUCAAGAAGGGCAAGGGCUAGAAGGGAUACUCUGCUCUAAUGAAGAAACCCAAGAUUGAACCUAAACCCGAGACUAAGUGCUUCUGCUAUGAGGGGAACGGUCACUAAGGCAGAGCUACCCUAGAAACUUGGUAGAUGAGAAGACUGGCAAAGUCGACAGAAGUAUAUUCCAUAUACAUGAUAUUGAUGUGUACUUUACUAGUACUCCUAGUAGCACGAGGGUAUUAGAUACCGGUUCGGUUGCUAAGUGAUUAGUAACUCGAAAUAAAAGCUACGGAAUAAACGGAGACUAGCUAAAGGCGAGGUGACGAUGCGUGUUGGAUGGGUUUCCAAGGUUGAUGUGAUCAAAACAUCGCACGCUCCCUCUACCAUCGAGAUUGGUGUUAAACCUAAAUAAUUGUAUUUGGUGUUUGCGUUGAGCAUGAACAUCAUUGGAUCAUGUUUGUUGCAAUAGACUAUUUAUUUAGAGAGAAUAAUUGUUAUUCUAUUUUCUUGAAUGAUUACGCUCAAUGGUUUAUUGAAUCUCGAUCGUAGUGUUACACAUGUUCAUAAUAUUGGUGCCAAAAGAUACAAAGUAAAAAUGAUAGUACCACUUACUUGUGGCACUGCCACUUGAGUCAUGUUGGUGUAAAAUGCAUGAAGAAACUCCAUGCUGAUGGAUCUUUGUACUCACUCAUUUUUGAAACGUUUGAGACAUGCAAACCAUACUUGUUGGUAUGAACGCAUGAAGAAACUCCAUGCAGAUGGAUUGUUUGGAUUCACUUGAUUUUGAAUCACUUGAGACAUGCAAAAUCAUACCGCAUGGAACAAGAAAGUAACUUGUUGGAAGCAAUGCAUUUUGAUGUGUGCAGUCCAAUAAGUGCUGAGGCAUGUAAUGGAUAUCGUUAUGUUCUUACUUCACUGACGAUUUGAGUAGAUACAUGAGUAUUUACUUGAUGAAUCACAAGUGUGAGUUAUUGAAAAGUUCAAAGCUAUUUUAAAGUCCUGACAAGAGGAUAAACUGUCUACGAUAUGAUCAUUGAGAUGAAUAUUUGAGUUGCGAGUUUUUGGUACACAGUUAAGAAAAUGUGGAAAUUGUUUCGUAGUUCAUGCCACCUAGAACACCGUAGUGUGAUGGUGUGUCCUUACGUCAUAGCCGCGCCCUAUUUGAUAUGGUGCAUACUAUGACGUCUCUUAUCAAAAUUACCACUAUCGUUUAUGGGUGAUGCAUUAGAGACAACAACAUUCACUUUAAAUAGGGCAACACGUAUUUCCUUGAGAUGACACAGUAUGAACUAUGGUUUAGAGAAACCUGAGCUGUCGUUUCUUGAAAGUUUGGGGCUGCACGCUUAUGUGAAAAAGUUUGAGUCCGAUAAGCUCGAACCCAAAGCGGAUAAAUGCAUCUUCAUAGGAUAUCCAAAACAAUUGGGUACAUCUCCUAUCUCAGAUCCAGAAGCAAAGUGUUUGUUUCUAGAAACGUGUCCUUUCUCGAGGGAAGGUUUCUCUCAAAAGAAUUGAGUGGGAGGGUGGUGAAACUUGAUGAGGUUGUAGAACCGUCACUUCAACCAGUGUGUAGCAGGGCGGAGGAAGUUGUUCCUGUGGCACCUACACCAAUUGAAGUGGAAACUGAUGAUGGUGAUCGUUAAGCUUCAGGAUCAAGUUACUACAAACCUCGUAGGUCGACAAGGUCGCGUACUACUAUAGAGUGGUAUGGUAACCCUGUCUUGGAGGUCAUGUUGUUGAACAACAAUGAACCUACGAGCUAUGGAGAAGCGAUGGUGGGCCUGGAUUCCGAUAAAUGGCUGGAGGCCAUGAUAUCCGAGAGAGGAUUCAUGUAUGAAAACAAAGUGUAGACUUUGGAAGAACUACUUGAUGGUCGUAAGACUAUUAAGUAAAAGAUGGAUCUUUAAAAGAAAGACACACGAUAAUGGUGAAAAGUCACCAUUAAGAAAAGCUCGACUUAUCGCCAAGAUGUUUCUGACAAGUUCAAAGAGUUGACUAUGAUGAGAGUUUCUCACUCAUAGCGAUGCUAAAAGUCUGUUGGAAUUAUGUUAGCAGUUGUUGCAUUAUUUAUGAAAUAUUGCACAUAGGAUGUCAAAACAUUGUUUCCCCGACGGUUUCCUUGAGGAAAAGUUGUAUGUGCUACAACUAAAAGGUUUUGUCGAUCCUAAGGACGCUAACAAGUAUGCAAGCUCCAGCGAUCCUUCUAUGGAACUUUGGUGAGAUGAUAAAAGCUUUUAGGUUUAUACAAGGUUUUUGAGAAACUUGUAUUUCCAAAGAAGUGAGUGGGAGCACUAUAGAAUUUCUGAUAAGUAUAUGUGGUUGACAUAUUGUUGAUCGGAAGUAAUGUAGAAUUUCUAUAAAGUGUAAAGGGUUGUUUGAAAGGAGUUUUCAAAGGAAAACCUAGAUAGAGAUACUUGAACAUUGAGCAUCAAGAUCUAUAAAGAUAGAUCAAAACGUGUAAUAGAACUUUCAAUGAAAUACAUUCCUUGACAUGUUUUUGAAGGAGUUCAAAGUAGAUCAGCAAAGAAGGAGUUCUUGGCUGUGUUGUAAGGUGUGAAUUUGAGUAAGACUCAAAGCCCGACCACGGCAGAAGAAAGAGAAAGGAAGAAGGUCGUCCCCUAUGCCUUAGCCAUAGACUCUAAAGUAUGCCAUGUUGUAUACCGCACCUGAUGUGUGCCAUGCCAUGAGUUUGUCAAGGGGUACAAAGAGUGAUCCAGGAUAGAAUCACUGAACAGCAGUCAAAGUUAUCCUUAGUAACUAAUGGACUAAGGAAUCUUUCUCGAUUAUGGAGGCGAUUAAAGAGUUUGUCAUAAAGGGUUAUGUUGAUGCAAGCUUUGACACUAAUCUGAAUAACUCUAAGUAGUAAACGGAUUCGUCUAGUGGAGCAGUCAUUUGGAAAAUUUCCAAAUGGCACAUUGGUAGUAGCACCUACAGGAUGACAUAGAGAUUUGAAGAGCGCACUUAAAUCUGAAAGGUUCAAACCUGUUGACUAAAACCUCUCUCACAAGCAAGACGUGAUCAAACCCCAGAACUUUAUGGGUGUUAGAUUCGUUAAAAUCACAUAGUGAUGUGAACUAGAUUAUUGACUCUACUUCAAGUGGGAGACUGUUGGAAAUAUGCCCUAGAGGCAAUAAUAAAUUAGUUAUUGUUAUAUUUCUUUGUUCGUGAUAAUCGUUUAUUAUCCAUGCUAUAAUUGUAUUGAUUGGAAACUCAAAUACAUGUGUGGAUACAUAGACAAUACACUGUCCCUAGUAAGCCACUAGUUGACUAGCUCGUUGAUCAAAGAUGGUCAAGGUUUCCUGACCAUAGACAAGUGUUGUCGCCUGAUGACGGGAUCACAUCAUUAGGAGAAUCAUGUGAUGGACUAGACCCAAACUAUGAACGUAGCAUGUGAUCGUGUCAUUUUAUAGCUAUUGUGUUCUGUGUGUCAAGUAUUCAUUCCUAUGACCAUGAGAUCAUGUAACUCACUAACACCGGAGGAAUGCCUUGUGUGUAUCAAACGUCACAACGUAACUGGGUGACUAUAAAGGUGCUCCACAGGUACCUCCGAAGGUUUCCGUUGAGUUAGCAUGGAUCAAGAGUGGGAUUUGUCACUCCGUGUGAUCGAGAGGUAUCUCAGGGCCCACUUGGUAAUACAACAUCACAAACAAGCCUUGCAAGCAAUGUGACUCAAGUAUGAGUCACAUGAUCUUGUAUUAUAGAAUGAGUAAAGAGACUUGCCGGUAACGAGAUUGAAAUUGGUAUAGGGAUACCGACGAUCAAAUCUCGGGCAAGUAACAUACUGAAGGACAAAGGGAAUGUUAUCCGGGAUUAUAUGAAUCCUUGGCACAGAGGUUCAACCGAUAAUAUCUUCAUAGAAUAUGUAGGAUCCAAUAUGGACAUCCAGGUCCCGCUAUUGGAUAUUGACCGAGGAGUGUCCCGGGUCAUGUCUACAUAGUUCUCGAACCCGCAGGGUCUGCACACUUAAGGNNNNNNNNNNUGACGUUUUAGUUUAGUUAAGUUAUAUGUGUUGGUGACCUAAGGUUGUUCUGAGUCCCAGAUGAGAUCAAAGACGUCACGAGGGUUUCUGGAACGGUUCGGAAACGAAGAUUGAUAUAUAGAAAUUUGGUGUUUGGAUUCCGGAAAGUUUUCGGGCAUUGCCGGCAGUGUACCGGGAAUGACGAAUGGGUUCCGGGGGCCCACUGGUUGGGCCCACCACACCCCAAGGGGUCCACAUGGGUUUAUUGGAUGCACAAUAAUGUAUAAUGGGCUGACAAAGUCAUCCAAGGAAAGCCCAUGAGGAAAAGGUGGAAAAUCCAAAAGAGGUGGGAAAAUAAGGAAGGAGUCCUAAUCCAAGUGGGAUUGGAGAAGGACUCCUCCCUUCCCCAAGUCGGCCGACCCAAGGAGGCCUUCUUGGCUUGCUCCCUAAGGGCUUUCCCCACCCCUUGGCUCCUCCUAUAUAUACUUGAUAUUUAGGGCUGUUGGAGAUACAACUUUGCCACGUGCAACUCAAACCUACACCUCACAGUUCUUCCUCUAGAUUAGAUUUCUGCGGAGCUCGGGCGGAGCCGUGCAGGAAUAGAUCAUCACCAACACCGACGCGCCGUCAUGCUGCCGGAGAACUCAUCUACUUCUCUGUCCCUCUUGCUAGAUCAAGAAGGCCGAGAUCAUCAUCGAGAUGUACGUGUGUUGAACGUGGAGGUGUCGUCCGUUCGGGGCUAGAUCAGAACAGAUCAUGGGACGGAUCGUGGGACGACGGUGAUUUGAAUCACGAAGAAGGACCACUACAUCAACCGCGUUUCUUAACGCUUCCCGCUUAGCAAUAUACAAGGGUAUGUGGAUCUAAUCUCCUCUCGUAGAUGAACAUCACCAUGAUAGGUAUUCUUGUGCGUAGGAAAAGUUUUGUUUCCCAUGCAACGUUCCCCAACACUUUCAACUUAGUUUUCUCUAGGAACAUAUAAAAAUACAGGGAAGCUACAGCGGAAGCUAAUCAUCCAGUACAUAAGUUGCAAAGACAUUUUGACUAUGAUCAUGAGAAUUAGUUCAAUUAGUCAUAUUACUUAAGACCUCCCACUUAAAUUGACAUCCCUCUGGUCAUUCGAAUGGAACAUGAUCCAAAUCCACCAGCCCUUGUCCUAUCAUCACGUGAGAUGAGAUUGUUUCAAUGGUAAAUAUCUCCAUGUUGAUCAUAUCUAUUAUUUGACUCAUGUUCGACCUUUCAGUCUCAUGUGUUUCGAGGCCAUGUCUGUACAUGUUAGGCUCAUCAAGUUUAAUCCAAGUGUUACGUGUGUGAAAAACUAUCUUGCACCCAUUGUAUGUGAACGUAGAGUCUAUCACACCCGGUCAUCACGUGGUGUCUCGAAACGACGAACUGUCGCAAUGGUGCACACUCGGGAGAACACAAUUUUAUCUUGAAAUUUUAGUGAGGGAUCACCUUAUAAUGCUACUGUCAUCCUAAGCAAAACAAGGCGCAUAAAAAGGAUUAACAUAACAUGCAAAUCAUAAGGGACAUGAUAUGACCGUGAUCUUGUGCUUUUGAUCUUCAUCUCCAAAGCACCGGAAUGAUCUCCAUCGUCUCCGGUACAACACCAUGAUCUCCAUCAUUAUGUUGCCAUUGAGGUUGUCACGCCAACCAUGCUUGUACUACUAUUGCUACCGUUUAGCGAUAAAGUAAAGCAUUACAUAGCGCUUAAUGAGUGACACAUGGUCCAUACAAUAAUUAAAGACAACCCUAUGGCUCACGGUUUGUUGCCGUAGCAUCGACAUGCAAGUCGAUAUUAACUAUUACAACAUGAUCAUCUCAUACAUCAAAUAUAUAUCAUCAUAUCUUUGGCCAUAUGAUAUCACAACAUACCCUACGAAAACUAGUUAGACGACCUAUUAUUUGUUGUUGCAUGUUUUACGUGGCUGCUAUGGGUAUCUAGUAAGAACGCUUCUUACCUACGCAAUACCACAACGGUGAUAUGCAAGUUUCUAUUUAACCUUCUACAAGGACCAUCUUUGUUGAAUCCGAUUCAACUAAGGUGGGUGAAACAGACACCUGCCAGACAUCUUUAUGCAACAAGUUGCAUGUCAGUCGAUGGAACCGAUCUCUCGUACGUGGAGGAGUAAAGUUAGUCCGCGAUGCUUCAUCCCACAAUACCACUGAAUCAAUACCGAGCUCGUGAUGCCACUCUUGGGGAAUGUCGCAUGGGAAAAAAAAAUUCCUACGCUCACCAAGAUCAAUCUAUGGAGAUCAACAUCUAUGAGGGGGUAGUCCAUCUAAAUACCCUUGUAGAUUGCUAAGAUGCGGCGUAUAUAACGCGGUUGAUGUAGUCGAACGUCUUCAUUAGCCAAUCAUGAUCCGUCCCGCGAUCUCAUAAUGAUUCGUCCCGCGAUUCCAUCAUGAUCCAUCCCGAUCUAGUGUCGAACAUACGACACCUCCGAGUUCAACACACGUACAGCUUGAUGAUGCCUUCACCUCCUUGAUCCAGCGAGCAAUGGUGAAGUAGAAGUUGAGUACUCUAGCAGCACGACUGCAUGGUGGCGGUGGUGGUCCUGCAAUUUCAGUAGGGCUUCGCCAAGCACUAUUGCGAUCACUAUGGUGGAGAAUUACUACGAGAGAGAGAGGUAGGGUGCCGCCAAGCAAUUGUGUAUUGAUUGCCUCCUUCUCCCUCUCUAUUAAUAGGAGGAAGGGGUAGGUAGGGCUAGCCUAUGGCCCCUCCUCCAAGGAGAGAGGGUUCAGCCAAACUAGGGAGGAGUCCUCCUCCCACAAGGGAGGUGGACACCCUAGGGAGGACUCCUCCUCCACGAAGGCACUUCCUCCCCCUACCCUUGGGCGCAUGUGCCUGUUGGGGUCGGCUUCCGAAACCCACCUAGGGCUGUUGCGCCACCUCUCAAGCCCAUGUGGCCCCCGAGAUGGGUGGGCCCCUCCCGGUGGACCCCCGGAACCCUUUCGGCACUCCCGAUACAAUACUGGAAAAACCCCGAAACUAUUCCGAAACCCUAAUACCACUUUCCUAUAUAUAAAUCUUUACCUCCGGACCAUUCCGGAGCUCCUCGUGACAUCCGAGAUCUCAUCCGGGACUCCUAACGACCUUCGGUCAUCAGCACUAUAAGUUAACUAUCUCUAUAUCAUCACCGAACCAUAAGUGUGCACACCCUUCUGGGUUGAGAACUAUACAAACAUGACCGAGACACUCUCUGGUCAAUAACCAAUAGCGGGAUUCUACGACGAUAUUUAUCGAUCGAACCAUGGUGUCCAGGAUCCAAUCAAUCCCAUGUAGUGUUCCCUUUGUCCAUUGGUAUGUUACUUGCCCGAGAUUCGAUCAUCAGUAUCUCCAUACCUAGUUCAAACUCGUUACCGACAUGUCUCUUUAUUUGUUGUGUAAUACAAGAUCCCGUGACUAACUCCUUAGUCACAUUUCUUGCAAGCUCAUUGUGAUAUUGUAUUACCGAGUGGGCCAGAGAUACCUCUCCGUCAUAAGGAGUGACAAAUCCCAGUCUCGAUUCACGCCAACCCAACAGACACCUUCGGAGAUACCUCUAGAGCACCUUUAUAGUCACCCAAUUACGUUGUGACGUUUGAUACACACAAGUCAUUCCUCCGGUGUUCGGGAGUUGCAUGAUCUCAUGGUCACAGGAACACACACUUGACAUCUAGAAAACAGUAGCAAUAAACUAACACGAUCAUAUGCUACGGUCAUAGUUUGGGUCUUGUCGAUCACAUCAUUCUCCUAAUAAUGUGAUCCCAAUAUCAAAUGACAACUCAUAUCUAUGGUCAAGAAACCAUGACCAUCUUCGAUCAACAAGCUAGUCCUUAGAGGCUCACUAGGGACUGUGUGUUGUCUAUGUAUCUACACAUGUAUUUGAAUUUCCAAUCAAUAGAAUUAUAGCAUGGGUAAUAAACGAUUAUCAUGAACAAGGAAAUGUAAUAAUAACUAAUUUAUUAUUGCCUCUAGGGCAUAUUUCCAACACAUGUGAGGCAGCAUUCCACAUAAAAAAUUCUAUUUUUAUCAUUUACCUACUCGAGGAGAAGCAGGAAUUAAGCUUCGCGAUGCUGAUACGUCUCCAACGUAUCUAUAAUUUUUUAUUAUUCCAUGUUGUUAUAUUAUCAUUUUUUGAUGUUUUAUUAUCCUUUUAUAGCAAUUUUAUAUCAGUUUUUGGACUUAACUAUUGACAUAGUGCAUAUAGCCAGUUGCCAUUUUUUUUUCCUUCGUAGAAAAUCCAUAUCAAAUGGAGGCCAAAUGCAACAAAACUUUACGGAGAAUUUUUUGGACCAGAAGGAAACCUGGGAUCCAAGAAUGAGCAGCACACGAGGCCCACGGGGGCCACUAAACACUAGAGCACGCCAGGGCCCCUGGCGCUGCGUGGUAUCUAGUGGGGCCCUCUGGCACCUCCACCGUGUGUGAACUUAUAAAUACCCCCAAUAUUCAGAAAACCCUAGAGGAGUCAAUGAAAAAUCAUUUCAGCCGCCGCAAGUUCGAGAAGCCACAAAAUCCAAUCUAGAGCCCAUUCCGGAGAGGAACACAAUCAGAGAGGGGUUCACCAUCCUCAUUGGUGCUCCUCCAAUGAUACGUGAGUAGUUCAUAUCAUACCUACAGGUCCGUAGGCAGUAGCUAGAUGACUUUCUCUCACGUUCUGUUUCUCAAUACAAUGGUCUCUUGGAGAUCCAUAUGAUGUAACUCUUUCUUUUGCGGUGUGUUUGUUGGGAUCCGAUUAAUUGUGAGUUAAUGAUCAAAUCUAUGAAAACAUAUUCAUGCUUGAUUAUUGUAGCCUUGUAUUUCUUUUCUCAUAAUUGGUUUUUUCUAGCCAACUUGAUAUUUUAUCCUACAAUGGGAAGAGAUGCUUUGUGAUUGGUUUGAUCUUGCGGUGCUCAAUCUCAGUGACACAAAGAGACAUGACACACAUGUAAUGUUGCUAUCAAGGAUAAAAUGAUGGGAUCUAUUCCUACAUGAAUAGAUCUUGUCUACAGGAUGUCAUUGUUCUUAAGGCGUUACUCCGUUUCUUCAUGAACUCAAUACACUAGAUGCAUGCUGGAUAGCGGUCGAUGUGUGGAGUAAUAGAAGUAGAUGCAGAUAGAAGUCGGCCGACUUGUCUUGGACGUGAUGCAUAUAUACAUUAUCAUUGUCUUGAAUAUUCUCAUAAUUAUUUGCUCUUCUAUCAUUUGCCCAACAGUAAUUUGUCUACCCACCAUUUGCUAUGUUCUCGAGAGAAGCCCCUUGUGAAACCUACAACCCCCGGGUCUACUUCACAUCAUCUAUUUGCAAUCUCUACAUUAAAUUGAGGGACAACUCUUUGUGUUUUCGGUAGGUUCCGUAGGUUGAGGGACAACUCUUGGUGUUUUUUGUCGAGGUGAAGAUACCCCGAACAAACCCCUCAAAUGAUUAUUUUCCAUAGUGACAAGUGCGGUAAAUUUGAGCACGUAAUAUAAAUUUUUCCUUACCAAAGGCGAUUCACUCCCUGCCAACAGCGCCAAAAAAGAGUCUUGAUGGCCCACAAGUAUAGGGGAUCAAUCAUAUUCGUUUCGAUAAGUAAGAGUGUUCAACCCAAUGAGGAGCAAAAGCAAAUGACAAUCGGUUUUCAGUAAGGUAAUUUUUGCAAGCACUGAAAUACCGGUAACAAGUUGUUUGAUUGCAAAAUAAUUAUAACUAGUAAUGAAUAGCAAUAGUAAAAAUAAGUGUAGCAAGGUAGCCCAAUACUUUUGUGGCAAGGUACAUGCCCGAACAGUUUCUUAUAAUAGGCAAAGCAGUCUUGAGGGAACACAGAAUUUCAUCUAGUCACUUUUGUCAUGUCGGGUUAAUUCUCGUUCGGCACUUUGAUAAUUUGUUAUGUGGGUGGACCGGUGCUUGGAUGUUGUUCUUCCUUGAACAAGACUCCCACUUAUGAUUAACCCUCCCACAAGCAUCCGUAACUACGAGAAAAGUAUUAAUAAUAAAUUCUAACCAUAGCAUUAAACAUAGGGAUCCAAAUUAGCCCCUUACGGAAUAACGCAUAAACAGGGGUUUAAGUUUCUGUCACUCUUGCAACCUAUCAUCUAAUAACUACUCCCCAAUUCAUUCCCUUAGGCCCAAAGAUGGUGAAAUUUAUGUAGUCGACGUUCACAUAACACCACUAAGGGAAUCACAACAUUCAUAUCAUCAAAAUAUCGAACGAAUAUCAACUUCAAAUGACUACUUGCAACACGACUUCUCUCGUGGCCUCAAGAACCAAACUAACUACACAAAAGUGAUAAACAUGCUCAUGACCAGAGAGGUAUUAAAUAGCAUAUUGGACUUGAACAUAUGACCUUCCACCAAAUAAACCAGAAAGCAUCAACUACAAGAUGUAAUCAACACUACUAGUCACCCCCAGGUACCAAUCCGAGGUUCCGGUACAAGACUGAGCACAAGAGAUGAACUAGGGUUUUGAGAGGAGAUGGUGUUGUUGAAGAUGUUGAUGAAGAUUGGCCUCCCCAAGAUGAUAGGGUUGUUGGUGAUGAUGAUGGCCUCGAUAUCCCCCUCGGGGAGGGAAGUUCCCCUAUCGAAAUCGCUCCACGGGAGGGCAAAAGUGAUCCUUAUUUUUCCAUCCCGAAGUAUCUUUUCUUGGCUAUGUUGUUACUCCAUAGGGAAUUGAAGUUGAUAAAGCCAAGAUUGAACGUAUUGAGAGUUGGACGCAACCCAAAAUGGUCACAAAAGUGAGGAGUUUCCUUGGACUCACCGGGUUUUAUAGACGUUUUGUGAGAGAUUUCAGCACCACUGCUGCACCUCUCAAUGAGCUUACAAAGAAGGAUGUGCCCUAUGCUUGGGGUACUGCACAGGAAGAAGCCUUCAAGGUUUUGAAAGAUAAGUUAACACAUGCUCUCUUUACUCCAACUUCCCGAUUUUAAUAAGACUUUUGAGCUUGAAUUUUGAUGCUAGUGGGAUUGGAUUAGGAGGUGUGUUAUUACAAGAUGGUAAACGUGUUGCAUACUUUUCUGAAAAAUUAAGUGGGGCUAGUCUGAAGUAUUCUACUUAUGAUAAGGAAUUAUAUGCGCUUGUUCGGACUUUGGAAAUAUGGCAACAUUAUUUAUGGACCAAACAAUUUGUCAUACAUUUUGAUCAUGAAUCUUCGAAACAUAUUAAAAGUCAAGCAAAACUGAACCAUAGACAUGCUAAAUGGGUUGAAUUCAUUGAGAAUUUCCCAUACGUCAUUAAACACAAGAAGGGUAAAGAAAAUGUUAUUGUUGAUGCUUUGUCUCAUCGUUAUACUAUGCUUUCAGAACUUGACUUUAAAAUAUUUGGUUUGGAGACCAUCAAAGAUCAUUAUGUGCAUGAUGCUGAUUUUAUAGAUGUGUUGGAGAAUUGUAAAGAAGGGAGAACAUGGAACAAGUUCAUCAUUAAUGAUGGAUUUGUGUUUCGUGCUAACAAGCUAUGCAUUCCAGCUAGCUCCGUUCAUAUUUUGUUAUUACAGGAGGUGCAUGGAGGAGGAUUGAUGGGACACUUUGGCAUAAAGAAGAUGGAGGACGUAAUUGUUACACAUUUCUUUUGGCCGAAGAUGCGACGGGAUGUUGAGCGUUUUGUUGCUCAUUGCACGACAUGUCAAAAAGCUAAGUCACGAGUCAAUACUCAUGGUUUAUAUAUGCCUUUGCCUGUACCUAGUGUUCCUUGGGAGGAUAUAUCUAUGGAAUUUGUUUUAGGUUUACCUCAAAGAAAGAAGGGGGGAUAGCAUAUUUUUUGUCGUGGCCAGAUUUUGAAAAAUGACGCAUUUUAUACCAUGUCAUAAAAGUGAUGACGGUGCUAAUGUGGCUCAUUUGUUCGUUCGUGAAAUUAUUCGCUUGCAUGGUGUGCCAAAUACGAUUGUUUCAUAUCGUGAUGCUAAAUUUCUUAGCCACUUUUGGCGAUGUUUAUGGGCUAAGCUGGGGACAAAAUUGCUUGUUAGUACUACAUGUCACCCUCAAACUAAUGGACAAACUGAUGUAGUUAAUAGAUCUUUAUCUACUAUGCUUAGGGCUGUUUUGAAGAACAAUCUAAAACUGUGGGAAGAAUACUUGCCUCAUAUUGAAUUUGCUUAUAAUCGUUCGCUGCAUUCCACUACUAUGGUGUGUCCUUUUGAAGUUGUGCAUGGUUUCUUACCUCGUGCACCUAUUGAUUUGUUACCUCUUCCAUCUUUGGAGAAGGUUAAUUUUGAUGCUAAAUAACGUACUGCUUUGAUAUUAAAGAUGCAUGAGUUAACUAAGGAAAACAUUGAGCGCAUGAAUGCUAAAUGUAAACUUGCUAGCGAUAAGGGUAGAAAACAUGUUGUCUUUGCACGUGGAAAUCUUGUUUGGUUGCAUUUGUGUAAAGAUAGGUUUCCUAAUUUGCGCAAGUCAAAGCUAAUGCUGCGUGCUGAUGGUCCUUUCAAAGUGUUAGAGAAAAUAAAUGAUAAUGCGUAUAGACUUGAGCUGCCUGCGGAUUUUGGGGUUGGUCCCACUUUUAACAUUGCAGAUUUGAAGCCAUAUUUGGGUGACGAAAAUGAGCUUCCGUCGAGGACGACUUCAGUUCAAGAAGGGGAGGAUGAUGACGAUAUCAACACCAUUGUUACACCCAUAGCCCCAGCUGCUAUACAUACUGGACCAGUUACUUAAGCUCGCGCACGCCAAUUGAAUUACCAGGUACUUUCGUUUGUUGGAAAUACUUCAAAUGUUCAUGAACACAUGAUGCUACCUAAGUUAGAUACUUUUGUUGUACUUAUGAAUGAAGGACCUAGCAUGGACAAGAAGGAUAUUCGUUGGAGCGGGAUCAAGCAAGGAGAAGAAGGUGCACGCGUGGGAAAGAACAAUGGAGCUUCCACUGGUAAUUUUCGCACUUUAAAGCCACCAUAAGAAGAGCAUGAAGGCUUGGACGAAAUAUUCACGAUUCACUUUAUAAAUUUCAUCCAUAUGCUAUUAUAGGUGUUGCGCCACCUUAUUUUUGGGCCAGGCCCAUGUAAUUUCGAAAUACCAUAUUAUAGGCUGUUUUUAGAGUCCGUAUGUGUAACAUCCCAAAAUUUUAAAUUUUGGAAUGUUAAUAUAAUUAUUAUUAGAUUGUUUGUUGGUUGCCUGAGUGAUUGAAACUUGUGUGAAAUUUGAAACUUUUCGAAACUUUUGAAUGAGAGGGAAUAAAAUAACUUUCCCCAUCUCCGGUAAAUUCAAAUUCAAUCUUUUAAAAAACCAAAGAGAGAAGGUGACAUGACUUCAUCAACUAUAAAUAAUUUGAACGGAGAUAUUUGCAUUUGAAUUUUUUUGCUUUUCCAUUCGUUUUCUUCGUGCAAGAAAUGUCGGGAAAAUACUCUCUUGCACGCAAGAGAGAGAGCGGAGGAAAAUGACCCUCCAAAGUGCGGGCAUUUCUGAAAUAUUUGGAGCCAAGAAAUCCAAAGUUUAUUUGCGAAAAUUAUUUGCAAAAGAAAAUAAAUCUUUUAGGAAAUUUUGUGAAAAUAAUUUUUCUGAAGUUUUUAUUUUUGCCGUGGAAAAAUGCCCAUCAUCUAUAUUUUAUUUUUCUGAUAAUUUUAGUAUAUAGAAACUCUUUAUUUCGAAUUGAUUUGAUUUCCUUUUUAUCGUUUUAGUUUCCUAGUUUUAAAAAUAGGAAGGAAAUCACUUUUAUUAGGAAAUACCUGCUCGCCCAUUAAGACUUUCCUAUUUUUGGCCCAACAGGAGAUCUUCUCCUACCUCCCCUCUCCUUCAUGUCACAGGAAGUUUUCCUUCCAUGGAGAGGAGAUCCCCACCUCCGGGAUUCGCGAAGCUCUUCCCUUCCCAGCGCCUCCUGUCGCCUCUAUAAGAACCCCCUGCACCUCCUCGUUCCAUUCCCGUUGAAAACUUCCCCUCUCCUCGCCUCCAGCUCGCACACCCCUCGCCGGAGUCGGUCACCAGAAGCUCGCUCCACCUCGCCACGAACUCCUCCACCUUGCNNNNNNNNNNNNNNNNNNNNNNNNNNNNNNNNNNNNNNNNNNNNNNNNNNNNNNNNNNNNNNNNNNNNNNNNNNNNNNNNNNNNNNNNNNNNNNNNNNNNCCCCGAGCCUACUUCUCCUCCUCCCCGCGGCCCUAUCUCCUCCCCUCGGCCUCUCGAUCCCCUUUCCCCUCUCAGAUCUCUCUCUCCCCGAAGCUCCGGUAGCCGUCGAUCCAUCGCUUCCCGGUCCUCCCCGACCCUGCCGGCAGCUUCACAAGAACCGCCAUGAGCUCCUCUUCCCGUUCCCCUUCUUCCCGAGGCCAUUCCCCUCCUCUAACCCUGUUAGCCGCCGGACCCCGAAGGUCCUCGUCGCCGGCCAUGUCAUUGCCGUUGUUGUGGUAUUCCGUUCACGAGACCGAGCUCAGAAAUGAGCUCCUAGAGCUCUAUAGAUGCCCUAGGGCCCCUCUCCCAGCUCGCUAGCAUCUCGCAACGCCACUCCCGACGAGGCCCGAGCCGCAGCCGCCGCUGACCUCGUCGCCGGCGUGGNNNNNNNNNNNNNNNNNNNNNNNNNNNNNNNNNNNNNNNNNNNNNNNNNNNNNNNNNNNNNNNNNNNNNNNNNNNNNNNNNNNNNNNNNNNNNNNNNNNNNNNNNNNNNNNNNNNNNNNNNNNNNNAGCUCCUCUCCCUUUAGAUGUCCUGCUUCGCUAGCUAACCGUAGCACUAAACCGCGCCCAAAACCGAUGCCUGUAGCGCCGUUUAGCUCAACUCCGGCGAGUCCUCCGCUGCGACCGUGGUCGCCGCCGGCCAUAUUCCGGUGGGAGCCGACGUGGUCAAACUAAUUACCCACUAAACACCCCCCCUAGGCACUGACAGUGGACCCCAGGGUGGGUGAAACCCUAGUUAGGGGCUGGUCAACUCGGGGAUUAGCACCUGGUCACUGACCAAUGGACCCCACUGGUCAGGUUUGACCUGGCCCAGCCUCUGUUGACCAGAGACGUCACUGUGACGCAAUAAAGGAAUUUCUAAUGUAAAAAUAAUUCCAGAAAUGUCCAAAACUUCUAAAAAUCGUAGAAAAUAAUCUGUACGUCCAAUGAAAAUAAUUUAUAUAUGAAAAAGUAUCAGAAAAAUUCAAGGAAUCUGAAUAUGUCAUUUUCAAAAAUGUUUGAAAAUGUUACUGAACCCAAACAUGUAGAUUAAUGAAUAAGAUAAUUCUUAUAAAUACUUUGGAGAUGGAAUUUGGAAAUUAUUUAAUUUUCACUACAAAUUAUAUGAUCAAACACUGUCCAAAUCACAAACCAUCAACCUAACAUGUCACUCCAUGCAUGUUAAAAGCAAAUUGAUCUGAGCAUCAGGUCGAAUCAAUUAAAAUGGUAUCCGAGAAUACCUUGUUUGAAGUAAUAUUUGAAUUUGAUUCAAAUCAACUUCAAACCUAAUANNNNNNNNNNNNNNNNNNNNNNNNNNNNNNNNNNNNNNNNNNNNNNNNNNNNNNNNNNNNNNNNNNNNNNNNNNNNNNNNNNNNNNNNNNNNNNNNNNNNCUCGCAACUCAGGCGUUGCUUUUCGGAUCCUAUCCGUGAAGUGGACCAAGAAACGCUUGAUCUCCAAGAUAACCUUUCUUAUUCUCGACCAAGCCGAGCGUACUACUCGACGUCGAAACCUCAAGUUUCUUAAAGUUCAAUGGUCAAAACAUUCUGAGAAGGAGGCAACUUGGGAAAGAGAGGAUCGUCUCCGACUUGAGUAUCCUGCGUUAUUCCCGACAACUUCUAAAUCUCGGGACGAGAUUCUUUUGAGUGGGGGUGAGUUGUCANNNNNNNNNNGGAACCCUAUCCAACGUUUAGCAUUGUGCUCAUAUUUUUCUUUGCAUUGCGUCCAAGAAAAUGGCAACAAGAUCAAAGUAAGUUGUGAAGGGAAACUCAAGAACCCUAGCCACUUCUCAAAUUCAAAGGAAUUAUAAACUUAUUCAAAUCAAUGAACCCAAAAUGGACUCAAGAAAAGUUCAACUUUUCUGAUAAUUCUUGAAAACAAAUAAGCAAUGAAGGAAACCAUUUCCUUUAUACUUUUGGCAUUUUAAAUAAAUGCAAAAGACUACUGUUUUGAAGUUUUAAAUUUGAAUUCAAAGAUACAUAGUUUUCGAAAAUGCUGAAAACUUUAUGGGUGAUUGGAAAUAUUCCAACUAACACCCCAACAUUUUUCAAACUAUUUAUAGUUUGAUUGUGAAGCCAAAAUAAAUGGGACACAAUGUCAGUAAAUAAAACAGAAGAGAAAGAGAAAGGAAAGGCUUACCUUCUAUCUGUCGCCGGCCCAGCCCACCACGGGCUCCCCGGUCAUCUUCCUCCUCCUGCUAUUAGGCAGAAGAGAAGAUGAGCACGGCGGCCAAGCCCCGGCCGCCUCGUGCCUGCNNNNNNNNNNNNNNNNNNNNNNNNNNNNNNNNNNNNNNNNNNNNNNNNNNNNNNNNNNNNNNNNNNNNNNNNNNNNNNNNNNNNNNNNNNNNNNNNNNNNGCCCCACCCUACCUCGGCCACCAUUGCCAGCAGCACGGGAGCAACUCCACCCACGGUAAGGCUCCAUCCCCCUCCUGUUUCUUUUUUGUUUUUAUGUAGUAGCCCUUAGAUCCAUAAUCUACGGUGUAGAUUACAUAGGUGCUUACCCCUUCGGUCUUUUAGAUAAAACCGAUCGGUUUUUCAUUCACUUAAGUUUAGCCGAAGCGAAUUAGUUAAAUAGCCGCCGUUUGUUACUUAUCCCCGCAGCACUCACCCCCUUAGCCAAUUAAAAGAUGCCAUGUGGACCCCUGUCCACAAAUCAGUUUUUUCCCUUUUUCUGUUUUAAUUCCAAAACAGAGAAAGUUUCAAUUUUCUUUUGAUCAUAACUUUUGAUCCAAAACUCCAAUAGAGUUCAUUCUUUUUCCAGUAGCUCACAAAUUUCCGUUAGUUCUUAAAAACAUAUAAUUUGUCUAUGUUUGAAAUUUUCAAAUAUAAGUUAGAUCAGAUUUAGUUUAAACCUUGUUUUGCCUAUUCCAGGAGUUUAAAAAUAGCUUUUAAUUUGAUUCUUUUUUUUACUGAUCACUAGUGAUCUUAUUUAUCAGUGGUAAAAAUUUCAAAUUUGUUUGAGUAUAUUAGCUCACUGUUUCUUGUGAAACAAUUUCUGUUUCACCUCUUUUAGGAUUUGGGGUAAUUCCUUUUCUACUUUUGUUUUAAAAUAUUUUCUUGAUUAUUUCAGAAACAUUAUUGUUUUGUUUAUGUUAAUUAACAGUAGUUUUGCAACAAGUGUUGAUUUUAUUUUUAUUUGUUUUCAUGAAGUAAAUUCUAGUUCCAUAGUAACGUGCAAUUGUUUUCACCAUUGUUUCAAAUCCCGUUUGGGAAUACUUUCAAAAAGUUUCGUGAAAAAUACUUUAUUUUAUCUUAGUUAAACUUAUAUAUUAGUUCCUUGUUAUUAUUUUCUGUUAGACAAAAACUAUAUAGUGUUUGAAGUAGUAGAAGACUCCCUAGUCUUAUUUGAAGUUUCUUUCAGAUUCCUAUUCGCUCUCUCUUUUGUUUUGAUUGCUAGAAUGAUUGCUAGUAUGAGUGCUUAUGUGAAUGAUAUGUUUUUUAUAUAGAUUUCAUCGGAGAGUGACGAGUAGUCUAUCAAGUUUUUUCUCGAGAAAUUCUUCUUCGUCAACAUCACCAGGCAAGUCACUUUGAUCAUACUAUCACCUUUGUUUUAUGCAUCAUAGUUCUACCAUCCUAUGCCCAAUUGCAUGCUGCUUAGGUACUUGGAAAUUUUAGUAUAGAUAGUAGUAUCAUGUGGUAGGCACACAACAACCCCGAUACUUGGCCCGGGACGACAAAUUUCAUAUUGCUAUGCUUGAGUAGACGGGAUUUCGGUUGAGUGCAUAACACGAGUGAUGCGAGGUUGAUUAAAUAAUCAAGACCGGUUAAGACAAGAUUUUCAAGACCUCGGACGCAAUGCAACUCUGGGUGAAGGACGGUUGAUNNNNNNNNNNNNNNNNNNNNNNNNNNNNNNNNNNNNNNNNNNNNNNNNNNNNNNNNNNNNNNNNNNNNNNNNNNNNNNNNNNNNNNNNNNNNNNNNNNNNAAAGGGCCCUAUGCGCAUUGGAAGAAAAAUCAAAGAGAAAGAAAAAAAGGAGGAGGUGGGAAGGGAAGGAAGGACUCCCACCCACCAAACCAAGUCCAACUCGGUUUGGGGGGGGAGACCUUCCCCCCUUGGCUCGGCCGACCCCCUUAGGGCUCCUUGAGCCCCAAGGCAAGGCCCCCCUCUCCCACCUAUAUAUACGGAGGUUUUAGGGCUGAUUUGAGACGACUUUUCCACGGCAGCCCGACCACAUACCUCCACGGUUUUUCCUCUAGAUCGCGUUUCUGCGGAGCUCGGGCGGAGCCCUGCUGAGACGAGAUCAUCACCAACCUCCGGAGCGCCGUCACGCUGCCGGAGAACUCUUCUACCUCUCGUCUCUCUUGCUGGAUCAAGAACGCCGAGAUCAUCGUCGAGCUGUACGUGUGCUGAACGCGGAGGUGCCGUCCGUUCGGUACUAGAUCAUGGGACUGAUCGCGGGAUUGUUCGUGGGGCGGAUCGAGGGACGUGAGGACGUUCCACUACAUCAACCGCGUUCACUAACGCUUCUGCUGUACGGUCUACAAGGGUACGUAGAUCACUCAUCCCCUCUCGUAGAUGGACAUCACCAUGAUAGGUCUUCGUGCGCGUAGGAAAUUUUUUGAUUCCCAUGCGACGUUCCCCAACAAGUUGCAUUCAUCAUCGCAUCAUGCGCAUCAUCUGCAUUGCAUCGGCACUCCGUUGCCACCAGUUUUCUAAACUUGCAUCCGCUAUUAGUUGCCGGUUCUCUCCGUGUUCGUUUUUGCCCGUUGUGAGUCCAACCACACACGCACGCGCCAGCGACAUCGUCAAACCCUUUUUUUUAAAGUGUGUUUAAAAAUUUCUCUGAUUGGGUUGAAACUUGGCGUGCGGUCUUAUUUAGAUAUAGGUAGGCCGCCUGCCAAAUUUCGUUGCAAUCGGAGUCCAUCUGGUACCCGAACGGUCGACCGUGGCGGCACCGUAUCCGGUCUAUCGUCGGACGUUUUUCGGCAUUUUAAAUCGCGUUGCUGUGCCGCACCAUUUCCCUCUCAUCCCCGGCUAGCCUACUCUACACAUCCACUUAGCCUUUCCUUCGUUCAAAACCGGCCGAUUUAGAUCGCGUGGUUGAAACCGGGGCGAAAUUCUGCUAAACCUAGCCCCCCAUUGUUAUAAAUAGACCCCCAUGCCAUUUUAGGCAGCCACACUCUCUCUCCCUCGUUUCCCGUGCUAACCCUAACCCUAGCCGCGCAGCCAUUCCCACCUCCUCCAGCCGCCGGCCCAUGGGGCCCGAUUUGAGCCCGCCCGAGCCCAUCUGGACCCGGGUCAACCGCCGGCCUCCCCGAGCUUCCCCUCGCUGCAGCUUCAUGCACGUCGUGCUGGACCACGCCGGAAGACCGCCGCCCCCUUGCCGGAGAUCCAGCNNNNNNNNNNNNNNNNNNNNNNNNNNNNNNNNNNNNNNNNNNNNNNNNNNNNNNNNNNNNNNNNNNNNNNNNNNNNNNNNNNNNNNNNNNNNNNNNNNNNGAUGGGCCGGGCCAGGCUAGGCGACAGGUAAGGGUUUCCCAUUUUUUUCUGUUUUUGUUUUUUUUGUUUUGCUAAUUAUUUCAGCUCCAAAACAAAAAGUAAAAACUAUUUUAGACCUCCUGAAAUAUUGUUAUAACAUUCCCAACCAUUUCCAAAGUUUUCAACAUUUUUCGAAAUUUAUAGAUUCUGAUUUCAAAUUUAAAACUUGAAACCAGUAUCCUUUUGCAUUUAUUUAAAAUGCUUAAAGUGUCAAGAAAAUAGUUUUCUCCAAUGCUCAUUUACUUUCAUGAUUUAUCAGAAAGUUUGAACAUUUCUUGAGGCCAUUUUGGGUUCACUGAUUUGAACUAGUUUGAUAUUUUCUUUAAUAGAAAUAGUGGCUAGGGUUUUGAGUUUUUCCUUUGCCACUUUGUUGUUUUUGUUGAAACUUCUUAGAUGCAAAUUCAAAGAAGACAUGAGCACAAGACUAACUUGCUUAAGGGUUAGGGAUGUGACAACUCACCCCCACUCAAAAGAAUCUCGUCCCGAGAUUNNNNNNNNNNCGUCGGGAAUAACGCCGGAUAUUCAAGUCGGAUACGAUCCUCUCUUUCCCAAGUCGCCUCCUUUUCAGAAUGAUUUGACCAUUGAACUUUCAGAAACUUGAGGUUUCGACGUCGAGUGGUACGCUCAGCUUGAUCAAGAAUACGCAUGGGGUAUUCUUGGUAAGAAAGGUUAUCUUGGAGAUCAAGCGUUUCGUGGUCCACUUCACGGAUAGGAUCCGAAAAGCAACGCCUGAGUUGCGAGNNNNNNNNNNAAAAAGGACCAAUGUAACGAGGAGCCAACUUGCCCUUUGAUACCGAAUUUAUUGGUACCCUUCAAAGGUGUAACCCGAAUGUAAGCCUUCUCGUCAACUUCNNNNNNNNNNACGUGGAAGACAUCAUGAACCUUGGAAAGAUGCGGAGGAAGUUCCAACUGGUAGGCAACUUCUCCUCGUUUGGCAAGAAUGCGAAAAGGACCAAUGUAACGAGGAGCCAACUUGCCCUUGAUACCGAAACGAUGGGUACCCUUCAAAGGUGUAACCCGAAGGUAAGCCUUCUCGUCAACUUCAAAGGUCACAGCCUUAUGAUUACGAUCAUAAUUGCUCUUUUGACGAUACUGGGCUGUUUUCAACUUUUCACGAAUAAUGCGAACCUGCUCUUCUGCAUCCUGGAUCAUAUCCGGGCCAAAGAGUUGCCUCUCUCCGGUUUCUGACCAAUUAAGAGGUGUUCGACAUCUUCGUCCAUAGAGAACUUCAAAAGGGGCUUUGCCCAAGCUUGAUUGAUAACUAUUGUUAUAAGCAAAUUCGGCGAAUGGAAGGCACUUCUCCCAAUUCAUACCGAAUGAUAUAACACAAGCUCGGAGCAUAUCUUCUAAGAUUUGAUUCACUCUUUCUACUUGACCACUUGAUUAGGGAUGGAAAGCAGUGCUAAAAGAUAAGUGAGUCCCCAUGGCAUUCUGAAAACUUUCCCAGAAGCGAGAAUUAAAGAUACUCCCACGGUCCGAGUUAAUCUCCACGGGAACACCAUAAAGAGACACUAUUCGAGAGAUAUAUAACUUCGCUAGCUGGCUAGCCGUUAUACUCUCACGAACGGGAAGAAAAUGAGCUACUUUGGAAAGACGGUCAAUGACCACAAAGAUAUCAUUAUUUCCUUUCUUGGUCUUGGGAAAUCCGGUAAUGAAAUCCAUACGAACUUUAUCCGAUUUCCAUUCAGGAAUAGCUAAAGGUUGAAGGGUGCCAGCGGGCCUUUGAUGUUCUGCCUUAACUCGACGAUAAACGUCGCAGUUAGCAACGAACUCAGCAAUUUCUCUCUUCGUCCUAGUCCACCAGAACCUCUGGCGUAGGUCCUGAUACAUCUUAGUACUACCGGGAUGAAUGGUGAGAGGAGAAACAUGAGCCUCCAUAAGGAUCAAUUGCCGCAAACGUUUGCUCUUAGGAACCACUAAACGGUUCUGAAAGAACACAACACCUUUCUCAUUGAUGGAGAAGUACCUAGCAUUACCGCUAGCAAUAUUCUCCUUGAUCCGGGAUAUACCCUUAUCAUAAGCGUGCAAGGCUAUGAUUUGAUCCCUAAGAGUAGGCUUCGCCACGAGGGUAGAAAGGAAUCCUUGAGGAACAAUAUGAAGAUUCAACUUCCGAAAUUCCUCAUAGAGAUGUGGUUGACCUUGUUGUAGCAUCAAAUUGUUACAAUAAGAUUUACGACUUAGUGCAUCAGCCAUAACAUUGGCCUUCCCCGUCUUGUAAGAUAUCCCUAAGUCGUAAUCCGAGGUCAACUCAACCCACCGUCUUUGCCUGAGAUUCAAAUCCGGCUGGGUGAAGAUAUAUUUUAGACUUUGGUGAUCAGUGAAUAUUUCGCAACGAUUACCCAGAAGGUAANNNNNNNNNNUUUGACGAGACUGGGCUGUUUUCAACUAUUCACGAAUAAUGCGAACCUGCUCUUCUGCAUCCUGGAUCAUAUCCGGACCAAAGAGUUGCCUCUCUCCGGUUUCUGACCAAUUAAGAGGUGUUCGACAUCUUGGUACAUAGAGAACUUCAAAAGGGGCUUUGCCCAAGCUCGAUUGGUAACUAUUGUUAUAAGCGAAUUCGGCGAAUGGAAGACACUUCUCCCAAUUCAUACCGAACGAUAUAACACAAGCUCGGAGCAUAUCUUCUAGAAUUUGAUUCACUCUUUCUACUUGACCACUUGAUUGGGGAUGGAAAGCAGUGCUAAAAGAUAAGUGAGUCCCCAUGGCAUUUUGAAAACUUUCCCAGAAGCGGGAAGUAAAGAUACUUCCACGGUCCGAGUUAAUAUCUAGGGGAACACCAUGAAGAGACACUAUUCGGGAGAUAUAUAACUCUGCUAGCUGGCUAGCUGUUAUACUCUCACGAAGAGGAAGAAAAUGAGCCACUUUGGAAAGACGGUCAAUGACCACGAAGAUAGCAUUAUUUAUUUUCUUGGUCUUGGGAAAUCCGGUAAUGAAAUCCAUGCUAACUUUAUCCCAUUUCCAUUAAGGAAUAGCUAGAGGUUGAAGGGUGCCAGCAGGCCUUUGAUGUUCUGCCUUAACUCGACGACAAACGUCGAAGUUGGCAACGAACUCAGCAAUUUCUCUCUUCAUCCUAGUCCACCAGAACCUCUGGCGUAGGUCCUGAUACAUUUAGUACUACCAGGAUGAAUGGUGAGAGGAGAAUCAUGAGCCUCCUUAAGGAUUAACUGCCUUAGAUGUGGGUUCUUAGGAACCACUAAACGAUUCUGGAAGAACACAACACCUUGAUCGUUCAUGGAAAAUUCUUUAGCGUUUCCGCUAAAAAUAUUCUCCUUGAUCCGUGAUAUACCCUUGUCACGCUAUUGGACAGCUAUAAUUUGAUCCUUAAGAGUAGGCUUCGCCACCAGGGUAGAAAGGAAUCCUUGAGGAACAAUAUGAAGAUUCAACUUUCGAAAGUCCUCAUGGAGAUGUGGUUGACCUUGUUGUAGCAUCAAAUUGUUACAAUAAGAUUUACGACUUAGCGCAUCGGCCAUAACAUUGGCCUUCCCCGGGGUGUAAGUUAUCCCUAAGUCGUAAUCCGAGAUGAACUCAACCCACCGUCUUUGCCUGAGGUUCAAAUCCGGCUGGGUGAUGAUAUAUUUCAGACUUUGGUGAUCAGUGAAUAUUUCGCAACGAUUACCCAGAAGGUAAUGUCGCAAGGUUUUUAGUGCAUGGACCACAGCUGCAUGCUCAAGGUCAUGUGUGGGAUAAUUAUCCUCAUGUGGACGCAACUGUCGAGAUGCGUAUGCGAUCACAUGACGAUCUUGCAUGAGAAUGCAACCUAAUCCUUGUCGCGAGGCGUCGCAAUAGAUAACAAAGUCCUUAGAAAAAUCUGGUGGUAGCAACACAGGUGCGGAAGUCAGGCGUCUUUUCAGUUCCUGAAAACUAUGCUCACACUGUGUUGUCCACUCGAACUUUUUAUCGUUCUUGAGGAGUUCAGUUAGAGGCUUUGCAACCUUGGAGAAAUUCUCGACGAAGCAGCGACAAUAGCUCGCUAAACCAAGAAAACUCCUAACUUGCUUAACCGAUUCAGGUUGGGUCCAAUCAAGCACAGCUUGAACUCUCUCGGGAUUGACAGCAAUACCCUUACCAGAGAUUACGUGGCCCAGAUAGGUCACUUCUGGUAACCAGAAUUCACAUUUUGAAAACUUGGCAUAAAGGGGAUGCUCUCGAAGUUUCAUCAAUACCAGCCUUAGAUGCUCGGCAUGUUCUUGUUCAUUCUUCGAGUAGAUGAGAAUAUCAUCGAGGUAUACCACGACGAAUUUAUCCAAAUACUCCAUGAAGAUUGAAUUCAUCAGUCGAGAGAAGGUGGCUGGGGCAUUGGUUAAACCGAAGGACAUAACGGUGUACUCAUAUUGGCCAUAACGAGUAACAAAAGCCGUUUUUGGAAUGUCCCCGUUCUUAAUCUUGAUAUGAUGGUAUCCCAACCUCAAAUCCAUUUUGGAGAAGACUGAGGAUCCAGCGAGCUGAUCGUACAGGUCGUUGAUCCUGGGGAGCGGAUACUUGUUCUUUAUGGUGACCAGAUUAACUGGUCGGUAAUCUACAACCAUCCGAUCCGUUCCGUCUUUCUUAUUGACGAAGAGGACGAGACAAGCCCAAGGAGAAGAGCUAGGACGAAUGAAACCCUUGUUCAAGGCCUCAUCUAGUUUCUUUUUAAGUUUGGCUAGCUCUAGGGGUGCCAUCUUAUAAGGUCUCCUGGCUAUUGGGACAGUUCCUGGAACAAGAUCUAUUACAAACUCUACAUCUCUGUGAGGUGGAAUUCCUGGCAGUUCCUCUGGAAAAACAUCUGGGAAGUCACGAACUACCGGAAUGUCUUCAAGUUCCGGAAGAGGAUUGGCAUUUAGGGAAUAGAGUUGGCAUUUGGCAACUCGAGUGGAGACAUUUACUAUCUCACCCGAGGGAUGGGUAAGCUGGACAUUUCUAGAGCGAGUAUCAAUCUUGGCAUAGUGAGCUGACAUCCAGUCCAUGCCCAAGAUGAUAUUAAUAUCCAAAGAUUUCAAUGCUAUCAAUGAGGCUAGUUUUGUCUACUAGAAUUUCAUUGACAUAGGUUAUCCUAGAGGUUUGCCAUUUACUACCAGGGGUUUGGACAACCAAUGGAGUUGGCAUAUCACAAAAAGACAUGUUAUGCAACUGUGCAUAACUUUCCGAAAUGAAGGAAUGAGAAGACCCAGUGUCAAAGAGAACGGACGCUCGGUGAUGAUUAACAAGAAGCGUACCCAGCAUGACGUCGGGAUCCUCUGCAGCUUCUUUCGCUGACACAUAGUUCACACGGCCACGUGCAGGAGUUGGCUUCACAUAAUAAGCUUUGCCCGACUUGGCCUGCCCGACGGACUUUCCGGGUUGCUUGGCACCCACAUUCUGAGGACACUCACGGGAAUAGUGCCCUGGUACUCCACACUUGUAGCAUAUCACCUGGUUGGCACGUGGUGCAGCAUUGCUAGCUGGACCACCAUAAGCUUUUGCUGGAGGGUUAGCCUGAUUCGUCUGAGGCGCUACAUAGGAUGGCCUCAGAGUGUAUCUUGGCGGCAGAGAACUGUUUGGAACCCACAGCCUGCGUUUUGGAAACGCGGAACCAGAAGACGAGCCAAAGUCACGGGAGUGCUUCCUUGUGGCUUCGAAGUCAGUAUGACCAGUCUCGGCAUUGAUCGCCUUGUUGACUAGGGCUUGAAUGCUUGCACACUCAUGGAGGCGCAGAUCACGACGGAGCUCAGGGCUCAGACCCUUAUGGAAUCUUGCUUGCUUCUUGGCGUCGGUAGACACCUCCUCUGUUGCAUAGCGGGCGAGGUCACCGAACUAGCGGCUAUAGGCAUCCACAGACAACUUGCCCUGAGUGAAGGCACAGAACUCCUCUCUCUUUCUGUCCAGCAGGCCCUCUGGAAUAUGGUGCAGACGAAAAGCUGCACUGAAGUGUGCCCAUGUGGCCACGGGUUCAGCGGGACGCAUAGCAUCAAAAUUCUCCCACCACAGAUUGGCGGGUCCUUCCAAGAAAUACGCCGCGAAGGUCACCUUGUCGGCCUCAGACACAUUCGCAGAGCGAAUCUUGCGUGAGAUGCUGCACAGCCAGUCAUCAGCGUCGAGGGGAUCGACGGAAUGAUGAAACUUUGGAGGAUUCAGCUUCACAAAGUCAUUGAGGGACACUGCGGCAUUCCUAGGCUGUCGNNNNNNNNNNNNNNNNNNNNNNNNNNNNNNNNNNNNNNNNNNNNNNNNNNNNNNNNNNNNNNNNNNNNNNNNNNNNNNNNNNNNNNNNNNNNNNNNNNNNACAGAAUGAAAUUAAUGAUUCGAAAUUGUCCCGCUCAUGGCUUGAGCCUUUGGAUGAUUAUUCAAAUCUUUUACGCUGGCUUGAAUUUCGCUUCUAGAAAUAUCUUGGACUCCGCCUCAGGUGGAACGUUCAUGGAAAUCACGUUAGGAGAAGCCAAAAAGCUCUUAGACAAUAUCAUGACGAACUACUCUCAGUGGCACACUGAAAGGUCACAUACUAGUAAGAAGGUACACGCUAUAGAGGAAAUUAACUUGUUUAGUGCUAAGAUGGAUGAGUUAAUGAAUUUGGUUUCUAGUAGAAGUGCUCCUUUGGAUCCUAAUGAUUUGCCUUUGUCUUAUUUGAUUGAGAGUAGCAACGCUAGCUUGGACGUUAAUUUUCUUGGUAGGAAUAACUUUGGCAACAACAACGCUUUUAGAGGAAACUAUGUUCCUAGGCCUUUUCCUAGUAACUCCUCUAAUAACUUUGGCAACUCCUACAACAAUACCCAUGGAAAUUACAAUAGAUUACCCUCUGGUCUAGAGAGUAAUAUCAAAGAGUUCAUCAACUCUCAAAAUAUUUUCAAUGCGUGCAUAGAGGAAAAACUACUCAAAAUUGACGAUUUGGCUAAGAGCGUUGAUAGGAUUUCUUGUGAUGUUGAUGCUUUGAAAGUUAGAUGUGCUCCUCCCAAAAUCAACAUGGAUGAAACUUUGAAAGCUAUGCGUGUUUCCAUGAUUGAGAGCCAAGAAAGAACCGCCCAAAUUCGUGCUAGACAUGAAUGGCUCAAAAAGGCGUGUUCUCGUGAUGAGAAUCACGAAGAUAUUAAAGUACUUGGUGUGACUCCCAUUGAAUCUUUGUUUUCUUGUGUCAAACCUAAUGAUUAUGGGGCUGGAUAUGAAUCCACUUUGGUUGAAAAGUGCCCCAAUGAUUCGGAGUCCAUCUAUCUUGAUGCUAAAACAUUAAAAGUGGAGUAGAAGACGUUAAAACUUUGAGUAGUAAUGAAAUUACUACCAUGGAUUUCAAGGAAUUCAAUUAUGAUAGUUGCUCCUUGAUUGAAUGCAUUUCUUUGAUGCAAUCCAUGUUGAACUCUCCACACGCUAAUAGCCAAAACAAAGCCUUUACCGAUCAUAUCGUUGAAGCUAUGAUAAAAUCUCUUGAACAGAAACUUGAAUUGGAAGUAUCUAUCCCUAGAAAGCUUCAUGAUGAGUGGGAACCUACCAUCAAAAUCAAAAUCAAAAACUAUGAGUGCAAUGCUUUGUGUGAUUUGGGUGCUAGUGUUUCUGCGAUUCCAAAGUCUUUAUGUGUUAUUCUGGGUUUUUGUGAGAUUGAAGAGUGUUCUCUUAAUUUGCAUCUUGUUGAUUCUACUAUCAAGAAACCCAUGGGAAGGAUCAAUGAUGUUAUUUUUAUUGCAAAUAGGAACUAUGUACCUGUGGAUUUCAUUGUGCUUGACAUUGAUUGCAAUCCUACAUGCCCUAUUAUUCUUGGUAGACCUUUCCUAAGGACUAUCGGUGCUAUCAUCGAUAUGAAGGAAGGGAAUAUUAGAUUUCAGUUUCCUUUAAGGAAGGGAAUGGAACACUUUCCUUGAAAGAAAAUAAGAUUGCCUUACGUAUCCAUGAUGAGGGGUACUUAUGGUUUGAGCACCAAAGACGACGAUACGUGAUUCUAUCGCUUAUAUGCCUAGCUAAGGACGUUAAACAAUAGCGCUUGUUGGGAGGCAACCCAAUGAAUUUAUCUUUUUCUUUCUGUUUUGUUGCGUCCAUACUUUCACAAUUCUGCUGUGAUUGUGUUUUUUGUGUUUGAGCCAAUUAAAACCUUUAUGACUAGUCUUGGUAAUGGUUGUUUGAUCCUGCUGGAAAAAGAUAGAAACUUUUCGCUCACGAGAUGAUUUUUCAUUUUUAUUUAGAAAGAGCUUUUGAGUUGAUUAUUUUUGCUGCUGAUUGAUAUGCCUUUUCCCCAGACCUUCGUAAGUUUUCAGAUUUUUUGAGGACCAGAAGUAUACGAAGUAUACAGAUUGCUACAGAUUGGUCUGUUUUUGACAGAUUUUGUUUUUGUUGAGUUGGUUGUUUGUUUUGAUGAAAAUAUGGUUAGGAUCGGUGGGUACUAGCCAUGGGAAAGUGAGAAUAUAGUAGCCCAUCAUCAAUAUAGUUGGAAUUCAAGUUUUCUACAGUACCAAAAGAAGUGGUAGUUUGUUUUCUUGUACUAAUGUUAUCACAAGUUUGUGUUUAAGUUUUGUAUUGUGAAGUUUUCAAGUUUUGGGUGACGUUCUCAUGGACAAAGAGAUAAGGAGUGGAAAGAGAUCAAGCUUGGGGAUGCCCAAGUAAUCCCAAGCCAAAUUAAAGGACACCAAAAAUCCUAAGCUUGGGGAUGCCCCGGGAAGGCAUCCCCUCUUUUGUCUUCAAUCCAUCGGUAACAUUACUUGAAGCUAUAUUUUUAUUCACCACAUGAUAUGUGUUUUGCUUGGAGCGUCUUGUACCUUAGGAGUCUUUUCUUUUUGUUGUGUCACAAUCAUCCUUUCUGCACACCUUUUUGAGAGAGAGAGACAUGCACUCAUCGUGAUUUUGCUAGAAUGCUCAUUGUGCUUCACUUAUAUCUUUUGAGCUAGAUACUUUUGCUCUUGUGCUUCACUUAUAUCUUUUGAGCUAGAUACUUUUUCUCUUGUGCUUCACUUAUAUCUUUAGAGCACGGCGGUGCGUGAUUUGGUAGUUGGCUUAUGCUAUGAAAGUAGUCCAAUGUGCUAGGUACCCCAAGAGGAUGCAAAAACCUCCAUCUUCAUGUGCAUUGAGUAGAAAGAGAAGUUUUGAUUCCUCUCAAUUAGUUUUGAGAUGUGGAUUCGGUAAUAUUAAAAGUUAUGUUAGUAGGGUGUUGUGAAUCUAGAGAUACUUGUGUUGGAGUUAGUGAUUCCCGUAGGAUGCACGUAUGGUGAACCGCUAUGUUAGGAAGUCGGAGCACAAUUGAUCUAUUGAAUGUCAUCUUUUGUGUUGAGGUCGAGAUCGCGCGAUGGUUUACACCUACCAACCCUUCCCCUCGGAGUAUGCAUUUAGCACUUUGUUUUGAUAACUAAUAAAAACUUUUGCAACAAGUAUGUGAGUUCUUUAUGACUAAUGUUGAGCCCAUGGUAUAGAUGCACUUUCACCUUCCACCAUUGCUAGCCUCUCAAGGGCCGCGCAAUUCUCGCCGGUGCACAAACCCACCAAAUUCCUUCCUCAAAACAGCCACCAUACCUACCUACUAUGGCAUUUUCAUAGCCAUUCCGAGAUAUAUUGCCAUGCAACUCCAACCGUUCCGUCUCAUGACUUGUGUCAUCACUCUCAUAUUGCCAUUGAAUGAUCAUACUAGAUCGUUGCACAUCCCGGUACACUGCCGGAGGCAUUUCCUAUGGAGUCAUCAUCAUUGUGAUCUUUGAGCUUUGAGUAACUAAAAAGUGUGAUGAUCAUUAUUAGAUCAUUGUCCCAUGUGAGGAAAAAAAUAGGCCAAAGAGCCCAAACACAAAAAAAAAAGAAAAAAGAAAAAAAAGAGGCCUACGAGCCCAAAUAAAAAAAAGGAAAUGAGAGAAAAGAGACAAGGGACAAUGCUACUAUCUUUUUCCACACUUGUGCUUCAUGUUAGCACCAUGUUCUUCAUCAUUGAGAGCUUCUUGCUUUGUCACUACCAUAUGCUAGUGGGAAUCUUCGUUUUAUAACUUGGCUUGUAUAUUCCAAUGAUGGGCUUCCUCAAAAUUGCGCUAGGUCUUCGUGACCAAGCAAGUUGGAUGCACACCCACUAGUUUUCCUCUUGAGCUUUCACAUACUUAUAGCUCUAGUGCAUCUCUUGUAUGGCAAUCCCUACUCAUUCACAUUGAUAUCUAUUAAUGGGCAUCUCCAUAGCCUAUUGAUACGCCGAGUCAGUGUGACCAUCUCCUCCUUUUUGUCUCACAACCACCACACUCUAUUCCAGCUAUAGUGCUAUAUCCAUGGCUCGCGCUCAUGUAUUGCGUGAUAGUUAUAAAAAGUUUGAGAAAGUAAGAGUGCGAAAACAAUUACUUGGCCAAUUCCGGGGUUGUGCAUGAUUUACAUUAGUUGUGUGAGGAUGAUGGAGCAUAGACAGACUAUAUGAUUUUGUAGGGAUAACUUUCUUUGGCCUUGUUAUUUCGAAAGUUCAUGAUUACUUUGCAAGUUUGCUUGAAGUAUUAUUGUUUUCAUGUCAAUAGAAAACUAUUGUUUUGAAUCUUCUGGAUCUGAACAUUCAUGCCACGUGAAAGAAGUUGCAAAGGACGACUAUGCUAGGUAGCAUUCCACAUCAAAAAUUCAUUCUUUUUCACUUCCCAACUCGAGGACGAGGAGGAGUUAAGCUUGGGGAUUUUUGAUACGUCUCCAACGUAUCUAUAAUAUUUGAUGGUUUCUUGCUAUUAUCUUGUCAAACUUUGGAUGUUUUGCAUGCCUUUUAUUUAUUUUCGGGGACUAACUUAUUAAUUCAGUGAAAAGUGCCAGUUCCUGUUUUUCCUUGUUUUUGACCCCUUUUAGAGGAGAUUUUGAAACGGAGUCCAAACGAAAGAAAAUCCCCGAAAAGAUUUUUUCUAGAACGGAAGAAGAUCCGGGGACUUGGGAGCCAAGCCAAAAGAGCCACAGGGGCCCCACAAGCCCCCACCCCGCGGCCAGGGGGCCGCCCCAUGCAGGUUUGUGGACCCCUGGAGGUCUCCUGACCUAGAUCUUGCGCCUAUAUAUUCCCAAAUAUUCCCAUAAAAUCAGAGGACGAUUGCAAUCACUUUUCCGCCGCCGCAAGCUUCUGUCUCCGCAAGAUCCAAUAUGGGGCACGUCCUGGUGCCCUGCCGGAGGGGAUUCGGACACAGAGGGCUUGUUCAUCAACACCAUGACCUCUCCGAUGAUGCGUGAAUAGUUCACCAUAGACCUACGGGUCCAUAGCUAGUAACUAAAUGGCUUCUUCUCUCUCUUGGAUCUUCAAUACAAAGUUCUCCAUGAUCUUCAUGGAGAUCUAUCCGAUGUAAUCUUAUUUUGUGGUGUGUUUGUCGAGAUCCGAUGAAUUGUGGAUUUAUGAUCAGAUUAUCUAUGAAUCUUAUUUGAGUUUCUUCUGAUCUCUCUUAUGCAUGAUUUCAUAUCCUUGUAAUUCUCUUCGAGUUGUGGGUUUUGUUUGGCCAACUAGAUCUAUGAUUCUUGCAAUGGGAGAAGUGCUUGGUUUGGGGUUCAUACCAUGCAGUGACCUCACCCAGUGACAGAUGGGGUAGCGAGGCAUGUAUCGUGUUGUUACCAUCAAGGUUAAAAAGAUGGGGUUUUCAUCAUUGGUUUGAGAUUAUCCCUCUACAUCAUGUCAUCUUGCUUAAAGCGUUACUCUGUUCAUCAUGAACUCAAUACACUAGAUGUAUGCUGGAUAGCGGUCGAUGCUUGGAGUAAUAGUAGUUGAUGCAGAAAGUAUCGGUCUACUUGUCUCAGACGUGAUGCCUAUAUUCUAGAUCAUUGCCUUAGAUAUCGUCAUGACUUUGCGCGGUUCUAUCAAUUGCUCAACAGUAAUUUGUUCACCCACCAUAUUAAUUGCUAUUUUGAGAGAAGCCUCUAGUGAACACUAUGGCCCCCAGGGUCUACUCCACACCAUAUUUUCAGCCUUACUCUUUUCACUCCGUUGCACUUUCCGCCUUUAGAUCUCACUUUGCAAACAAUCUUGAAGGGAUUGACAACCCUUUGAAGCGUUGGGUGCAAGCUUGUUUGUGUUUGCGCAGGUACUCUGGACUUGACGAGACCCUCCUUCUGGAUCGAUACCUUGGUUCUCAAACUAAGGGAAAUACUUACUGCUCCUGUGCUGCAUCACCCUUUCCUCUUCAAGGGAAAAACCAACGCAAGCCCAAUCUCCGUCAACAUGUCAAUUUCUGGCGUUGUUGUUUGAGAAGUAGCAUGGUACAUCACCCGUUAAGCUUGGAUGGAAGCUAGGAGUCAAGAUUUCUUGCGCCAUUGUCGGGGAAGAUCAAGUCAAGAUCUAUUAGGUUCCUACAUACAACUCUCAUCUCCUUGUAAUUACAUUAUUUGUCAUUUGCCUCUCGUUUUCCUCUCCCCCACUUUACAAAAAAAUUGCCUCUUAUUUCUACUUCUUUCCAUUUGUCAUUUUCUUGUCGGAUCUCUUGUUUGCAUGAUCGUUAUCUCUUGCAUUACUCCUCCUCCUUUGGCACCAGAUUUUGAAGUCUUGUGGUUCAAACAAAAACAAGGACAAAGUUAGAAAUAUGCUUGGUAUAGGCUGAUGGAAUCUUAUCGUGUUUGCAAUUUAAAAGGAGGUGCAAAGAUUUUUCUCCAUAAAUUUUAUAUAGGAUUAAACAUGCAUCACAGAACACUUCUAGAUUUUGCCGCUAAAGGAGAUUUUGUUGAGAUUGUUGCUAAUGCUGCUUAUGAAAUAAUAGUGGGGAUAUUGGGGGUUCCGCCAUUCAAAAAGGGAUUUACUUUUACACAAUAAGGAUCUCCAAUAUUAGACAAAUUGGGAGAUCUACACGAAUUGUUGACUUGCAAAAAUCUUAUGAACCUCUCAAAAUGUUGGGGAACGUCGCAUGGGAAACAAAAAAAUUCCUACGCGCACGAAGACCUAUCAUGGAGAUGUCCAUCUAUGAUAGGAGAUUUGGAUCUAUGUACCCUUGUAGAUCGUACAACAGGAAUCGUUAAGAAACGUGGUUGAUGUAGUGGAACGUCCUCACGUCCCUUGAUCCUCCCCACGAACCGUCCCAUGAACCGUCCCGCGAUCCGUCCCACGAUCCGCUCCGAUCUAGUGCCGAACGGAUGGCACCUCCGCGUUCAGCACACGUUCAGCUCGACGAUGAUCUCGACCUUCUUGAUCCAGCAAGCAAGACAAAGAAGUAGAUGAGUUCUCCGGCAGCAUGACGGCGCUUCGGUGGUGGUGAAGGAUCUACUCCUGCAGGGCUCCGCCCAAGCUCCGUAGAAAUACGAUCUAGGGGGAAAACCGUGAUGUUUUGUGGUCGGGCUGCCGUGGAAAAGUUGUCUCAAAUCAACCCUAGACCUUCACUAUAUAUAGGAGGAGGGGUGGGGAGACUUGCCUUAGGGUCCAAGACCCCAAGAGCCCGCCGGCCAAGGAGUUGGAGGAGUCCACCUCCAAUCCUAGUCCAACUAGGAUUGGAAGGUGGAGUCCUUCCCUUCCUUCCCACCUCCUUUUUUUUCUCUUUCCUUCGAUUUCUCUAUCCCCUGCGCAUAGGGCCUAUUGGGCUGUCUCACCAGCCCACUAAGGUCUGGUGUGGCACCCCUAAGGCCUAUGGGCUUCCCCGGGGUGCGCUGCCCCCCCCCCCCCNNNNNNNNNNNNNNNNNNNNNNNNNNNNNNNNNNNNNNNNNNNNNNNNNNNNNNNNNNNNNNNNNNNNNNNNNNNNNNNNNNNNNNNNNNNNNNNNNNNNNNNNNNNNNNNNNNNNNNNNNNNNNNNNNNNNNNNUCCCGGUAAUGCCCGAAAACUUUCCGGUAAUCAAAUGAGAUCAUCCUAUACAUCAAUCUUCGUCUCCGGACCAUUCGGGAAACCCUCGUGACUUCCGUGAUCUCAUCUGGGACUCCAAACAACAUUCGUUAACCACACAUAUAACUCAACUAUACUAAAACAUCGCGGAACCUUAAGUGUGCAGACCCUGCGGGUUCGAGAACUAUGUAGACAUGCCCCGAUGUACUCCUCAGUCAAUAUCCAAUAGCGGGACCUGGAUGCCCAUAUUGGAUCCUACAUAUUCUCCGAAUAACUCAUCGGUUGAACCUCAGUGUCAAGGAUUCAGGCAAUCCCGUAUGUCAUUCCCUUUGUCCUUCGGUAUGUUACUUGCCCGAGAUUCGAUCGUCGGUAUCCACAUACCUAUUUCAAUCUCGUUACCGACAAGUCUCUUUUCUCGUUCCGUAAUACAAGAUCCCAUGACUUAAACUUAGUCAUGUUGCUUGCAAGGCUUGUGUGUGAUGUUGUAUUACCCAGAGGGCCCCGAGAUACCUCUCCGUCACACGGAGUGACAAAUCCCAGUCUUGAUCCACACUAACCCAACGGACACCUUCGGAGAUACCAGUAGAGCACCUUUAUAGUCACCCAGUUACGUUGUGACGUUUGAUACACACAAGGCAUCCCUCCGGUGCCAGUGGGUUAUAUGAUCUCCUGGUCAUAGGAACAAAUACUUGACACGCAGAAAACAAUAGCAAUAAAAUGACAUGAUCAAUAUGCUACGUUCAUAGUUUGGGUCUAGUCCAUCACAUGAUUCUCCUAAUUAUGUGAUCCAGUCAUCAAGCAACAACACUUUGCACAUGCUCAGAAAACCUUGACUAUCCUUGAUCAACUGGCUAGCCAACUAGAGGUAUGCUAGGGACAUUGUUUUGUCUACUUAUCCACAUAUGUAUCUAGGUUUUCAUUCAAUACAAUUAUAGCAUGUAUAAUAAACGAUUAUCUUUAAACAGUAAAUAUAAUAAUAACUAUUUAUCAUUGCCUCUAGGGCAUAUUUCCAACACAAACAUAUUAGUGGAAACAUCAAUCGCAUGAAUACUUUGAAUACCUUGUGUAAUAAGCGUUUGCAUAUUUUGUAUCUUAAGAUGGCGCCUUUUCCUGAGAACAUUAGAAAACUUAAAGAGCCACCUAGGUUUGAGAGAGCCCUUACAAAGAUAGCAAAAAACUAAAGAUGAUAAUACUUGAAUCUAUGUUAUAUGCCUAGGUUCGGGCGUAAAUUGAUAGCGCUUGUUGGGAGGCAACCCAAUGAAUAAAAUUUAUUUUUAACUUUUUCUUUCUGUUCUUGAGUAUUCACUACAGGACUCUGAUAUUUUGCCGUCUGCCAUGGCGGAUGGCAAAGGGGGCCACCCCGGACGGCAAAGGCCUUUGCCGUUCGUCAGCACACGGAAAACUGGACGGCAAACGAAAAGCCGGUGAAGGGCCUCUUUGCCGUCUGCAUUGGGACAGCUCACAGUAAAGGAUCUUUGCCGUCAGGGGGGUGACGGCAAAGAAUAUGGGACUGCACAUCUGCGGGCUCCUCCGUCAAGUGCUAACGGUGGCCUGCUGGGCCCACAGAUAGUUUGCCGUCGUCCAUUGGCCCCUUUGCCGUUUGCCGUGCUGGUGGACAGAUGGCAAAGGCACCGCCAAAGCCCCUCUUGUUUGCACCUUUGCCAUCUUCCCUUUGACCCUUUGCCGUGUGCCCCUUUGACCCUUUGCCGUCCGCCGUCUGGUGGGCUGACGGCAAAGGUACCAGAAAAGCCCCUCUCACUUGCCCCUUUGCCGUCUGCCCUUUGACCCGUUGCCAUCUGCCCAUUGACUCUUUGCCGUCCGCCCACCAGCAUGGCAAACGACAAAGGGGGCACCCAGUUUGAUUCAAAAAAGGCCAGUUUGGCCCCUUUGCCAUCUGCUGUUGCUCCUUUGCCGUCGGUGGGCACACGGCAAAGGCUCCAAACUGCCACUGUUUAUUUUAUUUUUAAUAAUGUCCAGCAAUUUUCACACAAAUCAGGAAUAUAUCUCACACAAACUGCCCCAAAUGACAUAAUAGAUUUCACACAAACUACCCAUACUCAUAACCAUAUUAAAAUAAGUUUCAUCCAUAAUCCAUACAUAUGAUGCAAAUUUCAUCUGUACCAAACCAUAUAUUACACUAGUUUCAUCUAUACAUAUAACGUUUCAUAUCCAUUUACUACAAUAGUUUCAAUCCAAGCUUCUGUGAAGCCAUUUUGGAAGAAACCAUAUUGAAGCACUCCAUCAAUAUAAUCCAAGCUUCCGUGAAUUGAAUGUAAUCUGCAAAAUGGGAAAUAAGUAAGUUAGAAGAAGAAGACUAGAUGAAGAGGAGAAGAAAUAAGUAAGUUUCAUAUCCAUUUAGCUCCAAAAAGACAUACUUAGCUAAUUUAGCUCCAAGAAUAGGAGAAGAGGAGAAAUGAAAAGAAGAAGAGAAGAAGAAGAAGAAGAGGAAGGAGAAGAAGGAGGAGAAGAAGGAGAAGAAGGCUCCUCCUUUUCCUUCUCCUUAUCCUUCUCUUCUUUCUCCCCCUUCUUCUUCUCCUUCUUCUUCCUUCUUUUCAUUUCUCUUCUUCUUGGAGCUAAAUUAUCAAAGUAAGUCUUUUUCGAGCUAAAUGGGAUAAUUAUGUCAUUUUAGAGGAAAACAAGCUAAGUAUAUAAUAUUCAUGAGCUAACCAAGGUUCUUAUGCCAUUAUGAGCUUAUUAUGUCAUUUUGGAGCUAAAUUAGUCAUUUUAAUGAGCUAACCGAGGUUCUUAUGAUGUUUUUACCUAACUAAGCUAAUUAUGUCAUUUUUGAGGAUAAUUAGCUAAGUAUGUCUAUGUUGGGGAAAAUAAGCUACGUAGAAGAAGAAAGAAAAGAAGAGGAGAAGAAAAAGAAGAAGGAGGAGGAGGAGGAGAAGGAGAAGGAGAAGGAAGAGGAGAAGAGGAAGAAAAGAAGAAGGAAAAGAAGGAGGAGCUCUCCUUCUUCUUCUCUUCUUUUUCUCUUCUUCUUCUUCCUUCUUUUCAUUUUUCCUCUUCUUCUCCUCUUGUCCCCUUCUUUAGGCUAAAUUAGCUAAUUAUGCCUUUUUGGAUCUAAUUAUGUCAUUUUGAUGAUAAUUAGCUAAGUAUAGGUCAUGUUUUAUUAAAUAGACCAUUUUGCACCUAACUAAGCUAAUUAUGUCAUUUAGGUGGAAGCCUAGCUAACUAUAGGUCAUUUCGGAGCUAACUUGGGUAAAAUAUGUCAUUCCAGAGCAAACUAUGCUUAUUAAGCCAAUUUGGAUCUAGCUAAGCUAAUUAUAGGCCAUUUAAUACCUAAGUUAGGNNNNNNNNNNAGUUAGCCUUAUUAUCUCAUUCAAGAGAGAACUUAGCUAAGUAUAGGCCAUUUUUUUAUUAAAUAGGUCAUUUUACAGCUAACUAAGCCAAUUAUGUCAUUUAGGUGGAAGCCAAGCUAACUAUAUGUCGUUUUGGAGCUAAGUUGGGUUAAAUAUGUCAUUUUGGAGGAUAAUUAGCUAAGUAUAUGUCAUUUUUAUCAAAUAGACCAUUUUGGAGCUAACUAAGCUAAUUAUGUCAUUUAGGUGGAAGCCAAGCUAACUAUAUGUCGUUUUUGAAGCUAACUUGGGUUAAAUAUGUCAUUUUGGAGCUAAAUAUGCUUAUUAAGCCAUAUUGGAGCUAAAUUGGCUAAUUAUAUCAUUUAAGUGGAAGCCAAGCUUAGUAUAUAAUAUUCAUGAGCUAACCAAGGUUCUUAUGCCAUUUUGAGCUUAUUAUUUAAUUUUUGAGCUAAAUUGGUCAUUUUAAUGAGCUAACCAAGGUUCUUAUGAUGUUUUCACCUAACUAAGCAAAUUAUGUCAUUUUGUAGGAUAAUUAGCCAAUUUAGUCUUUGUUGGAUGAGUUUAAGCUACGUAGAAGAAUAGAAAGAGAAGAAGCAAGAAGAUAAGAAGAAGGAGAAGUAAAAGAAGAAGGAGGAGGGGGAGGAGAAGGAGAAGGAAGAGAAGAAGAAGAAGAAAAUAAGAAGGACAAGAAGAAGGAGAAGAAUGAGGAGAAGACGGAGAAGGAGCUUCUCUCCUCCUUCUCCUUCUUAUUCCUCCUUCUCCUUCUCCUUCUCCUUCNNNNNNNNNNNNNNNNNNNNNNNNNNNNNNNNNNNNNNNNNNNNNNNNNNNNNNNNNNNNNNNNNNNNNNNNNNNNNNNNNNNNNNNNNNNNNNNNNNNNNNNNNNNNNNNNNNNNNNNNNNNNNNNNNNNNNNNNNNNNNNNNNGCCUCUUUCUUCUCCUCUUAUUCCUUUUUUCGGGCUAAAUUAGCUAAUUAUGCCUUUUUGGAGCUAAUUAUUUCAUAUUGGAGGAUAAUUAGUUAAGCAAAUGUCAUUUUUAUUAAAUAAACCAUUUUGGAGCUAACUAAGCUAAUUAUGUCAUUUAGGUGGAAGCCUAGCUAACUAUAGGUCAUUUUGGAUCUAACUUGGGUAAAAUAAGUCAUUCCGGAGCAAAGUAUGCUUAUUAAGCCAUUUUGGAUCUAGCUAAGCUAAUUAUAGGCCAUUCCAUACCUAAGUUAGGGGGGAAUAGGUCAUCUUGGAGCUACCUAAGCCUUAUUAUGUCAUUUAGGAGAGAACUUAGCUAAGUAUAUGUCAUUUUUAUUAAAUAGUCCAUUUUGGAGCUAACUAAGCUAAUUUUGUCAUUUAGGUGGAAGCCAAGCUAACUAUAUGUCAUUUUGGAGCUAACUUGGGUCAAAAAUGUCAUUUUGGAGCUAACUAUGCUUAUUUAGCCAUAUUGGAGCUAAAUUAGCUAAUUAUAUCAUGUAGGUGGAAGACAAGCUAACUAUAUAAUAUUCAUGAGCUAUCCAAGGUUCUUAUGCCGUUUUGAGAUUAUUAUUUAAUUUUUGAGCUAAAUUGGUUAUUUUAAUGAGCUAACCAAGGUUCUUAUGAUGUUUUCACCUAACUAAGCUAAUUAUGUCAUUUUGUAGGAUAAUUAGCCAAUUUAGUCUUUGUUAGAUGAGUCUAAGCUACGUAGAAGAAGAGAAAGAGAAGAAUAAAGAAAAGAAUAAGAAGGAGAAGUAAAAGAAGGAGGAGGAGGAGGAGAAGGAGAAGGAAGAGGAGAAGAAGAAGAAAAGAAGAAGGACAACAAGAAGGAGAAGAAGGACGAUAAGAAGGAGAAGGAGCUUUUCUCCUCCUUCUCCUUCUUAUUCCUCCUUCUCCUUCUCCUUCUCCUUCUCCUUCUCCUUCUCCUUCUCCUUCUUCUUCUCUUCUCCUUCUUAUUCCUUCUUUUCAUUUUUCCUCUUUCUUCUCCUCUUCUCCCCUUCUUCGGGCUAAAUUAGCUAAUUAUGCCUUUUUGGCGCUAAUUAUGUCAUUUUGGAGGAUAAUUAGCUAAGUAUAUGUCAUUUUUGUUAAAUAGACCAUUUUGGAGCUAACUAAGCUAAUUAUGUCAUUUAGGUGGAAGCCUAGCUAACUAUAGGUCAUUUCGGAGCUAACUUGGGUAAAAUAGGUCAUUCCGGAGCAAACUAUGCUUAUGAAGCCAUUUUGGAUCUAGCUAAGCUAAUUAUAGGCUAUUUAAUACCUAAGUUAGGGGGAAUAGGUCAUCUUGGAGCUGCCUAAGCCUUAUUUUGUCAUUUAGGAGAGAAUUUAGCUACGUAUAUGUCAUUUUUAUUAAAUAGACCAUUUUGGAGCUAACUAAGCUAAUUAUGUCAUUUAGGUGGAAGCCAAGCUAAUUGUAUGUCGUUUUGGAGCUAACUUGGGUUAAAUAUGUCAUUUUGGAGCUAACUAUGCUUAUUAAGCCAUGUUGGAGCUAAAGUGUCUAAUUAUAUCAUUUAGGUGGAAGCCAAGCUAAGUAUAUUAUAUUCAUGAGCUAACCAAGGUUCUAAGCCAUUUUGAGCUUAUUAUUUAAUUUUUGAGCUAAAUUGGUCAUUUUANNNNNNNNNNCUAAGCUACGUAGAAGAUCAGAAAGAGAAGAAGCAAGAAGAGAAGAAGGAGAAGUAAAAGAAGAAGGAGGAGGAGGAGGAGAAGGAGGAGUAGAAGGAGAAGGAAGAGGACAAGAAGAAGAAAAGAAGAAGGACAAGAAGGAGGAGAAGAAGGAGAAGUAGCUUCUCUCCUCCUUCUCCUUCUUAUUUCUCCUUCUCCUUCUCCUUCUCCUUCUUCUUCUCUUCUCCUUCUUCUUCCUUCUUUUCAUUUUUCCUCUUUCUUCUCCUCUUGUCCCCUUCUUCAGGCUAAAUUAGCUAAUUAUGCCUUUUUGGAGCUAAUUAUGUCAUUUUGGAGGAUAAUUAGCUAAGUAUAUGUUAUUUUUAUUAAAUAGACCAUUUUGAAGCUAACUAAGCUAAUUAUGUCAUUUAGGUGAAGCCUAGCUAACUAUAGGGCAUUUCGGAGCUAACUUGGGUAAAAUAGGUCAUUCCGGAGCAAACUAUGCUUAUUAAGCCAUUUUGGAUCUAGCUAAGCUAAUUAUAGGCCAUUCCAUACCUAAGUUAGGGGGGAAUAGGUCAUCUUGGAGCUACCUAAGCCUUAUUAUGUCAUUUAGGAGAGAACUUAGUUAAGUAUAUGUCAUUUUUAUUAAAUAGACCAUUUUGGAGCUAACUAAGCUAGUUAUGUCUUUUAGGUGAAAGCCAAGCUAACUAUAUGUCGUUUUGGAGCUAACUUGGGUUAAAUAUGUCAUUUUAGAGCUAACUAUGCUUAUUAAGCCAUAUUGGACCAUUAUGCGGUUGUUCAGCAAAACACUAGAAAUAACAUACCAUUAUCGUCAUCACGGCGGUGAAGCAUGGUGGCUCUGGCUUGUUUCACCUGGAGAAGGCUCCACUGUAGAAGGGUCGUGCGAUGCGUUUCGGGAGAUAUUCUGCACCAAAAAUCAUUUCCAAUGUGUCGUUAGCAUGAGGACACUCUUAAGAUCACUGCACUGAAAUGAAACUCACCGUCCCCGUCAUGUUAAUGACUCGCAUCGCCGGAGGAACUUGGCCGGUCUUCUCGCACAUAGACUGUACAUUUGGUUUCGACAAGUCAAACUUUUUAGUUAUUAAUGAAACGGACAUUAAAAUGCAAGAUUUGAAAUAAUAUGAAGAAGAAACUUACCACGAAGAGCUCGUAUAUGGCCCUGUUAGACACAUCAUUCCGUGCCCUCUCCUCCUCCACCAAUGCAGUCGUCCUCUCCUCCAGCUCCCUCAUCUCCUUAUCCUUCUCCGCCAUAACCGCCUACAUUGCCUCUCUCUCUUUCAGAAUAGCAUCCUGCAACACAACUCAUUGUUAGCAUUGUAAUCAUAUUGGUUCCAACGCACAACAUAAUGUGGAAAGAUAGUUGAGUCCAUUAAACUAACCUCGAUGGCGAGCUCGACUGGCCGUGGACAAGGUGUUAUCUCAGGACAGGAGCUUGUUUGGCGUGCCUUUAUCUGCCGGAGAGUGCUAGGACAACGUAUAAGGUCGUCUCCAAUGGCGAUCGAGCCAUGGGGCCUCCCGUUGCCAGCUAUCAUCACCAGCUCUGGAUCAAUAGGCCCCUCGCUCGGGUUAAAGUCCUCCCCUUUCCUCGCCUUCCCGUGAUCUGUGUACUUCACGAGCUUGUGGUGGGAGGAGAUGUUCAUGAAGUUUUCUGGAUCCUCGAGGUCAGACUCAGAGAAUGCCUUGACCUUCUUGUACGAGGCAGUAUGGGCCAUCGCAUACAGGUCGUACAUCUGUGGCACCUCCGUCUUAUUGUGACGCGCCUAAAGGAGAGAGAGAGAACAAUUGUAUUAGUAAAGGGCUCAAGACAGCAUUAAGAAUGAAUUGCAUGAGGCAUGAAGCAAACAACAUACCCAGUUCUCGCAAAAUUGAAUUAAGUUGACGCUCCCAUCAAGGUGUGGCACACCAACCAUUUUUCCACGCCUCUCCUUGGCGUUGUUGUGGGUGGCCUCCCACGUUUCGGAGCACCACUGAUCCACCAAGGCCUCCCAACAAUCCAUCUUAUCCACACACCAUCUUGGGGGCACAUAAUUUAAUACAGAGAAAUUUGAGCGCGUAAGAACUAAAUCAAGGAAACUAACUACAAAGCCUUAAUAAUAUGUAAUUACCUUCAUGUAAUACUCCUUCUCCAUCUUAGAAUCACGGCACUUCGCCUUGUCCUUCCUAAUACGCUGCGUGGCAUAGUAGUCUCGAACAACCUGCACCCGAGCCUCGUGCCGAAAGUUUUGAAGUAGGCGGCGACAUUCGGUUUCAAUAACCUUUGUCGCGUCCUCCUCGUAUCCCUCCUCACACCUGUAGUAGGUCUGCAAACGAGACAACACCAAUUAGUAAAAUAACUAGCUAUGGUUGAUUUAUAAUUGUGUGAAGGAGAAAUUACCCAAAACUGUCGGAUCACCAUGUCAGCCCUCGUGUGGCACAAAACACCGUUGAUCUCCACCUCCGGUGGGGCCGGGGCACCCAAGUAGUGCUCCCAGGUCAUUUCUACCUCUCGCUCUCGACCGGGCAACGUAACAAACCUUGGGAAGUUUUGACGCAAAGCACACCAAGGACGUUGGUGGGCUUGUGGACACCCUUGGCAACAAUCCAACCCCUGCGGUAUGACAAAUUAAAGCCAAAACAUUAGAUAUUUGAGAAAACGUGAAGGCAAAAGGUUAAAUAAGAGUAAAUUAACUUACUUGUCCCCAUUUGGCUUAAUCGACCACCUCUGCUCGCGGGUCGCCGGCACGAGCGGGAGCCCCGAACUACCACGCUGGUAGACGGUAGCCCACUCACCCAGCUCUCGUCGCUACCAGCAUGGCCACUUGGCUCAGCCCAGGUAUCCCAGUGGGUCUCUGGGGACGCACCCUCAUCCCCACUUUGCUCCGAAGUCGCCUGGAACGAAGCCUCUGCGACACGAGUCUUGUGGGUCGAAGGCUCAUCGACCUAAGGCUCAUCGACCCGAGGCUCGUGCACCGGAGACCGUGUAGCCUCCACCUUAGACGAAUCCACACUAGAAGUCCUGUGCUUAGGUGAAUCAUCUUGGGGUGGUGGCGGAGACCAUGUAGCCUCCACCUCAGAAGGCAUGGCAGCCACCGCCCUACCUCUCCCGCGGCGACGUGUAACUUUAGUACAACAUAAAAACCAACAUGAGUAAUAAAAUGUGUAUAAAUACCAACAUGCAUACAACAUGAGUACAACAUAAAUACCAACAUGAAUACAACGUGUACCUUUAGUACCUCUCGGCUUCGCGGGGGUCGACCUCCUCUCACGGGGGGCUCUCCUUGUAGAGUAGAGAGCAACGCUCUCCGAAGAGGCGAGGCAGGAAUGGAAGUACCCAUCCCACCACCCGCCGAUGAAGAAGGAGCCACGGAGUGCUUUCGACCCUUUCCCACCAUCUCUCAACACCUGUCAUGACAAAGAGUAAAUGAAAUUAGUACAACAUAAAUACCAACAUGAGUAAUAAAAUGUAUAUAAUUUAAGUGUAUCAUCGUCAUAAAGACCAACAUGACUAAUAAAAAUUGAAAACCUAACAUGAACUCAAAAUUUAUAUAUACUAAUAGUUGAAUACCUGACAUGAACUAAUAACAAUCGUGCUCGUCUAUAUAUGCUCCGGGGUCAAUAAAUGCAUCAUGAUCAUCACUAUCAUCAAUAAAUGCAUCAUCAUCAUCACUAUCAGGAAGAACAUGUGGAAGGCCACCAUUAUGUAAUCGGUCAAGAAGUGACAGGUCAUCCGCAGCAGUAACCUCUUCUUCUUCCAUCUCUUCCUGUUCGGGGUCAGGGGUUAAGACGGAUUCACUGUCGGCGUCUACUUCAAUGUCCUCGGGUGAAGUAGAGCGGUUCUUGAAACGUUUCUUGGACAUACGUGUUUCUUGGAAGAAUUCUCCUUCAUAUGUGUCUGGGUUAAUGUGAGGUUCGUAAUCCUCUUCAUUGAGGGUAGGUGGUCUAAAAUGUGGUGGCACUUCAUAAACGACAUCCGAACCUUUGAGAUUUGGAUUAGUUUGGCGGGCCCACCGUAGAUAGAAAACUUGUGUCGCCUGUUGAGCCGUAAUAUAGACAUCGGGAACAUCUAAGUGGGUGUUUCGGUUGAUUUCGACUAGUCCUAUAUGUUCAUGAGUCCUUCUAGUCUCCCUCGGCUCAAACCAAUAACAUUUGAAGACUACGAAGAUUGGUGGGUUUUCACCGUAGAAUAGAACUUCAUAAAAUGCUUCAACUCUUCCACAAUACUCGGUGCCUCCUUCGCCGAUAGCAGAGACAGAACAAUUUGUAGUACUUAGGUCGGGCAUAGAUAGCUCUUUGCCAAAGGUACGAAAGUGAUACCCGUUGAUGUUGUAUUUCUCAAAUGAACGGACCUUAUAGUCAAAACCAUUAGCGACUUGUCUCAACUCGACGUCCAUAGACUCUGCAUCAGCCUACAAGUUUAAUAGGAAUGAAUGGAUGCAUUAGCUGCAAAUUAGACCAAGACAUCAAAUGGGCCCUUAAUGGUAAUUAAUUACCCUUUGUUUGAACCAAGAAAUGAAACCGAGAUAGUAGCCUCCAUGCUUUGCGAGAAGCUCAUACUCUUCGACAGAAUCCUUUUCGAUGACCGCUCCAUGUGAGAAUUCGGCGACGUAUCGACUAUAUAAAAUAUCCGGGAAUAAGAGUAGUUCAAAGGAAUUAGAAGUUGCGGAACAAUAAUUUAUCGAGAACUUACUCGAUGUACGGCCGCACUUCUGUUAGGUUGGUGAAGAUAUACAAUGAAAUGGUCGGCCAUUCUUCGACAUCCAACGAUUUCGCUUUCGAAGCACCGGAUGGUGUGAGCUUACCUUUGAAAAGGCUGAGGUUGGAUCGAACUCUUUUUGGAUCGCCAUCAUUGUACCGAGGCUUCGGGUUAUGCAAAUGAUGAUUUUUGGCUUCAUAGUGUGUUGUCACGAAGUUUGCCGCCUCCUCAGUAAUGAAUGCCUCGGCCAUCGGUGCUUCAAUUCUACGUUUAUUUUUACACUUAGCUCGAAGCGUCUUCUGCAUCCUCUCAGUUGAGUAGCACCAUCGAUUUGGAACGGGCCCCCCCCCAUUCUUGCCUCGGUCGGGAGAUGCAAAAUCAAAUGCUGCAUUGGAUUAAAGAAGCCCGAUGGAAAGAUCUUUUCUAAUUUGCAGAUCAACUCCGCCGCCAACUCUUCCAUUUCAUCUAGCACGCCAAGGGAUAGUUCUUUCGCACAAAGAGAACGGAAGAAAUAGCUCACCUCUGCCAGUACUAGCCAUUCAUCCUCAGGGAUAAAGCCACGCAACAUCAUCGGCAUUACCCGCUCAAUCCAUAUUUGCCAAUCAUGACUCUUGAGACCAAAUAUUUUCAAUUUCUCAAGACUAGCAACCAUCUUUAGAUUCGCAGCAUACCCAUCGGGGAACAUCAACUGCAUUUUCACCCACAAUAGCAUUUCCCUCAUAGCUAGCCUUUCAAGAUUGAACCAUGCCUUUGGCUUCGCUAUGCUUUGCUUUCCUUUCCAUUGUCGCAAGUUUUGCAACGGUCUAUCACAUAGAGCCUCCAGGUGGAUUCUAGCCUUAGGAUUAUCUUUUGACUUCCCCUCUAUGCCGAACAAUGUACCCAAAAUGGCCUCCGCAAUAUUCUUUUCACUGUGCAUCACGUCGAUGUUGUGUGGGGAAAGGAGGUAUUUGAAGUAAUGCAGAUCCCAUAAGCAUGACUUGUGAGUCCAGGCGUGUUCCGUAUUACACCCUUUGAAGUAUCAUGGACGCAAAGGAUCAGGCUCGAGAGCAUUUAACUGAUCAAGGGUCUGUUGGCCUGUCAACGCAGCUGGUGCAGUGUUUUUGACAACUCUACCUUGAAUGAAAUUCUUCUUGUCUUUUCUGAACUUAUGGUGAGGAUCCAGGAAUUGUCUACGCAUGUCGAAGCAAGAAAACUUGCGACCAGCCUGCACCCAACGGAACUGAAGAGCUGCCUUGCAUGGGGUGCACGGGAACCUUCCAUGCACACACCAGCCAGCAAAUAGCGCAAACGCCGGAUAAUCAUGCGUCGAGUACAUGUACCACACAUGCAUUUUGAAAUUUGUUUUGGUAGCCAGGUGGUAGGUAUUGAUCCCAUUAUACCAGGCUUCUUGCAACUCAUCCUUAAGCGGCUGCAUGUACACAUUCAUAUUCUUCCCCGGAUAGUUGGGCCCUGGAAUUAUUAUCGUCAGGAAAAUGUUCUUUCUUUUCAUAAUCUCUCGGGUGGCAAAUUGAAUGGAAUGACAAAUACAGGCCAACAACUGUAUUGUGCUGUCGUCAUACCAUACACAUUGAACCCAUCCGUGCUGAUGGCAACUCUAGGAUGCCUUGGAUCUUGCGAUUUAUCCUUAUGUAAUGCAUCGAAGUGCCUCGACACAAAACCAUCUGAAGUGUGUGCCAGCAUCUUGUUCCCAUCCGCAUCUAGUUCGGUUCUUUUGCCCAAUUUGUGCCAUGUCAUUUGCCUGGCCGUCUCUUCGACCAUGAAAAGACGUCGAAGUCUUGGUACAAUUGGCAGAUACCGAAGAACACUAAUGGGGAUUUUGGUCUGAUUCUUCUCACCCAUACCGUUGUCUACCAAAAUAUACCUGGAAGAAUUGCAAAUGGGGCAAUAGUUUAAGGCCGCAUACUCAAGCCUAAAUAAGGCACAUCCAUUCUCACAGGCAUGUAUCUUCUCAUAGGGCAUCUUAAGUACACGGAGGAUUUUGUCUGACUGGUACUUGUUUGCAGGCAGUACGUGGCCUUUGGGUAGAAAGGGUCCAAAUAUCGUCAUCAUCGCGUCGUAGAAUUCUCUGCCUAGGUUGAAUUGAGCCUUCAGAGCCAUUACUUGCGCGAUGGCAUCCAGCUGACAAAGCUCGGUCUGCUCGUGGAGAGGACGUUUUGAAGACUCCAAAAUUUCAUAAAAGGCCUUUGCAGAUUCCUCCAUCUCAUCGUCCGAAUCCCGAGCAUCAUCAAAGUCUUGCACCAUGUCUUCGAUCCCGGUACCAUGCUUGUCGGUGCGACGACGAAUCACCUCGGCUCUGUCACGUUGGUCAGACUCACCAUGAAAAGUCCACACCAUAUAAUUAGGCGUAAAGCCCCACUUCUGCAGGUGUUUACCCAUUUGAAACUCUAUCUUCUUUUUCCAGUUGUCGCUGUUGGGACAGGGGCACCAUAUUUUUUGCUGGUCAUUUGAAAAUGCUUCUCUCACAAACCCCCUGGUUUUUGUGAACCAUUCAUUGGUCAUGUCUUUCUGACUAGGGUGACCAGUGUACAUCCAAUCACGAUCACUCAUGUUGCCUAGCUACCUAUGGGCGCACAAGAAAUAAAUAUAUAAUUCAUCAUCUAUAUUCAUCCGCUAAUCAAGUUUGUCAGUUUUAUUACAUCCAUGCAACCUACACGCUAAUAGGUAAAGAUAGGUCCUAAUCCCACCCGAGUAUGUGUAGAUUGGGUUUGUUUUCCCAUGCUCUGUUCCAGACGCGACGCAGAAUUUCGGCAGCACCUCCCCGUUGUUCUCCUCAUACCCGUCUCGACAAUAAGCAGAGAGGAUGUGUACCCAGAGAACAACAGGGAGGCACUAACGAAAUUCCGCAUCGGAUCCGGAGCACAUCAUACGGGAAAAGGAACCCAAUCUACACAUACUCAGGCUAUCCAUGGGUAAUGUUGGACAAUUCGAAAGAAUGGCGGUUAUAAAUAUGCAAAGACAUGCAUAUUUAUAGAUGUCGCCCUUUCGAACGAGAGACGCAUACUGGUCACGCAUACUCAUGAUUGAAGAAACCUAUAUCUAGCAAGUUUCAUCGGCACGAAGACCGGAACAGAGCAAAUUAAGGGGGUAGGAGGAGAAGUCAUUUGUGCUCAACAACAAACGCAGGGGCGUAGCUCGUCCAACGCAGGUGGAGGUCGUCGAACAACUGCACAUUGAAAUUCACACGAUCAACAAAAAUAUGAUGUUUUUAAAACAUAAUUGGAAAAUAUGUGACCUAACUUAUAAUUUACAAAACUAUGACCCCGUCGGUUUGUGGAAGGCCGAAAAGCACCUUCUCGUUCAACCGGAGGCAGAAGAGUUGUCGGGGUCGGGGGUUAGUGGCGUUGAGAGUCAGUGCCGUCGAGGGUCGAUGGUGUCGGGUGUCGGUGGCGUCGGGGUUCGGGGUUUAGUGGCGUCGGUGGUCGGGGGUCAGUNNNNNNNNNNNNNNNNNNNNNNNNNNNNNNNNNNNNNNNNNNNNNNNNNNNNNNNNNNNNNNNNNNNNNNNNNNNNNNNNNNNNNNNNNNNNNNNNNNNNUCCGUCGCCUCCCGGUCCUCCCCGACCCAGCCGGCAGCUUCACAAGAACCGCCAUGAGCUCCUCUUCCCGUUCCCCCUCUUCCCGAGGCCAUUCCUCUCCUCAAACACCGUUAGCUGCCGGAGCCCGAAGGUCCUCGUCGCCGGCCAUGUCGUUGCCGUCGUUGUGGUAUUCCGUUCACGAGACCGAGCUCAGAAAUGAGCUCCUCGAGCUCUGUAGAUGCCGUAAGGCCCCUCUCCCAGCUCGCUAGCGUCUCGCAACGCCACUCCCGAUGAUGCCCGAGCCACAGCCGAUGCUGACCUCGUCGCUGGUGUGGAUUCCAGUGACCACUGGGUCCAGCUCCUCUCCCUUUAGAUGCGGUGCUUCGCUAGCUAACCGUUGCACUAAACCGCGCCCAAAACCGAUGCAUGUAGCGCCGUUUAGCUCAACUCCGGCGAGUCCUCCGCCGCGCCCAUGGUCGACGCCGGCCAUAUUCCGGUGGGGGCGACGUGGUCAAACUAAUUACCCAGUAAACACCCCCCUAGCCACUGACAGUGGGCCCCAGGGUGGGUCAAACCCCAGUUAGGGGCUGGUCAACUCGGGGAUUAGCCCCUGGUCAUUGACUAGUGGACCCCACUGGUCAGGUUUGACCUGGCCCAGCCUGUGUUGACCAGAGACGUCACUGUGACGCAAUAAAGGAAUUUCUAAUAUAAAAAUAAUUCCAGAAAUGUCCAAAACUUCUAAAAAUCAUAGAAAAUAAUCUGUAAGUCCAAUGAAAAUAAUUUAUAUAUGAAAAAGUAUCAGAAAAAUUCUAGGAAUCUGAAUAUGUCAUUUUCAAACAUGUUUGAAAAUGUUACUGAACCCAAACAUGUAGAUUAAUGAAUAAGUUAAUUCUUAUAAAUACUUUGGAGAUGGAAUUUGGAAGUUAUUUAAUUUUCACUACAAAUUAUAUGAUCAAACACUGUCCAAAUCACAAACCAGCAACCUAACAUGUCACUCCAUGCAUGUUAAAAGCAAGUUGAUCUGAGCAUGAGGUCGAAUCAAUUAAAAUGGUAUCCGAGAAUACCUCGUUUGAAGUAAUAUUUGAAUUUGAUUCAAAUCAACUUCAAACCUAAUAAAUGUUAGCUAUAAUAGUAUACCACUUUUCAUCCUCAUGCCAUGCUCAUGCAUCAUCUUGUUGCAUAUGCUUGUGAUUGAUUGUUGUCACUCUUUUUGGUAGGCUCCACUCCUCCGGAUUCCACCGAAUAUCCGAUUGACGGAUAUUGUCCCUCCUCUGAGCAACAAGGCAAGCAACCAUUUUGAUCAUCCCGAUAAAUCCCAUGUUCUCGCUCCUCCACUUACUUAUUGCAUUAGGAUCAAAUGCUUCAAAUGCUUUUGCCACGUUAGUUGAACCCACUUCCUUUGCAUGACCUAUCCUUGUCACAAUAAAUAGCUGAACCUUGCAACCUAGCAUACCUGGUAGUUGCUUGAGCCNNNNNNNNNNGCACUUACUUAUUGCAAUAGGAUCAAAUGCUUCAAAUGCUUUUGCCACGUUUCUUGAACCCACUUCCUUUGCAUUACCUAUCCUUGUCACAGUAAAUAGCUGAACCUUGCAACCUAGCAUACCUGGUAGUUGCUUGAGCCAUGAUGUGCCUUAUCCUGCUAUGCAUGCUAUGCUUAGAGUUGUGUUUGGUCUGUCAUCUGGGAGAUGAACAGAAUUGUGAGAAUGCGUUCAGUAAGUAAAGGCGGUGCGUUGAACCUGAUUUGGUAAAGGUACCGGUGAAAGGCUAUGUAGGAGUACAUGGCGGGUUGUUUCAUUGGAACCGUCCUUAGGAACUNNNNNNNNNNUUUAAGUAAUUAAAGGCGGUAUGUUGAACCUGAUUUGGUAAAGGUACAUGUGAAAGGCUAUGUAGGAGUACAUCGCGGGUUGUUUCAUUAGAACCGUCCUUAGGAACUGAGUUCUGUGUAUGUAAUCCAAGACUAGAUACUACCACACGUUGGGAUACUUAAUUGACCCUCUCGACUUAUUAAUCGCUUAGUACUCGGUCCAGGAGUUGCAAGUAGUUUCUCGUGUUUAUAGUCAUGAUGGAGGCCGUGCAUAGUGCUGACCUGAGAGGUGGGCUGUGAUGCGGUANNNNNNNNNNUCUUAGUACUCGGUCCAGGAGUUGCAAGUAGUUUCUAGUGUUUAUAGUCAUGCUGGAGGCCGUGCAUAGUGCUGACCUGAGAGGUGGGCUGUGAUGCGGUAGGCAGUGGCACGGUGUACCAAGUGGCACCCGGAUGGUGGCUUGGGAACCCUGCGCACAUCGUUUGGGGCCGUGGCGGAGACUUCGGCCGGACUUCCGUGCGGGUUACCCUCAGAUAGGCGAUAGACCUGGACUAGGUACUAGUGUGGUUAACGGUCGUGGCUAACUCCCUCGCUGGGCUUCCGCUUGAAGGUUGCCGAGGUGCAUGACGUGCACAUGGCGAUAAGUGGCGAGAGCGUGUGUGACGAAGUACACCCCUCUAGGGUUAUGAUCUAUUCGAAUAGCCGCGUCCGCGGAUAUGGACUACUUGGAGACAUAUGUUGUUCAUAGAUAACUUAAGUGGCUACUCAUAAAAUUGUCAAGAUAAGCGUGAGUAUCGUGGACGGCAUUUCCGUAUGGAGACGGAAUGAUUCCACGAUGGAGUAUUGUUGUGGUGUUAGUGGACUCGUGUGUGAGAAAUCAAGUUGUAAAAAACUUGUUUUAAAAAUGUAAGUUGUCUAGCCAUGAGUCAAAUGCUGGCUUUCUGCAUGAAACCCCACAAUUCCUUAUUGAUACAUUGCAUGAGUAGAUAGUUAUCCUAAAGUCUUGCCGAGUACCUCCGUACUCAUGUUUGUUUAAUAAUUGUUGCAGAGGUUGUUAAUGACCCUAACGGAGGGUUCUUCCUAGACAUCGACGACGACGAGUAGCUGGUGUCCCACCUAAGAUCUGGCCCUAGGUUGGGUCUAUAGUAUAGUCACGCCAUGUGCCUUCUAGUUUCACCUGUCUGUACUCAGACAGUUCUAAACACUUUCGCUGGCUUGUAACUGAAUGUCUGCUAUGAUGGGUCGUGAGACCCUUACUGUGUAAUAUUAUGUGUGUGGCUCUUCCGAGCUUUUUAAAUAAACCUUGUAUGUUUAUGGUUAUGUUGUGAUGCCAUCGAUGUAUCUAUACAUANNNNNNNNNNUGACGAGUUGCUGGUGUCCCAGCUAUGAUCUGGACCUAGGUUGGGUCUAUAGUAUAGUCAGCCCAUGUGCCUUCUAGUUUCACUUGUGUGUACUCACACAGUUUUAAACACUUCCGCUGUCUUGUAACUGAAUGUCUGCUAUGAUGGGUCGUGAGACCCUUACUUUGUAAUAUUAUGUGUGUGGCUCUUCCGAGCCUUUUAAAUAAAGCCUGUAUGUUUAUGGUUAUGUUGUGAUGCCAUCGAUGUAUCUAUACAUAUCGGUAUGCCAUGCGUACGUGUGUCGUACUUGAUAUGUAUGGGGUUCGAUUACCUAGGCGUAAUCUUUAAUAGCACUCCUUACAGGGAAAUGCCCCUUUGUGAUCCAACGAGCCAUGGUAGUUCGCUACUGCUCCGGACACAUUGGUUGACCGGCGUGUGUCCUUCUUAGCUGAUGUGUCUGUCCCCUUUGGGGAAAUGUCACGCGAUGUAAUGGAGUCCUUNNNNNNNNNNACUUUAAUAGCACUCCUUACACGGAAAUGCCCCUUUGUGACCCAACGAGCCAUGGUAGUUCGCUACUCCUCCGGACAAAUUGGUUGACCGGCGUGUGUCCUUCUUAGCUGCUGUGUCUGUCCCCUUUGGGGAAAUGUCACGCGAUGUAAUGGAGUCCUUGUAGCUUGCUACGACUCGUCUACAUUCACUUGUGACCGACACCUGCUUUGCUGGGUCAUAUAUGCCUGUCCCUGUGCGGAACUGCCACUUUGGUUUAUGACUAGACAUGUCGAUCCGGGUUCUUUGUCAUUGGAUUGCUAGCGACACAAUUGCAUACGUGAGUCAAAAGGCGCAAAUAGUCCCGGCUAAGGUAAGGCUGCAGCCGUGGGGUUAACCGUGCGUGAGACCGCAAAGGGAUGCGAUGUGUUACAGGCUGGAUUCCUAUGGCUUAGGAUCGGGGUCCCGACAACUUAGGAUGCCACUUCUGUGUGAGCUCCUCUGGCUCCCACUAAUAAACUGGCGUCUGGUACUCGACUGGUGGCUCGGGCACGGGCAUCUGUGGUUGGGCUAAGCCCCAAUAUGCGUAGAUGUCCGAGGGCAUAAUAUUGUACCUUCCUGCAUGAAGAUUGAACAAAGAAGGAGCAGGCAAAGUAAUUGUAUCACGAGUACCCUGACUAAAUACCAGGUUAUAAAUCCUCCAUCUAUAUAUAUCUCUAUCAAGAAAGUCAUGGCGAACCAUGCUAUCAUAAUCUAGAUAUCCCUCGGGAAGAAGAACCUCUUCUUCCUCCUCCAGUCUAAUGGGUAUCUCAAAGUGUUUGGCAAGACGGGUAGCAUAGAUACCUCCAUAGACAACACCUUUAGAACGGUUCAGGUUCAACCGUUGAGCUACUUUAGCGCCCAAGCUAUAAGCUUUAUCGUUAUAAAGGGCUUCACGCAAGACCGCAAGAUCUGGGGAACUAAGUGACCCAGCUUUCCCACGGCCAAUCAAACAUUUUCCCACAAAUAGUGAGAAGUACCGAGGCACGGGAAAAUGAAUGCUAGCAGCUCUAGCGCAAGACACUCCUCUAUCCUCUCCUACAACAAUUGUAUCGAUGAAAACUUCCAAGUCCCGCGGACGAGGUUCAUGAAUAUCCCCAACGUAAGGUAAUUUGCAAACAUUGCAAAAAUCUUGGAGUGACAUGCGCUGGGGGAUAUCAUGAAGUUUGAACUCAACCAUAGGAGGAUUCUUCCUCGGAUAGAAGUUAAAGCUUUGUACAAAGAUAUUAGUGAGGAGGAGGUAUUGCGGACACUUAUCUUCAACGAAGGCGGUAAGCCCUGCAUUUUCCACCAAGUGAUAAAAGUCCUCAUAAAUUCCAGCGGCACGUAAGAACACGUCGCUUGGCCACUCGCACGCUCGAACUUCUGCGACUCGAGGGACCAAAUACUUGGGCUUCUUCUCACUCCCAUCAUCCUUGGGGUCACGGCUUGAAGAGCCUCUUGAGAACCUCCUCAUCUUUUCCCAUUUCUAUCUCUGAAAAUUUCUGAAAUUUUUAGUGAUUCUAAGGAUAAGUGAAUAAGGCUCAACGAAACUCGUAGCAAUUACUCCCACAAGUGCCAAGAGGCCAUAUUACGCAUCAAAACUACCUGGGACAAGCUAAAAUUAACAUGCAAAGCUCAAGAACAUGGUCACCAAGGCAGCAAAAAUACACAGAGUAUAAGGCACUAGAGCAAAAAAUAAUUGGACCAAUGGAGGAGUCACUUACCAAAGAGUAAUUUCCCCAAAACAGUUCGGAGAAUGGUGAUUUGAGCAAAGAGAUCGAAAAAUCCCAGCAAGAGGAGCAAGAACACGGGUUUGAGCUGCGAAACGAUUUUUUCUGGAGGUAGGAGAAACACACGAGAGCAAGAAUGAGUGGAAGGGGUGCCUGUGGGCCCCACAAGCCUGGGUGGCGAGACCAGGGGGUGCCCGCGCCGUCAGGGCUUGUGGUCCAUUGGUGCACCCCCAGACAAGCUCUUCGUCUCAGUAUUUUUCAAAAAAUCCAGAAAAAAUCAUACUUGAUUUUCAGGACGUUCGGAGAACUUUUAUUUUCAGGGUACUUUUCUACCGGACGCUAAAACAGAAAACAGGGAAAAUUAAACUAAAUCUAUCAUUUUUCUUCUAAGCAACUGAAGGUGAAAGCUUGGAACAGUGGUUUGUGACUCCUCGAUUCAUCCAUCUCAUGGUGAUCGAAAGAAAUCCGUCACUGAGGUUGAUCAAGUCUCCUCGACAAACUUUAUCGAAUCGCAAAAGAGAACGGAGAAUUUUUGAAUAGUCACUAGGUUACCUCAAUGGGGAUGUGUAUCUCCCCAACGAGCAAAUCAUACUUCAUCUUAACACGAGGAAUAGGGCAUUCAACGCUCCCAACAAGAAUCGAUGAAGUUUUUUUUGAUAGCGUUGAUGCAAUGUACUCGAUAUUGUUUCUUCGGAAAGUGCACCGUAUGCUCAUUACCGUUGACAUGGAAAGUGACAUUGCCUUUGUUGCAAUCUAUAACAGCCCCUGCAGUGUUUAAAAAGGGUCUUCCGAGGAUGACCGCCAUGACAUCGUCUCGGGAAUAUCCAGAAUAACAAAGUCCAUCAAGAUAGUAACGUUGGCAACCACAACAGGCACAUCCUCGCAAAUGCCGAUAGGGAAAGGAGUUGAUUUGUCGGCCAUUUGCAAAGAGAUUUCAGUGGGUGUCAAGUUAUCCAGUUCAAGUCUACAAUAAAGAGAGACAAGCAUAACACUAACACCGGCUCCAAGGUCGCAUAAGGCAGUUCUAACGUAGUUAUCUUUAAUGGAGUAAGGUAUAGUGGGCACACCAGGAUCACCUAGUUUCUUGGGAGUUCCACCCUUGAAGGUAUAAUUAGCCAGCAUGGUGGAAAUCUCAACCUCAGGUAUCCUCCUCUUAUUAGUCACAAUAUCUUUCAUGUACUUAGUAUACGGAGACAUUUUGAGCAUAUCUGUCAAAUGCAUUUGCAAAAAGGCAUGUCUGAUCAUUUCAACGAAUCGCUCAAAAUCCUCAUCAUCCUUUUUCUUGGAUGGCGUGGGAGGAAAGGGCCUGGGUUUCUGAACCCAUAGCUCCCUUUCUUUACCAUGCUUCCUAGCAGCGAAGUCAUUCUUAUCAUAUCUUCUAUUCUUAGGAUGUGGGUUAUCAAGAUCAUCAGGUUUAAUCUCCACAUCCUUAUCACUGCUAGGUUCAGCAUCAACAUGACCAUAACUAUUUAUAUUAUCAUUAGGCUCAAGUUCAUCACCAGAAUGUGUUCAGCAUCAGAGAGGGAGGCAUCGUUUGGACUCUCAGGGGUAGCAGCAACAGGGUUGCGAGCAUGCAGGUUCCUAUCAUAUUUCUUCUUAUUUCUAGGAUGACUAGGUGCAUCAGUGCUAACUCCUUGAGAAUCUUGUUCAAUUCUCUUCGGAUGACCGUCAGGAUACAAAGGUUCCUGGGUCAGUCUACCGCCUCUAGUGACGACUCUGACGAAAUUGUCAUUCAACUCAUUGAGCCAGUCAUUUUGAGCUUUAAGUACUUCUUCUACCUGAGUAGUAACCAUAGAGGAACUUUUACUCACGAGCUUAUGAUCAUUGACAUUUCUGUCCACACAAGCACUUAAAUGACUAAGCAUACGAGCAUUCUGUUCCAAUUGUCUUCUAACAUAAUCACUGAAACUCUGUUGUUUGGCAACAAAGUUAUCAAAUUCAUCCAGGCAUAAGCUAGCAGGUUUAUCAAAAGGAAUAUCACUCUCAUCAAACCUAUGCAGAGAGUUUACUUCUACUACGUGUAUCGGGUUAUCGAGACCAUGGAUCUCUUCGAUAGGUGGUAGAUUUUUGACAUCUUCAGAUUUAAUGCCUUUCUCUCGCAUAGAUUUCUUGGCUUCUUGCAUAUCUUCAGGACUGAGGAAUAGAAUACCUCUUUUCUUCGGAGUUGGCUUAGGAGGUGGUUCGGGAAUAGUCAAAGCAUUCUCAUUGCACAAGAUGUUAUUCAGUAGAAUCUCAGCUUGUUCUACAUUUCGUUCCCGAAAAACACAACCGGCACAACUAUCUAGGUGGUCUUUGGAAACAUCGGUAAGUCCAUUAUAGAAGAUAUCAAGUAUUUCAUUCUUCUCAAGAGGGUGAUCAGGCAAAGCAUUCAGUAGCUGGACAAGCCUCCCCCAAGCUUGUGGGAGACUCUCUUCCUGAGCAUGAGCAAAGUUGUAAAUUUCCCGCAAGGCAGCUUGCUUCUUAUGGGCAGGGAAAUAUUUUUCAAAGAAGUAGUAGACCAUAUCCUGGGGGCUACGCACACAACCAGGAGCAAGAGAAGUGAACCAUGUCUUAGCAUCAUCCUUUAGCGAGAAAGGAAACAACUUGAGGAUAUAGUAGUGGCGGAUCUUUUCCUCACUAGUGAAUGGGGUGGCUAUAUCGUGCAGUUUGGUAAGAUGGCUACAACCGUUUCAGACUCAUAACCGUGAAAAGGAUCUGAUUCGACUAGAGUGAUUACCUCAGGGUCGACAGAGAAUUCAUAAUCCUUAUCGGUCACAAAGAUAGGCGAAGUAGCAAACUUCGAGUCGUAUUUCAUCCUAGCGUUCAGAGAUUUUUCUUUCCACUUGAGAAGUAAUUUCUCAACAUCAUAUCUAUCCUUACACGCAAGAAAGUCCUCAUCUAUAUCUCCUUCCAUAACAUAGCGUUCAGGUAUAACAGGCAAUUCACGCAUAGUAGCAGGUUCUACAUCAAUAGUAUCAGCAGUUUCAGAAGUAUCAUCACAACUAGCAGCAACUCUAGCAAUUUGUGCAUCAAGGAAUGCAAUUAGUGGCAAAGCAGUAUCAGGCAUAGCAUCAUCAGGCAAAGUAGUAUCAGGCAUAGCAUCAUCAGGCAAAGCAGUAUCAAGCAUAGCAUCAUCAGGCAUAGUAUCAAGAAUAGCAUCAUCAUAAGCAUCAUGGGUAGGAGAAGUAGCAUCAUCAAGCACAGGCAACAUAUCAAGAUUUCUAGCAGGAGGUGAUGUCGCAAACUUACUCAUAACUGAAGGUGAAUCAAGUGCAGAGCUAGAUGGCAGUUCCUUACCUGUCCUCGUAGUGGAAGGCAAGACUUUAGUUCUUGGAUCUAUCGGAUUACUCAUAGCGACCAGCAGACGUCAAUCCCAAGUGACUCAGAGAACAUAGCCGUGCCUCCCCGGCAACGGCACCCGAAAAUAGUCUUGAUAACCCACAAGUGUAGGGGAUCGCAACAGUUUUCGAGGGUAGAGUAUUCAACCCAAAUUUAUUGAUUCGACACAAGGGGAAGAGAAAGAAUAUUCUCAAGUAUUAGCAGCUGAGUUGUCAAUUCAACCACACCUGAAAGAUUACUGUAUGCAAGCAAAGUAUUAGUAGCAAAGUAGUAUGAUAGCAACGGUGUGAGAAAAGGGUCUAUUGACGGCAGACUAUUCCUGACUAGUUGUAUCAAUGGCGCCAGUAAAUAGUCUUGCAGCAGGUAACACCAAAGUAAUAAGUAACAACAGUAGUGACAGCAGUAGCAAGGAACAACAGUAGCAGCAGAGUAACAACAAUAGCUACAGAGUAACAGCAGCAACAGUAACAGCAGUAGCGGCAAAGUAACGUAGCAAGGACCAGUAGUAAAAGACUCGUAGGUAGUGGAUCGGUGAUGGAUGAUUAUGCCGGAUGUGAUUCAUCAUUUAACAGCUAUAACAUGGAGAGAUAAGUAACUAGUUCCCGUUCGUCAAUCUAAUGUAGGCAUGUAUUCCGUAUGUAGUCAUACGUGCUUAGGGAAAAGAACUUGCAUGACAUCUAUUGUCCAUCCCUCCCGUGGCAACGGGGUCCCAAUGGAAACUACGGGAUAUGAAGGUUCUCCUUUUAAUAAAGAACCGGACCAACGCAUUAACACGUGGUGAAUACAUGAACUCCUCAUAGUAUGGUCAUCUCCGGGAGUGGUUCCGUCUAUUGUCACUCCGGGAUUGCCGGGUAAUAACACAUAGUAGGUGACUACUACUUGCAAGAUAUGAUCUAAAACACACAUAUAUUGGCGACAACAUAAUAGGUUCAGAUCUGAAAUCAUGGCACUCGGGCCCUAGUGACAAGCAUUAAGCAUGGCAAAGUAGUAGCAACAUCAAUCUCAGAACAUAGUGGAUACUAGGGAUCAAUCCCCAUCAAAACUAGCUCGAUUACAUGAUAGAUCUCAUCCAACUCAUCACUGUCCAGCAAGCCUACAAUGAGAUUACUCACGAACGGUGAAGAGCAUGAUGGAAUUGGCGAUGGAGGAACGUUGAUGAUGACGAUGCCAACGAUUUCCCCUCUCCGGAGCACGGAACGGACUCCAGAUCUGCCCUCCACAUGAAGAACAGGAGGUGGCGGGGCCUCCAUAUCGUAAAACGCGAUGAAUCCUUCUCCCUAAUUUUUUCCGGGCGAAAAGGAAUAUAUAGAGCUGAGUUUGGAGGCGGUGGAGCCUCGUGGGCUCCACAAUCCUGGUUGGUGCGGCCUAGGGCGGUGGCCCCGGCCAGUGGGCUUGUGGCCCACUGGCUCACCCCCUCCGGUGGAUCUUUGUGCAGGUAUUUUUCAUUAAUUUUAGAAAAAAAUUCCGUAAAUUUUUAGGUCAUUCCAAGAGCUUUUAUUUCUGCACAAAAAACAACACCAUGGAAAUUCUGCUGAAAACAGCGUUAGUCCGGGUUAGUUCCAUUCAAAUUAUGCAAGUUAGAGUCCAAAACAAGGGCAAAAGAGUUCAGAAAAAUAGAUACGACGGAGAUGUAUCACUUACCAAUCUGAAAUUUUGGUUAUGCUUCGUUAUUGUUAUACUAAUUAUGAAUAUAAUGCCCAUAUUUAUCGAUUUAUCGAGAAAUUCUUCGCUGCCCAAGAAGAGACUAAUAUUUUGCAGGAAAUUAUGGAAGAAGAAAAUGUUGAAACUGUGAGCUCAUUAGAUGAAAAAGAUGACGAGGAGAGCGAAGAAGAAAAGGAGGAAGAGCGGACUAGCUACCCGUGCCCACCUUCUAAUGAGAGUAACUCUUCAACUGAUACAUUGUUUAAUUCCCCUUCGUUCUUACCGAUGGAUGAAUGCUAUGUUGAUUGCUAUGAUCCCUUGGAUUCGUUUGAAAUAUCCCUUUUUGAUGAACUUGAUGCUUGCUAUGCUUGUGGCCAUGAUGCCAAUAUGAAUGAUGCUUAUGAAGAUGAACUUGCUAUAGUUCCUUAUGUUAAACAUGAAAUUGUUGCUAUCGCACCCACUUAUGAUAGUCCUAUUAUCUUUGUGAACUCUCCCAACUACACUAUAUCGGAGAAGUUUGCUCUUAUUAGGGAUUACGUAGAUGGGUUGCCUUCUACUAUUACACAUGAUGAUUUUGAUGAAUAUAAUAUGCAUGUGCUUGCUGCUCCUACUCGCAAUUAUUAUGAGAGAGGAACUACAUCUCCACCUCUCUAUGUUCCCAAUACGAUAAAAUUGCAAGAAACUUCUUAUGCUAUGUUUUGGCCUUUACUUGAUGUGCAUGAAUUGUUCUUUUAUGACAUGCCAAUACAAAGGAAGAGAGUUAUACUUCGUCAUUGCAUGAUAUAUGUUACCUUGUGCUCACUACUAAAUUACGAAUCAUUGUUAAUUAAAUUUGGCUUUGAUAUACCUUGGGAUCAGGGUGGAUCCAUUACUUAAGCACUUUAUGCCUAGCUUAAUGGAUUUAAAGAAAGCGCUGCCUGGGAGACAACCCGGAAGUUUUAGAGAGUCAUUUAUUUCUGUUGAGUGCUUUUAUAUAGUUUAAAAACAAAAAAAUAUAUAGAGGGGAACUUAAAACUUUUUCAAAAAGAGAAGGGAUUGAAAGGUGAUGCAUUGCGGAAGUGAGGGUCGACCUUGAACACUUGUGUUCGUGCUCAUGGAAACAAUGUAGAAUUUUUCAUGGAAGUUUCUCGCAAAAAUAAUUAUCCCCUUGUACAAUUCCAUUGUAUUAUAAAAAUAAUGUGCCAAGUAAAGCCUUUAUGAUUAGUUUGGGUGAUAGUUGUUUGAUCAUGCUGAAAAAGACAGAAACUUUGUGCUCACGAAAUUAUUUUUUAUUCCUAUCCAGAAAGAGAUUUUGAGUUGAUUCUUUCCGCUGCUGAUUUAUAUGAAAAGUUACAUAAUUGUCAUAAUGUUUCAGAAUUGUUUGACUAUCAGAAGUAUGGUAUAAGUUCAGAUUACUACAGACUAUUUUGUUUUUGACAGAUUCUAUUUUCUAUGCAUCGUUCUCUUAUUUUGAUGAAUCUAUGGGUAGUAUCGGGGGGUAUGAACCAUGGUGAAGUUGGAUUACACUAGAUAUAAUGCUAAUAUGAAUUUGGAAUGAGUUCACAACAGUACUUAAAGUGGUGAUUUACUUUAUUAUACUAACGGAUCUCACGAAGGUUUUGUUGAGUUUUGUGUGAUUGAAGUUUUCAAGUUUUGGGUGAGACCACGAUGGAUGAAUGCUCUUCUGCUUCACUUAUAUUUGUUAGAGCGGGGCAUAGCUUUUGUAGAAAGCAUUAAAUUCUCAAGCUUCACUUAUACCUAUUUAGAGAGUUAAUAGGAGCUGGUCAUUCACAUGGUUAGUCAUAAAAUCCUACAUAAAACUUNNNNNNNNNNGUGAUAUGUUUGAUUCCUUGCAAUAGUUUUGCGACAUGAAGAUGUCAUAUUAGAGUCAUGGUAGGGAGUAAUUGUGUGUUCAUAGAAAUACUUGUGUUAAGGUUUGUGAUUCCCGUAGCAUGCACAUAUGGUGAACUGUUAUGUGACGAAGUCGGAGCAUGAUUUAUUUAUUGAUUGUCAUCCUUUGUAUGGAAGCCGGGAUCGUGCGAUGGUUAACUCCUACCAACUCUUCCCUUAGGAGCAUGCGUGUAGUACCUUGUUUCGAUGACUAAUAGACUUUUGAAAUAAGUAUGUGAGUUCUUUAUGACUAAUGUUGAGUCCAUGGAUUAUACACACUCUCACCCUUCCACCAUUGCUAGCCUCUCUAGUACCGCGCAACUUUCGCCGGUGCAUUACACCCACCAUAUACCCUUCCUCAAAACAGCCACCAUAUCUACCUAUUAUGGCAUUUCCAUAGCCAUUCCGAGAUAUAUUGCCAUGCAACUUCCAUCGUUCCGUUUAUUAUGACACGCACCAUCAUUAUCAUAUUGCUUUGCAUGAUCGUAAGAUAGCUAGCAUGAUGUUUUCAUGGCUUGUCUGUUUUUUGAUGUCAUUGCUACGCUAGAUCAUUGCACAUCCCGGUACGCCGCCGGAGGCAUUCAUAUAGAGUCAUAUUUUGUUCUAAUUAUCGAGUUGUAAGUAAAUAAAAGUGUGAUCAUCAUCAUUAUUAGAGCAUUAUCCCAUGUGAGGAAGUAAUAAAAGAGGCCAAUGAAGCUCAAAUAAAAAAGGCCAAAGAAGCCCACCGAAAAAAGAUAGAAAAUAAUAAUAAAAUAAAACUAAAAAAUGAGAGAAAAGAGAGAAGGGACAAUGCUACUAUCAUUUACCACACUUGUGCUUCAAAGUAGCACCAUGAUCUUCGUGAUAGAGAGUCUCCUAUGUUGUCACUUUCAUAUACUAGUAGGAAAUUUUCAUUAUAGAACUUGGCUUGUAUCUUCCAAUGAUGGGCUUCCUCAAAUUUCCCUAGGUCUUCGUGAGCAAGCGAGUUGGAUGCACACCCACUAGUUUCUUUUUGAAUUUUCAUACGCUUAUAGCUCUUGUGCAUCUGUUGUAUGGCAAUCCCUACUCACUCACAUUGAUACCUAUUGAUGGGCAUCUCCAUAGCCCGUUGAUAUGCCUAGUUGAUGUGAGACAAUCUCCUCCUUUUUGUCUUCUCCACAACCACCAUAUUCUAUUCCACCUAUAAUGUUAUGUCCAUGGCUCACGCUCAUGUAUUGUAUGAAAGUUGAAAAAGUUUGACAACACUAAAGUAUGAAAAAAUUGCUUGGCUAAAACCGGGGUUGUGCAUGAUUUAAAUACGAUGUGUGGGGAAGAUGGAGCAUAGUCAGACUAUAUGAUUUUGUACCGAUAACUUUCUUUGGCCAUGAUAUUUUGAGAAGACAUGAUUGCUUUGUUAGUAUGCUUGAAAUAUUAUUGUCUUUAUGUCAAAUGAUAGACUAUUGCUUCGAAUAACUCGUGUUUUAGUAUUCAUGCCAUGAUUAGAAUAUAUGAUCAAGAUUAUGCUAGGUAGCAUUCCACAUCAAAAAUUAUCUUUUUUUAUCAUUUACCUACUCGAGGACGAGCAUGAAUUAAUCUUGGGGAUGCUGAUACGUCUCUAUCGUAUAUAUAAUUUUUUAUUGUUUCAUGCCAUUAUUCUACGACUUUCAUAUACUUUUGGCAACUUUUUAUACUAUUUUUGGAAUAUUUUUUGUUGUUGUUUGUUGCAUGUUUUUUGCAUGUUCCUGGAGAUCCAGUGCCCAGUGCCAAUUCCUGUUUGUCGCAUGUUUUUUGUUUCGCAGAUUAUCCAUACCAAACAAAGUCCGAAAGCAAUAAAAAACCUACGGGAAUAUUUUUGGAAUAUUUUUGAUUUUUGGGAAGAAGAAUCGACGCGAAACGAUGCCCGAGGAGGUCACAAGCCCAGGAGGCGCAACCACACCUAGGGCGCGGUUGGCAGGAUUGUGACCAAUCCCUAAGGCGGUUGGGGCCCUUAUUUCGCCGCAAGAAAUAUAAUAUCCGGAAGAAAAUCGUGUUAAAAUUUCAGCCCAAUCAGAGUUAUGGAUCUCCAGGAAUUUAAGAAACGGUGAAAGGCAGAAUCUGGGAGCGCAGAAACAGAAGGACAAACAGAGAGAGAGAGAGAUCCAAUCUCGGAGGGGCUCUCGCCCCUCCGCCGCCAUGGAGAUCAUGGACCAGGGGGGAAACCCUUCUCCCAUCUAGGGAGGAGGUCAAGGAAGAAGAAGAAGAAGGGGGGCUCUCUCCCCCUCUGUCCCGGCGGUGCCGAAACGCCGCCCGGGACAUCAUCGUGUGAUAGCGCUCUACACCAACACCUCCGUCAUCUUCACCAACACCUCCAUCACCUUCCCCCAUUUAUAUUCAGCGGUCCACUCUCCCGCAACCCGCUGUACCCUCUACUUGAACAUGGUGCUUUAUGCUUCAUAUUAUUAUCCAAUGAUGUGUUGCCAUCCUAUGAUGUCUGAGUAGAUUUUCGUUGUCCUAUCGGUGAUUGAUGAAUUGCUAUGAUUGGUUUAAUUUUCUUGUGGUUAUGUUGUUGUCCUUUGGUGCCCAUCAUAUGAGCGCGCGCGUGGAUCACACCAUAGGGUUAUUAGUAUGUUGAUAGGACUAUGUAUUAGAGGGCAAGGGUGACAGAAGCUUUAGCCUAGCAGAGAAAUUGAUGCAUACAGGAUUGAAGGGGGACCAAUAUAUCUUAUUGCUAUGGUUGGGUUUUACCUUNNNNNNNNNNGCUUGUGCUUAUGUUGCUGUCCUUUGGUGCCCAUCAUAUGAGCGCGCGUGUGGAUCACACCAUAGGGUUAAUAGUAUGUUGAUAGGACUAUGUAUUGGAGGGCAAGGGUGACAGAAGCUUCAGCCUAGCAUAGAAAUUGAUUCAUACGGAAUUGAAGGGGGACCAAUAUAUCUUAUUGCUAUGGUUGGGUUUUACCUUAAUGAAUGUUAGUAGUUGCGGAUGCUUGCUAACAGUUCCAAUCAUAAGUGGAUAGAAUUCCAAGUAAGGGAUGACAUGCUAGCAGUGGCCUCUCCCACAUAAAACUUGUUAUCGGUCUCCUAACAUAGGCAAUUGCUUAGGGACAAUUAUACAACUCCUACCACCACUUUUCCACACUCUUUAGACUAACGUAAUUGUUUCUUCAUCGAAACAGCCCCUAGUUUUAUUUACGUGUUCUUUCUUUUCUUGCGAACCCAUCCUAUCCCUCCUACGAAGUACUUCUAGUUUCAUACUUGUUCUAGGUAAAGCGAACGUAAAGUGUGCGUAGAGUUGUAUCGGUGGUCGAUAGAACUUCAGGGAAUAUUUGUCCUACCUAUAGCUCCUCGUUGGGUUCGACACUCUUACUUAUCGAGAAAGGCGGCAAUUGAUCCCCUAUACUUGUGGGUUAUCAUGGUCAUGAAUCUAAUAUGAAUGGUUUAUUGAAUCUCGAUUGUAGUAAUACACAUGUUUCUAAUAUUGAUGCCAAAAGAUACAACGUAGUAAUGAUAGUACCACUUACUUGUAGCACUACCUCUUAAAGUCAUAUAGGUAUAAAAAGCAUGAAGAAGCUCUAUGCUGAUGGGUCUUUGGACUCACUCGAUUUUGAAUUGUUUGAGACAUGCUAACCAUGGCUAUUGGUGUAAACGCAUGAAGAAACUCCAUGCAGAUGGAUCUUUUGGACUCACUUGAUUUUGAAUCACUUGAUACAUGCAAACCAUGCAACAUGGGCAAGAUGACUGAAGGCCUCGUUUUCCAAUGAGAUGGAAUGAGAAAGUGAAUUAUUGGAAAUAAUACAUUUUGAUGUAUGCAGUCCAAUGAGUGCUGAAGCACGCAGUGCAUAUCGUUAUGUUCUUACUUCGCUGAUGAUUUGAGUAGAUACAUGUGUAUUUGCUUGAUGAAUCACAAGUCCGAAAUAUUGAAACGUUCAAGCAAUUUCAGAGUUAAGUUGAAGAUAGUCGUGACAAGAGGAUAAUAUGUUUACGAUGUGAUCGUGGAGGUGAAUAUCAGAGUUGCGAGUUUGGUAUACAUUUAAGACAAUGUGGAAAUUGUUUCACAACUCAUGCCACCAGGAACACCAUAUUGUGAUGGUGUGUCCGAACAUCCUAGUCGUGCCCUAUUGGCUACGGUGCGUACUAUGAUGUCUCUUAUUGAAUAACCACUAUUGUUUUGGAGUUAUGCAUUAGAGAUAACCACAUUCACUUUAUAUAUGUCACCAUUUAAUUCCGUUGAGAUGAAACCGUAUGAACUAUGGUUUAGAGAAACCUAAGAUGUCGUUUAUUAAAGUUUGGGGCUACGAUGCUUAUGUCAAAAGGCUUUACCGUGAUAAGCUCGAACCCAAGGCGAAUAAAUACAUUUCCAUAGGAUAUUGAAAACAGUUGGGUAUACCUCCUAUCUCAGAUCCGAAAGCAAAGUAUUUGUUGCUGAAAAACGGUUCCUUUCUCGAGAAAGGGUUUCUCUCGAAAUAAUUGAGUGGGAGGAUGGUGGAACUUGAUGAGGUUGUUGAACCAUCACUUUAAAUAGAGUGUAGCACGACGCAUGAAGUUGUUCCUGCGAUGCCUACACCAAAUUUAAGAGGAAGCCAAUGAUGAUGAUCAUGAAGCUACAGAUCAAGUUACUACCAAACCUCGUAGGUCGACAAGGACAUGUACUGCUCCAAAGUGGUACGGUUAUCCUGUCUAGGAGGUCAUGUUGUUGGACAACAAUGAACCUACGAGCUAUGGAGAAGCAAUGGUGGGCCUGGAUUCCGACAAAUGGCUGGAGGCCAUGAAAUCCGAGAUAGGAUCCAUGUAUGAAAACAAACUAUGGACUUUGGAAGAACUACUUGAUGGUCAUAAGGCUAUUAAGUACAGAUGGGUCUUUAAAAGGAAGACAGACGAUGAUGGUAAAUGUCACCAUUUUGAAAGCUCGGCUUGUCGCAAAGAGGUUUCCGACAAGUUCAAGGGUUUGACUACGAUGAGACUUUCUCACUCAUAGCGAUGCUAAAUUUUGUUGGAAUUAUGUUAGCAGUUGCUACAUUCUUCGAUUACGAAAUCUGGCAGAUCGAUGUCAAAACAUUGUUGGCUUGAUGGUUUCCUUGAGGAAAGGUUGUAUGUGAUACAACCAGAAGGUUUUGUCAUUCCUAAGGAUGCUAACAAGUAUGCAAGAUCCAACAAUCCUUUUAUGUACUAUAGCAAGCAUAUCGGAGUUGGAAUAUACGCUUGAUGUGAUGAUCAAAGCUUUUGGACUUAUAGAAAUUUUAUGAGAAACUUGUAUUUCCAAGAAAGUGAGUGGGAUCACUACAAAAUUUCUAAUAAGUAUAUGUCGUUGACAUAUUGUUGAUCGGAAAUGAUGUAGGAUUUAUGCAAAGCAUAUAGGGUUGUUUGAAAGGAGUUUUUCAAAGGAAAAUCUGGAUUAAGCUACUUGAACACUAAGCAUCAAGAUCUAAAGAGAUAGAUCAAGAAGCUUGAUAAAACUUUCAAUGAAUACAUACCUUGAGAAAUUUUGAAGGAGUUAAAUAUGGAUCAGUCAAGGAAAGAAUUCUUGACUGUUUUGUAAGGUGUAAAUUUCAUUAAGACCCAAAGCUCAACCACGGUAGAAUAAAGAGAAAGGACGAAGGUCGUCGCCUCUGCCUUAGCCGUAGGCUUUGUAGUAUGCCAUGCUGUGUACCGCACCUCAUGUGCGACUUGCCAUGAGUCUGUCGAGGGGUACAAGAGUGAUCCAGGAAUGGAUCACUGGACAAUGGUCAAAAUUAUCCUUAGUAACUUGAGGAUUGAGGCAAUGUUUCUCGAUUAUGGAGGUGAUAAAAGAGCUCGUCUUAAAAUGUUACGUAGAUCCAAGCUUCCACACAAAUCCGGAUGACUCUGAGUAGCAGACCAGAUUCGUAUAAUAAAGCAGUCCUUUGGAAUAGUUCCAAAUGGAGCAUGGUAGCAGCAUCUAUAUUAUGACACAGAGAUUUGUAAAGCACACGCGGAUCUCAAAUGUUGAGACCCGUUGACUAAAACCUAUCUCACAAGCAAAACAUGAUAAACCCGAGAACUCAUUGGGUGUGAAUCACAUUAUGAUAUGAACUAGAUUAAUGACUCUAGUGCAAGUGGGUGACUGUUGGAAAUAUGCACUAGUGGCAAUAAUAAAUUAUUUAUUAUUAUAUUUCCUUGUUCAUGAUAAUCGUUUAUUUUCCAUGCUAUAAUUGUAUUGAUUGGAAACUCAAAUACAUGUGUAGAUACAUAGACAACACACCGUCCCUAGUGAGCCUCUAAGGACUAGCUCGUUGAUCAAAGAUGGUCAAGGUUUCCUGACCAUAGACAUGAGUUUUCAUUUCAUAACGGGAUAACAUCAUUAGGAGAAUGAUGUGAUGGACAAGACCCAAACUAUGAACGUAGUAUAUGAUCGUGUCAGUUUAUUGCUACUGUUUUCUGCAUGUCAAAUAUCUGUUCCCAUGACCAUGAGAUCAUGCAACUCCCGGACACCGGAGGAAUGCCUUAUGUGUAUCAAAUGUCACAAUGUAACUAGGUGACUAUAAAUGUGCCCUACAGGUAUCUCCAGAGGUGUCUGUUGGGUUGGCGUGAAUCGAGGCUGGGAUUUGUCACUCCGUAAGAUGGAGAGGUAUCUCUGGGCCCACUUGGUAAUACAACAUCACAAUGAGCUUGCAAGCAAUGUGACUAAGGAGUUGGUCACAUGAUCUUGUAUUACAGAAUGAGUAAAGAUACUUGCGAGUAACAAGAUUGAACUAGGUAUGGAGAUAAUGACGAUGGAAUCUCGGGCAAGUAAUAUACCGAUGGACAAAGGGAACAAUAUACAGGAUUCCUUGACAUCGUGGUUCGUCCGAUAAAGAUCUUUGUAGAAUAUGUAGGAGACAAUAUAGGAAUAUAGCUCCUUCUAUGGGUUUUUGACACGUGAGUGUCUCAGUCAUGUCUACAUAGUUCUCGAACCCGCGCGGUGUGCACACUUAAGGUUCGGUGAUGAUAUAGAGAUAGUUGAGCUAUAGUGUUGGUGAUCGAAGGCUGUUCGGAGUCCCUGAUGAGAUCGCGGACAUCAUGAGAAGCUCCAGAAUGGUCCAGAGGUAAAGAUUUAUAUAUAGGAAAGUGGUAUUCAGGUUCUAGAAUAGUUUCAGGGUUUUCUGAUAUUGUACAUGGAGUAUCGAAGGGAUUCCGAGGGUCCCCCGGGAGGGGCCCACCCAUCCCUGGGUCACAUGGGCCUGAGAGGUGGUGCACCAGACCCUGGUGGGCUUGGGAAACCAACCCCAAGAGGCCUAUGCACCCAAGGGUUGGUGGGAGGAAGUGCCUUGGUGGAGGAGGAGUCCUCCCUAGGGUGUCCACCUCCCUUGUGGGAGGAGGACUCCUCCCUACAUUGGCUGGACCCUCUCUCGUUGGAGGAGGGGCCAAGGCUAGCCCUACCUACCCCUUCAUCCUAUAAAUAGAGAUGGAGAGGGAGGUAACCAAUACACUAUUGCUUGGCAGCGCCCUACCUCUCUCCCUCAUAGUAAUUCUCCACCAUAGCGAUCGCAGCAGUGCUUGGCAAAGUCAUGCUGAAAUUGCACCACCACCACCGUCACCACACCAUCGUGAUGCCGGAGUACUCAACAUCUACUUCACCAUUGCUCACAAGAUCGAGGAGGUGAAGGCAUCAUCGAGCUGUGCUAUGUUGAAUACGGAGUUAUCGUACGUUCGGCACUACAUCGUGAUGGAUCGUGUUGGGAUUGCGGGACACAUCAUGAUGAGAUCGCGGGACGGCUCGUGAUUGGAUCGCAAAGAUGUUUGACUACAUCAACCCCAUUAUAUACGGUUCUGCUUAGCGAUCUACAAGGGUAUGUAGAUGCACCCCCCUCGUAGAUGUUGAUCUCUAUAGAUUGAUCUUUGUGAGCGUAGGAAAUGUUUUGAUUCCCAUGCGACGUUCCCCAACAACAUGUUCAUCGCAUGCUUUUUCUUUUCAGCAGGGACAUAUGGACUUGUAGAUGAUGCAAAGCAAUAGUCUUUAGUUUGACAUGAUAAUUUCCAUACUCAACCAUAUCAACAAGCAACCAAGUCUUUCAAAAUAUCAAUGCUAAAGACCGCUGUCCCUAUCCAAUCAUGCUCUAUUUUUUGAAUAAAACCAAUCAUGCUCUAUCAUUGAUCCAUUUAUGCAACACACUCAAAUAUUAACAACAUCCAAUGCUCAAAUAUGAUAAUGGCGCUCCUUAGAUGAUGCUUUAUAAGAGAAGAUGGAGACUCAAAUUCAAAAAUAUAAAUUGCAUAAUGUAAAUAGAUAGGCCCUUCACACACGGAAGCACGUAUUUGUAGAGGUGCUAGAUCUCAAAGUGAAAAACUUAGAGAUACUUUUUUUGGGUGGUAUGCUUUUCCUUUCAACCGAAACUACUAAGAUUUGCCAAUAUCCUCCAUGCUAAACAAUUUGUAGGCGAUUCCCAAACUGAAAAUAAAGUUUAUUCCUUUUCCACCAUUCUUUCAUAUUCCACGGCUAGCCGUAUCCACGGGUACCGUCCAUACAAAUACUUUCCAAGGAAUUUAUUGUUUGACAACAUAGUAUAUAUAUUUUUGCGUUUUGGUACUGGGCAUCGCUAUUUCCGCCAUACUCUCGUGCAAUGACAAGUGAAUAAACACUUACCUUGAGAAUAACCUAUUUAACAUGGAACAUACCGGUCACCCCUCACCGCUUCAUGAGCGGUACGAGCACACGAAACAUAAAUUUAUUUUGAACGUUUGAGUUGGCACUUGCAAAUUUACUUGGAACAACGUUGAAAUACGACGUAUAGGUACGUAUGGUGGACUCAUUUGGCCCAACUUUGGGUUUAGGAUUUGUAUGCACAAGCAGUAUUCCCUCAUAGCACAAGUGAAGGCUAUCAAAUAAAUUGAGAAGCGCCCAACCAAUGAACAAAAAUCAUCAUAAGUCAACAUUAAGCAUAACUAACACCGAGUAAUGCAACACAAGUAGGAUGUAAUUUCAUAGCAUAAUUAUUGACUUCAUGUGCAUGCGUAGGGAAUCAUAAACCUUAAAACCAGUAUUCCUACUAGAGCAUAAUUGCUCAUCAACAUAACUCACAUAUCACUAUCUUCAUAUCGCCAAACUAUUGCAAAUAAUCAAGUUUAAUAUCCAAUGAUCUUCAUGAAAGUUUGUAUUACAUAUUUCUUGGAAAUUCAUCACUUUGGAACUAAUUUCCAUUUAGAUCAAAUUGCCAUUGCAAAUAAUAAGCUCUCACACAAAUAUAAGUGAAGAACGAGAGCACACAUUUCUUUAAAAUUCUCAACUCUCAAAAUAAUAUAAGUGAAGCUAGAGAUGAUUUUUUCAAAAUUUAUGCUACUCUAAAAAUAAUCUAAGUGAAGCAUGAGAGGAAAUUUCUUCAAAAUAACAUCACCACUGUGCUAAAAAAGAUAUAGGUGAAGUACUUGAGCAAUUCCAUGGCUCAAAAAGUUUAAGUGAAGCAUAAAGAGCGAUUAUAAAAAUCAUAGCAUAAUUUGGCUCUCUCAAAUGGGUGUGCCCAACAAGGUUUAUUAUGACAAACUAACCAGCAGAGAAAGCAAAUACACAAAUAAUACAAGACGCUCCAAGCAAAACUCAUGAUAUGUGACGAAUAAUAAUAUGGCUCCAAGUAAAAUUACCGAUGGUUGUUAGAAGAAAGAGGAAUACCUUCCGAGGCAUCCCCAAACUUAAUUGCUUGGUACUCCUUAGAUAUUACCUCUGGGUGCCAUGGGGCAGCCCCAAGCUUAUGCUUUUGUCACUCCUUAUUCCUUCAUCCAUCGUGAUCUGACUCAAAACCUGAAAACUUCAAUCACGCAAAACUCAAUAAAAAAUUUGUGAGAUCCGUUAGUAUAAGAAAACCAAACUUUACUUUAGGUACUGUUGAAAACCUAUUCCAAUUUUGUUUUUGCAUUAUAAAUACUGUAUUCUAAUUUUACCAUGGCUUAUCCCCCCGAUACAAAUCAUAGAAUCAUCAGAACAAGCACAUAAUACAAAGAAAACAUAAUUUGUUAAAAAUAGAACAGUGUGUAAAGAUUUGAAUUUUACUCAUACUUAUGUAAAUCCAAAAAACAUGAAACACUAGGAAAACAUAUGGAAUUUAUAUAUAAAUCUUGUGUAAAAAAUUCAUACACUUUUGAUGUUUCUAUGAUUUUUAGAGUUUUUCUACUAGACGCAAAAGUUUCUGUUUUCAAUAGGACUAAAGCAACUAACACCCCACAUGAUCCCAAAGGCUUUAAUUGGCACAAAUACUAAAUAAAACAUAGAAAACACAAUUAUAACAAUAGCAUAUUUUUCAAACCACUACUGGAAUUCAGUUAUUUGUCGUCAGCCUCUUCUUUGCCGUCUGGUGGCUGAUGGCAAAGACCCUAUUUGCCGUCAGUCACCAGAAAACUGAAGGCAAAGAACAGACUGAUAGCAAAGAUAAUCUUUGCCAUCAGUCUUGUCUUUGGCGUCUGCUGGCGCACGGCAAAGAGCAGGAGGGCAGACGGCAAAGAGCCCACCACACACGCCCUCCCAUCCCAUAACGGACGCUCCCUUUGUCGUCUGCCUUCCUUCUUUUAGCCGUCGGGGGGUGGACGACGAAGUGAGCCCCUAUAACGGCCGUCUCCCCACCCCCGUCCCCUAUCUCCUGCUCUUUGCCGUCGGGGGUCGGANNNNNNNNNNNNNNNNNNNNNNNNNNNNNNNNNNNNNNNNNNNNNNNNNNNNNNNNNNNNNNNNNNNNNNNNNNNNNNNNNNNNNNNNNNNNNNNNNNNNCUUGAGGAGUUCAGUUAGAGGCUUUGCAACCUUGGAGAAAUUCUCGACAAAACGGCGACAAUAGCUCGCUAGACCAAGAAAACUCCUAGCUUGCUUAACCGAUUCAGGUUGAGUCCAAUCAAGGACGGCUUGAACUCGCUCGGGAUUUACAGCAAUACCCUUACCAGAGAUUACAUGACCUAGAUAGGUCACUUCUGGUAACCAAAAUUCACAUUUUGAAAAAUUGGCAUAAAGGCGAUGCUCUCGAAGUUUCAUCAAUACCAGCCUUAGAUGAUCGACAUGUUCUUGUUCGUUCUUUGAGUAGAUGAGAAUAUCAUCGAGGUAUACCACGACAAAUUUAUCCAAAUACUCCAUGAAGAUUGAAUUCAUCAGACGAGAGAAAGUGGCUGGGGCAUUGGUUAAACCGAAGGACAUGACGGUGCACUCGUAUUGGCCAUAACGAGUAACAAAAGCCGUUUUUGGAAUGUCCCCGUUCUUGAUCUUGAUUUGAUGGUAUUGUCACAUCCCUAACCCUUAAGCAAGUUAGUCUUGUCCUCAUGUCUUCUUUGCAUUUGCAUCUAAGAAGUUUCAACAAAAACAACAAAGUGGCAAAGGAAAACCUCAAAACCCUAGCCACUAUUUCAAUUAAAGAAAAUCUCAAACUAGUUCAAAUCAAUGAACCCAAAAUGGCCUCAAGAAAUGUUCAAACUUUCUGAUAAAUCAUGAAAGUAAAUGAGCAUUGGAGGAAACUAUUUUCUUGACACUUUAAGCAUUUUAAAUAAAUGCAAAAGGCUACUGGUUUCAAGUUUUAAAUUUGAAAUCCGAAUCUAUAAAUUUCCAAAAAUGUUGAAAACUUUGGAAAUGGUUGGGAAUGUUAUAACAAUAUUUCAGGAGUUCUAAAAUAGUUUUUACUUUUUGUUUUGGAGCUGAAAUAAUUCGCAAAACAAUAGUUAGCAAAACAAAAAAAACAAAAACAGAAAAAAAAUGGGAAACCCUUACCUGUCGCCUAGCCUGGCCCGGCCCAUCUCCCUCGCUCGUCCCCUCCCUCGCGCCAGUAUGCAGCAGGAGGUGGCCGCCGCCUCCUCCGGUGCGGCCACGCACCUGUGCGCCUACCUGGCCGCCGCCUCGCGCUGGCAAGGCCGGGGAUAAGCCCCCUGAGGCCUCCCCUAUCCAUUNNNNNNNNNNNNNNNNNNNNNNNNNNNNNNNNNNNNNNNNNNNNNNNNNNNNNNNNNNNNNNNNNNNNNNNNNNNNNNNNNNNNNNNNNNNNNNNNNNNNGCAAAGCUAACCCACCAGCUCAGGACUUAAUCACUCGCUGACAAGUGGGCCCAAGGCCAAGUCAAACCUCAAUUAGGGCUGGUCAACGCGGGAUUAGUCCCAGAGAGGCUGACCAAUGGGGCCCCCCUGUCAGGUUUGACCUGAACAGGUCGGCUGACCUGCUGACGUCAGUCUGAUGCAAUAAUUAGAAUUUCCAGUAUAAAACUAAUUCCAGGAAAUUGCUAAAACUUGUAAAAAUCAUAGAAAUUAAUCUGUAACUCCAAUGAAAAUAAUUUAUAUAUGAAAAAGUAUCAGAAAAAUUCAAGGAUUCUUAUUAUGCUAUUUUCAACUAUGUUUGAAAAAGUUACAGAACCCUAAAUUGUGGAAUAAGGAAUAAUUCAAUUCCUAUAAUUACUUUUAAAUGGAAUUUGGAAAAUUAUUCAAAUUUCAUUAUAUAUACAAUGUUCNNNNNNNNNNAAAAAAUCAAGGAUUCUGAUUAUGCUAUUUUCAACUAUGUUUGAAAAAGUUACAGAACUCUAAAUUGUGGAAUAAGGAAUAAUUCAAUUCCUAUAAUUACUUUCAAAUGGAAUUUGGAAAAUUAUUCAAAUUUCAUUAUAUAUACAAUGUUCACCACUGUCCUAAUUACAAAUCAGUACCAUAACAUGACAUUUCAUGCAUGUUAACAUCAAGUUGAUCUGAGCAUCAGGUCGAAUCAAUUAAACCGGUAUCCGAGAAUACCCCAUUUGAAUUGCUAUUCGAAUGUGAUUCAAAUCAACUCUAAACCUAAUACAUGUUGAAAAUAAUAACUUAUCACCUUGCAUUAUCAUGCCAUGCUCAUGCAUCAUUUUGAUUGCAUAUGAUUUUUAUUGAAUGUUACCAUUCUUUUCGGUAGGCUCCGCACCCCCGGAUUCCACCGAAUAUCCGUGUGACGGAUAUCGUUCCUCCUCUGAGCAACAAGGCAAGCAAACCCCUUUGAUCAUUCCGAUAACUCCAAUGUUCUUGCUCCUGCACCUAAUUAAUGCAUUUAAGAUCAAAUGCUUCAACUUCUUUUGCCACGAUAGUGAACCCACUUCCUUUGCAUGACUUAACCUUGUCACAGUAAAUAGCCAAACCUUGCAACCUAGCACACCUGGUAGUUGCUUGAGCUGUGAUGUGCCUUAUCCUGCUAUGCAUGCNNNNNNNNNNGCUUGCAUUCUCAUGCCAUGCUCAUGCAUCAUUUUGAUUGCAUAUGAUUGUUAUUGAAUGUUACCAUUCUUUUCGGUAGGCUCCGCACCCCAGGAUUCCACCGAAUAUCCGUCUCACGGAUAUCGUUCCUCCUCUGAGCAACAAGGCAAGCAAACCCGUUUGAUCAUUCCGAUAACUCCCAUGUUCUUGCUCCUGCACCUAAUUACUGCAUUUAAGAUCAAAUGCUUCAACUGCUUUUGCCACGAUAAUGAACCCACUUCCUUUGCAUGACUUAACCUUGUCAUAGUAAAUAGCCAAACCUUGCAACCUAGCAUACCUGGUAGUUGCUUGAGCUGUGAUGUGCCUUAUCCUGCUAUGCAUGCUAUCCUUAGAGUUGUGUAUGGUCUUUCAUCUGGGAGACGAACAGAAUUGUGGAACGUGUUUGGUGAGCAAAGGUGGUGUGUUGAAAUUGAGUUGGUAAAGGUACCGGUGAAAGGCCGUGUAGGAGUACAUGGCGGGUUGUUUCAUUGGAACCGUCCUUAGGAACUAAGUUCCGUGUAUGUAAUCCAAGACUAGAUACUACCACAUGCUGGGCCCUGAAAUAUGACCCCGCUCGGCCUAUUAAUCGCGUAGUACUCGGUCCAGGAGUUGCAAGUAGUUUCUGGUGUUUACAGUAAUGCUGGAGGCCGUGCAUGGUGCUGACCUGAGAGGUGGGCCGUGAUGCGGUAGGCAGUGGCACAGUGUACCAAGUGACACCCGGAUGGUGGGCUUGGGAACCCUGCGCACAUCGUUUGAGGCCAUGGCGGAAACCUCGGCCGGACUUCCGUACGGGUUACUCUCAGAUAGGCGAUAAACCUGGACUAGGUACUAGUGUGGUUAACGGUCGUGGCCGACUCCCUCGCUGGGCUUCCGCUUGAAGGUUGCCGAGGUGCAUGACUUGCACAUGGUGAUAAGUGGCGAGAGCGUGUGUGACGAAGUACACCCCUGCAGGGUUAUGAUCUAUUCGAAUAGCCGCGUCCGCGGAUAUGGACUGCUUGGAGACAUAUGUUGUUCAUAGAUAACUUCAAUGUCUACUCAUAAAAUUGCCAAGAUAAGCGUGAGUGUCGUGGACGGCAUUUCCGUACGGAGACGGAAUGAUUCCACGAUAGUGUAUUGUUGUGGUGUUAGUGGACUCGUGUGCGGGAAAUCAAGUUCUCAAAAUUAUUUAAAAAUGCAAGUUUUCUAGCCACGAGUCAAAUGCUGGCUUUCCGCAUGAAACCCCACAAUACCUUUUGAUACCUUGCAUGAGUAGUUAGUUCUCCUAAAGUCUUGCUGAGUACCUUCGUACUCAUGUUUGCUUAAUAAAUGUUGCAGAGGUUGCUAAUGACCCUUUUGGAGGGUUCUUCGUAGACAUCGAUGACGACGAGUAGCUGGUGUCCCAGCUACGAUCUGGCCCUACGUCGGCUCUGUAGUAUAGUCAGGCCAUGUGCCUUCUAGUUGCCCUGUCUGUACUCAGACAGUUUAAACUCUUCCGCUGGCUUGUAACUGAAUGACUGCUAUUAUGGGUCCUGAGACCCUUGAUGUGUAAUAUUAUGUGUGUGGCUCUUCCGAGCCUCUUAAAUAAAGGUUGUAUGUUUAUGGUUAUGUUGUGAUGCCAUCGAUGUAUCUCUACAUAUCGGUAUGCCAUGCGCACGUGUGUCAUACUUGAUAUGUAUGGGGUUCGAUUACUUAGUCGUGAACUUUAGUAGCACUCCUUACAAGGAAAUGCCCCUUUGUGAUCCAACGAGCCUUGGUAGUUCGCUACUGCUCCGUACACAAUGGUUGACCGGCAUGUGUCCUUCUUAGCUGCUGUGUCUGUCCCCUUUGGGGAAAUGUCACGCGAUGUAAUGGAGUCCUUGUAGCUUGCUAUGACUCGUCUACAUUCGCUGAUGACCGACACCUGCUUUGUUGGGUCAUGUAUGCGUGUCCUUGUGCGGUACUGCCACUUUGGUUUAUGACUAGACAUGUCGAUCCGGGUUCUNNNNNNNNNNNNNNNNNNNNNNNNNNCUAAUGACCGACACCUGCUUUGUUGGGUCAUGUAUGCCUGUCCUUGUGCGGUACUGCCACUUUAGUUUAUGACUAGACAUGUCGAUUCGGGUUCUUUGACAUUGGAUUGCUAGCGACACCUUCGCAUACGUGAGUCAAAAGACGCAACCGGUCCCGGCUAAGGUAAGGCUGCAGCCGUGGAGUUAACCGUGCGUGAGACCACAAAGGGAUGCGAUGUGUUACAGGCUGGAUUCCUAUGGCUUAGGAUCGGGGUCCCGACAGGUAUCCCAACCUCAAAUACAUUUUGGAGAAGAUUGAGGAUCCAGCGAGCUGAUCGUACAGGUCGUUGAUCCUGGGGAGCGGNNNNNNNNNNGCGUUGGUAUCAGAGCCUGACUGACUGUAGGAUUACUAAGCCAAACUGGUCGAACUUGAGUCUAGAAUUGCUUUAGUUAUAUAUAAGGGAAUUGUUUGUGGAAGGGAACGUAAGACUCUUGUUUUCUUCUCAAGUCAUUCUAUUCUGGUCAUCCUCGUCUUUUCUGCGGGAAUUAAGGACUAGGUUACUCAUCUUCUCCUAGGCUCGUGUUUCUGAUCGGUAGAUUAUAGGACUACGGGUCGAGAGAUAUUUGGUUUCUUUUAUUCCUAGGAAGCAGGAAGUAAGUUUGAUGAUCAGAGAGUUGAACUUGAUAGUUGAGUGGUUACGCUAUUCCAUUUUUGGGUUGUCUCAAAAUUUGGUUUUGAGCAUUUACAACCGUUAUGCUGCCCAAUUCUGCAUUCGGAGCUCUAAUGCUUUUGCAUUACUCUCUAUUUACAGAUGCCUGGCCGUCCUUCUCGUCAGGUGGUACGUCUGACCAGGUGCAUUGAUGUACCGGGUCAUACGGCCAUGCUGGUCAGGGUGAUGUCGGUGUGCGGUUACCGCUGGUACCCCGAGUACACAGUGGAGGAACAGUACCGCGACUUCAACCAGAGCCAGUACAUCUGCACUGUUAGGGUAUUUCCAGACUACCCUGGAGCUGAGAAGCCAAUCCAUUGGUCCUAUGGGUUGGGGGUCACCGUUGACAUGGCAGUACAUGAUGCUGCAUAUUCAAUGCUGACCAUUAUGAGAGCGAGACAUGCACUGCUGCAGAAUUCAGAGUUCUGCUAUGUUCCGGCCUCCCAGCCUGGUGAAGAGGGAUACCUUAGCGGAGUCUAUUUUGAUUCUUCUAUGGAGGAUCCACUUCUGCAGUCCACUGUUGAGAUGCUAGAGAACAGAGACAGGGAUGCUCGUGCUCUCCACAUGGAGCUUUAUGCUACCCGUGCCUGUCUGUUGACAGCUUUGACGCAGCUGGCACCGGUAGUCCAGACAGGGUAUGGAGAGAUGGAGAUGCUGAACCCUGUUAGGACCCAUCUUCCGGCCCACGUUGACUGGCCAGCUAUAGGAGGAGUCACACCUCUUCGGGGACCCCUCUUACCACCAGUCAGGGGACCAAGGCCACAUCCGUGUCCUUAUGGAUCCCAGGGAUCUCAGGCUAGAGUGUUCCCUGAUCCGCAGGUUGAGCUUCCAGGUCACGAAGGUAAUCUCUAUGAGAUGUUCUAUGCGAAUGCCUGAGCUGUGAGCGGAAGGAUAGUAUGGUAGUAGCCGUACGUUCACAGUCCCGCGUGACUUGUGAAGUAUGGUUGUAACGUGAAAUGAAUUCCGGAGGCCUAGAUAAAUAAUAUAUAGGCAGCUUGUAAGCCUCUGAUGAGUAGUUUAACAAUUUCAGUAGUUUGCUCUUCGGCUAAGGGUGUACUGAACUAUGUAAGGGUGUGUAUGAACCAUGGUGUAUAUAUAGCNNNNNNNNNNUUCGAUAAUCUACAACCAUCCGAUCCGUUCCGUCUUUCUUCUUGACGAAGAGGAUGGGGCAAGCCCAAGGAGAAGAGCUAGGACGAAUGAAACCUUUAUUCAAAGCCUCAUCUAGUUGCUUCUAAAGUUCGGCUAGCUCCACGGGUGCCAUCUUAUAUGGUCUUCUGGCUAUUCGGACAGUUCCCGGAACAAGAUCUAUCACAAACUCUACAUCUCUGUCAGGUGGAAUUCCUGACAGUUCCUCUGGAAAAACAUCCGGGAAGUCACGGACAAUCGGGAUGUCUUCAAGUUCCAGAAGAGGGUUGGCAUUUAGGGAAUAGAGUUGGCAUUUGGCAACUCGAGUAGAGACAUUGACUAUCUCACCCGAGGGAUGGGUAAGCUGAACAUUUCUAGAAUGAGUAUCAAUCUUGGCAUAGUGAGCUGACAUCCAGUCCAUACCCAAUAUGAUAUUGAUAUCCGAAGAUUUCAAGGCUAUUAAUGAGGCUAGAAAAACUAGCCUGUCUACUAGAAUUUCAUUGUCAUAGGUUAUCCUAGAGGUUUGCCAUUUACUACCAGGAGUUUGGACAACCAAUGGAAUUGGCAUAUCACAAAAAGACAUGUUAUUCAACUGUGCAUAACUUUCUGAAAUGAAGGAAUGAGAAGACCCAGUGUCAAACAGAACAGACGCUGGGUGAUGAUAAACAAGAAGCGUACCCAGUAUGACGUCGGGAUCCUCUGCAGCUUCUUCGGCUAAGACAUAGUUCACACGGCCACGUGCAGGAGUUGGCUUGACAUAGUAAGUUUUGCCCGACUUGCCUUGCCCGACGGACUUUCCGGGUUGCUUGGCACCCACAUUUGGAGGACACUCACGGGAAUAGUGCCCUGGUUCUCCAUGCUUGUAGCAUAUCACUUGGCUGGCACGUGGUGCACCAUUGCUAGCUGAACCACCAUAAGUUUUUGUUGGGGGGUUGGUUUGAUUCGUCUGAUGCACCACGUAGGAUGGCCUCAGAGUGUAUCUUGGCGGCAGAGAACUGUUCGGAACCCACAGCCUGCAUUUUGGAAACGCGGAACCAGAUUACGAGCCAAAGUCACGGGAGUGCUUCCUUGUGGCUUCAAAGUCGGUAUGACCAGUCUCGGCACUGAUCGCCUUGUUGACUAGGGCUUGAAAGCUUGCACACUCGUGGAGGCGCAGAUCACGACGAAGCUGAGGACUCAGACCCUUAUGGAAUCUUGCUUGCUUCUUGGCGUCAGUAGACACCUCCUCUGUUGCAUAGCGGGCGAGGUUACCGAACUCGUGGCUAUAGGCAUCCACGGUCAUCUUGCCUUGGGUGAAAGCACAUAACUCCUCUCUCUUUCUGUCCAUUAGGCCCUCUGGAAUAUGGUGCAGACACAAGGCUGCACUAAAGUCUGCCCAUCUGGCUGCUGGCUCAGCAGGACACUGAAGCAUUCCUAGGCUGGCGAGCCGUAUUCUGCUCAAUACGCUCUAACAGUCGGUUGGUCUCUCUUUUGUUCCUCUCUGCCUCAAGCAUAACUUCCGCCAGAGAGGGCGGGUGAGGCAGGUCUUCCUGCGACGCUUGACUACCCUCGCCUUCCUCAUGAGCAGGGGCACAGUUCAACCUGGUGAACACUAUCCUGGCAAACAAACUCACAUCUUAGACCAAUAUCAUAUCAAUACUAGCUAUGGAUUAAGAAUGUACUGAACACACGGAAUGCGGAAAUGAAUAUCCGAACAACAUGGUAACAAGCAUCUGCUAUAUAUACACCAUGGUUCAUACACACCCUUACAUAGUUCAGUACAACCUUAAUCGAAGAGCAAACUACUGGAAUUAUGAAACUACUCAUCAGAGGCUUACAAACUUCCUAUACAUUAUUUAUCUAGGCCUCCGGAAUUCAUUUCACAUCACAGGCAUACUUCACAAGUCACGCAGGACUGUGAACAUACGGCUAUACCACACUAUCCCUCCACACAUAGCUCAGGCAUCCGCAUAGAACAUCUCAUAGAGAUUGCCUCCAUGGCCUGGAAGCUCAACCUGCGGAUCAGGAAACACUCUGGCCUGAGAUCCCUGGGAUCCAUAAGGACAAGGAUGUGGCCUCGGUCCCCUGACUGGUGGUGAUAGGGGUCCCCGAAGAGGGGUGACUCCUCCUAUAGUUGGCCAGUCCUAACAGGGUUCAGCAUCUCCAUAUCUCCGUACGCUGUCUAGACUACCGGUGCCAGUUGCGUCAAAGCCGUCCACAGACGGGCACGGGUAGCAUAAAGCUCCAUGCGGAGAGCACGAGCAUCCCUGUCUCUGUUCUCUAGCAUCUCAGCAGUGGACUGCAGUAGUGGAUCCUCCAUAGAAGAAUCAAAAUAGACUCCGCUGAGGUAUCCCUCUUCACCAUGCUGAGAGGCAGGAACAUAGCAGAACUCUGAAUCCCUCUUCACCCCGAUCCUAAGCCAUAGGAAUCCAACCUGUAACACAUCGCAUCCCUUUGCGGUAUCACGCACGGUUAACCCCACGGCUGCAACCUUACCUUAGCCGGGACCGUUUGCGCCUUUUGACUCACGUAUGCAAUUGUGUCGCUAGCAAUCCAAUNNNNNNNNNNNNNNNNNNNNNNNNNNNNNNNNNNNNNNNNNNNNNNNNNNNNNNNNNNNNNNNNNNNNNNNNNNNNNNNNNNNNNNNNNNNNNNNNNNNNGCGACGUUUCCCAACAAACAUGGCGGUUAAAUGUAAGUUAUGAGGUUCCCGAUGGAUAAAUGACCAUGUUAUUUACACAGAAGUUACCAGAACAUGUUUCAGUAACGUUUUUCCCAUGGGUAAAAAGUUAUCGGUGUGUUGUAUGUAAGUUAUCGGGUGAAUGAUGCGUAAAUAACCAUGCUAUUUGGACUAGGUUAUCAGGGGAUAUUUCUAAAACUUUUCGCCCAAGGUGAAAAGUUAUCAACGUGUUUAUAUGUAAGUUAUCAGAUUAGUUGUACGUAAGUUAUCAUCCUAUUUACACUGAAGUUGCUGGUGGUAUAUUUCAACAACUUUUUCACCUCGGAUGGUAAAAAAAGUGGUAUCUUAUUUGAACUUGUGAGGAUCCAAGUAGUGGGUGAGUUGGCUAGUGUGCUGUGAUCUUAAUAUUGAAGUUUUGAGUUCAAUUCUCAGCUUUAGCAUGAUUUUUUAGGCUAAAAAGCUACAAGUAUGGAAACUGCUAACAUCAAGAUCUGUUUCCAACAUUUUUUUUUCUCCCGGUCAAAAAUUUAUCAUGGUGUUUGUGUGUUAGCUAUCAUAUUUUUUAUGUGUAUAUCAUCAUGCUAUUAAUGUAAAAGUUAUAACGGGUGUGUCUUCAAUAACUUUUUUUCCUGGGUCAAAGUUAUCAUAAUGUAUGUACAUAAGUUAGUAGGUCUAGGGUGUGUAUAUUAUCAUGCUAUUUAGAUAGAAGUUACCAGGUCUAUGAUGCGUACACAAAUAUCGCGGUGGAUCCAACCUAGAGAAAAAUCACGACAGUUAAUGUCAACAUCUCUGGAAAUCUUCCCAUUAAAUGUGUCAUCAAAUUAACAACUCGUUCGGAUUUUUAGUCCUAAACAAAGUGCUAGUACGCAUUAAAUUCAAAACGUGAGUAAUUAUCCUAACAACAAUUGUCUAGAUGGAGCGGUUAGUAAAAGAUGUUUUCUUUUUGCGAAGUACUACCUCUAGUGAUCUAAAAUGUUUUAUAUUAUUUUAUUGAGGGGGUAAAAGUUAUCACAAUGUAUGUACAUAAGUUAGCAGGUCUAGGGUGUGUAUAUUAUCAUGCUAUUUAGAUAGAAGUUAUCAGGUCUGUGAUGCGUACAAAAAUAUCGUGGUGGAUCCAACCUAGAGAAAAAUCACGGCAGUUAACGUCAACGUCUCUGAAAAUCUUCCCAUUAAAUGUGCCAUCAAAUUAACAACUCGCUCGGAUUUUUAGUCCUAAACAAAGUGCUAGUACGUAUUAAAUUCAAAACAUGAGUAAUUAUCCUAAUAACAAUGUCUAGAUGGAGCGGUUAGUAAAAGAUGUUUUCUUUUUGCGAAGCACUACCUCUAGUGAUCUAAAAUGUCUUAUAUUAUUUUAUUGAGGGGGUAAUAAAGAUUGUCUUGCCGCCAAUCACGACCAUCUGAGAUUAAAGCACUCAUGCGGCAGCAUCUAAUAAACGUAUGGUAAAUCUUGUGAAGGUUGAUAGAGUGAAAAAUAGGGUUAGUCACGCCACUUGCAAGGUGUGAGCAGAGAACAGUUUGCCUGGCUUCGAUCAAGUCAAGAUCAACAAUGGGCAUAAUCCUCCAGGAUUGUAAUACCCUGUAGGCCUUAUUUGGUUCAUACGACAGGAAUAGAAAAAACAUAAAAUGUGUGAUGACAUGUACUAUCUCAAUUCCUAUGAAGGAAGAGGUGUCAUUUAAUGUAUAGGAUAGAAAUAUUUUCAAUGAGUCUAAGCUAAUAUUCCUUUUCUUUUGAAAUGUGUGUUAGGAAGUGUUAGAAAGCACUAGUAUUGAUCUAGGAGUCCUUAUUAGUCUAUGUUUAUUUUCCUUGCACCUCAAUUUUUGUGUAAUAUAUAUAUGUACAUUGGGCUUUCAAUAAAGAUAGUUGAUUUCCUAACAUGGUAUUAGAGCCUAGGUUUAGGUCUUCUUCGAAGGCCGCAACUCGUCCUCACUCUUGAUCGAUUUUUUUAUCCGUACAAUCUGCAUGUCUCUGAUACUCGUCGAUGAAUUCUCUCGACCUCUUCCCGAUCAAGAUUUCCUCCGCUUCCACUCCAACCAAGGGAUAUUCGACCCCGACGGAACUCUGCCCAGCCGGGCCAUUGUAUCGAUUCGCCGCUGGGCCUAUACACGCGAGUUGUUGGGCAGCCACGGGCAGCCUCUGGAUUGGGGCCGUCAACGACCGCCAGUGUUGCUCAUCGAUGGCUGCUCAUGCGACUCCAGAUCGACGCUAGCUGCCACCCCCUCCAUGCAUGUCUUCCCAACAAGAUAGAGCGACGCCCCGCUCGUUCCAAAGAUUGAUUCCUAUCCUACAUAUGAAUAGGAAUCCAUUCCUACAAAUGAAAUAGCUCCAAAGGAAUUUUUUGUUUAAAAAUCCUAUCCUAUAGUAUUCCUACAAAAAUCCCUACAAACCAAACGAGGACGUAAUAUAUUCCUUUACUUGGGAAAGAAAAUCUCACACAACAGAAAACUGGUGUAUUAAGAAAAGUUGUAAGAAGCAACUCAUAGCCAUGGAUGAUGGAAGAAAAUCUCGCAUCAUAAAUUGCAUUGUACUCCCAACAUUGGAGAAAUAAAAGAGUGUUUGGAUCACUAAAGUAGUGAUCUAAACGCUCUUAUAUUUCUUUACAGAAAGAGUACUAGCAAAUAAAAUAAUUUUACUGAUUAAUUAAAAAACCACAUUAGGUCAAACAAAUUGAAACAACACACGGCAAAGACCCCGGAGAAAACCAAAAGGCCCAUGAAAAAUAUGCAGCCGCGAAUCUGCAUUUCAAGUUCCAUCAACAAUAUUCUAAAAAAAUGUGCAUUCAAAUCUAGCGGCUACUAUUCACCACCAAAUUCACAUUCUGUAUUGUUUUUUCUUUAAACAAGAAAUUCACAUUCUUUAUUCGCGGCUACUAUUCAUGAUUUGAUCUAUUAUUUAUGUUUUUUUAUGUGCAAAUCGAAUUUAGGCCUGGAUGUUGCUUGGUUGAUGACCUACAGAAAAAUUAGCUAGCCUGGCCUGGACACUCUCCUGGUAGCUUGUUUAGCCAGGCCUGUUGUCCCAAAAACCAAGAUUACAUAUUGAAACAAAAUUUAAACAAUAGUACUACACAAAACUCAAAUUUAAAAUUCAAAACAUAGUUUGCGCAACAAAAAAUGAGAAACAAAAUGUCAAUAGCGAUGAUUGUUGAGUUCGAUCGCAGCUCAAUUUAGGCUUAGCUGCUAUUCAUCCAGAGGUUUGCCUCUCUUUUUUUUUUUGUCACAGCACGACCGAUAUGUAUAUACAUUUACUUCCGCGUGCUAAUCAUUUUUUCAGAAAUUUUGUCAGUCUCUAAACGAUUACACUACUGAAACUUCACACUGGAUUAUACAUUCUCUAACAACCGACACUCCGACGGCCUUCUCCACUCCACUGGCUACUGAGGCCUUCUCCACUCCACUGGCUACUGAAGCUCAUCAGCCAUGGAGCUGCUGUCCAAUGCCCCCGCCGACCACUCCGUGCCGGACAGGUGUGUACGUCUUCCCGCUCAACAAGCACCCCUCCCUGCUCCCCGACGACCUCCCCUUCUCCGACCAUCACAGCCGCCAGGCCACCGAGGGGAUUGUCAGGGCCGGCAAGGCAGGAUUCUUCGUGACAAAUACAUCAACUACUGCACUGUCCUGCCUAACAAAAACAGUUGUGCGGGCAUACUAGUAUAUAAAUUUGAUUUUGUCUUUUUGAAGAAGACUGUCUAUUCCAAUGUAAACCUGAGAACACAACUCACCUCAAGUGCAGCAUAUAUCGGAACACCUACUUCUUCAGUCAAGUGCAGUAAAAGACCGGUUGUAGAACCUGUUUAGUCAGAGUUGAGCAGUAGAAACCAUAUUAUGCUCUACUAUGGUUAUAAAGGAUAAGUAUGACCUUGCUACCAUUUGGGUAGGCUGAAGCUUGGCUUCAAAUAUUGACAUCACCAAAAUUCAGAUAAAAUGCAAGGUCAUAGAACUCAGCAAAUUAUGCUUAUUGAAGUUGAGGAAACUCUCCAAGUUUGUGACCAAGGUUAUCUACCUCCAUGUCUACAUGAGUAAGAUCAUGCAAAUAGCAAAACUCUGCUCUUAAAAGAUACUGCCCUCCAACCUUUCAGUAGUUUGGUAAAGAAGUAAUCAUACAUAUGCCUUCUACAUCUUCCAUGCUUCUAAAUGAAGGUCAAAAUAGAAUGAAGCACACAGCAUCGACAUGAUAAUUAUAAGAGGAAAACUUCAUGAAGGUUUUCCUGAAAUGCAUGGAUUAGCCAGUUCGGCUGUUAGGAUGUUACAUGGUUCACAAACCUACCGUCCUGUAACCAUCUCCAUCUUCCAUGAAUGUCUUUUGUACUGUGACCAUCACCUACAUAGCGACGUUAUUGUGGCAGCAACGAAAACAGUACUUUACUGUGUAAAAGUUAUGUGCCUAGCUGUACCCCAAAUAACCUGUAUGGAAAUCAAAAGAAAAAAAUGAGGGGCAAAUUAAGCAAUUCCAGAAAUUUGUUGCCAAAUCACAAACAGCGGCAAUCUGAUAACCAAAGCGCAAGAUCGCAGUACAAAGGAGCACUAACAAAGAAUCUGUAAACAAGAUGGUGAGCAGAAAAUAGAACCACAUAAAACAGAGGCACUAUAUAACCAUGACAAUAUCAAUUCUCCACAUGACAUGGUUUCCACAUUCCAGUAGUUUGCAAACUAUUAGCUGGAAAACUCUGCAAUUCUGCAGCUAUGAACAGCUAACAGCAAGGCAUGAAAUUAACUAAUAAAAUGAAGCAAUGAGUGAAAUUGAAAGCAAGUGCAGAAUUUCACCAAGGAAAUCAACUAAUGACUGGAAGAAGCAUAUCUAAGUCGCAUUAAAAUACAGUACAUGGAUUUCUUACUAAUAAAAGAACAAAUCAAGCAGAUAAAGUGAGCCAAUGAGGGGUAAUUCCCAAAAAUGAGGAGCAAGCCGAGGUUGAGGCUACAUCGGCUUCUUAGGAUGUGUUUGGUUGGAGGGAUAGGCUAGGGUGGCUGUGGGUAUCCCCAACCAGGUGGCUGGGGAUAGCCCUUUUUUUUGUUUGGUUGUAAGGGUAGGGUUAUCCUUUUUUUUGUUUGGUUGGGAGGAUGGAUUCUCCCGCGCCGGCCGCCCUCCCUCGCCGGCCGCGCCGGCCGCCCCAGAGUGGUUGCCACCGCCCGCCCGUUUUUGGCGGUUGGCCACAUCCCUUUUUUUUGAGAAUAUUCCCAGCAUCUGGUUGACUCUGUCCCUCCUCGCCCCAGAUCCAAACGCAUGGCAACCACAGAAAAAAGUGGUUAUCCCUGUCCCUGGAAGGAUAUCCCUCCAACCAAACACACCCUAAGUGGAAGGACAGCGUGUAGUAUACCUGAGCACCAUCUUGGCAGCGGUUUUGGCCAGUGCCCAUGUAUCUGAAGAUGGAACGAAUGCCGACACAUCCCAAUUACCUGGCUAAAAUUUGGCAUUAAUAAAAAUAGUACUCCCUCCGUAAACUAAUAUAAGANNNNNNNNNNNNNNNNNNNNNNNNNNNNNNNNNNNNNNNNNNNNNNNNNNNNNNNNNNNNNNNNNNNNNNNNNNNNNNNNNNNNNNNNNNNNNNNNNNNNNNNNNNNNNNNNNNNNNNNNNNNNNNNNNNNNNNNNNNNNNNNNNNNNNNNNNNNNNNNNNNNNNNNNNNNNNNNNUCUUAUAUUAGUUUACAGAGGGAGUACUAUAGUUGCACAAUAUUGGAGGCUAGAACAAUGGAUCAUACAUCAUAUGGAAUGAUUAAGGACUAACCUCAUCCAGCACCUUCACUUAGGCAGAGGGGAGGGUGAGGUGCAGGGACAUCAACAUCAGACAAAGGAGCAAGAUCAAGGAUCACGGCCUUGGCUUCCAAUGAGGAUGGCAUCUGAUUCAUCAUGUUCCUUGCCAGGGCGCCAUUGGCCGUCAUCAAGGCCAGCUUAAUCAUUUCGCAUUUACUGAUUUAAUAUUCGGAGAUAUCUUGUCAUCACAAAUCAAGCUUACCAUCUUAGCGUGCCCCAACCUAGCAUAGGAAGGGCAAGCAGGCUUGCUGCUUGUAUACAAAGUGCUGCAUCUGGCCUUUAUCUGUGUCAUGUAGUACUACUUAAAAACAAAAUUAAAUUAUCUGUUUUGACCUUGCUUGGAACCAAAUCUAUCUGCUCCAGUGAAUCAUUGCUUUCGUCGUAUCAUAUCCUAUGAUUCAUGUGAAACAACCUUCAGGAAUUACAGCCACUCAUGAACAUUAGUGCCAUUUAUAUUGUUCAUCUUGCCUAUCAAGCGCUGCAGUUACCAUUUGCAGUUUUUUACACAAAUGAAGUGAUUGCUGAAGUUUUCUCGUCAUUUUCGUAUCGAAAUGGCAGUGGCCUUUCAUAUCCUAUGAUUGCUGCAGUUUCUCGUCAUUUUCGUAUCGAAAUGGCAGUUUUUACACAAUUGAAGUGAUUGCUGCAGUUUUUACGUUAUAAUGAACGGCGGGUGUAAGGUGGCAAUGCCAUGCAAUAGCUUAUAGGUCAGUUCCAAGCAACAAAUUGGGCUGAAUUUUGUGGCUUUGCGAUUCUUAAAUCUACAGUUUCACAUUGGCUAGUUUUGCUACCAAAACAUGUGUAUGUGGUUUUGUGAAUGGAUAUGGUUUUCACAUAUGCAAAUGCAAGCACUGAAUAUUAGACAGAUAAGAACAAAGAACUUUGUCCUUGGUCCAAGCAGCUUGCAGUGGCCAAUUGUCAUAUUAUUUUCUUCCUCCCCUUCCAUCAACAAAUAUAAAUCCAUCCUUCAUUGGAUUUUCUUGUUAUUUAUGGUACCUCCACCGGUUUAGUUCCACUGACUACUGACAGAUAUACAUGAUAAGGCUAAUUCAUUUGUAGAUCAUGCUUUUUAGUCCCAGAUAGGUUAUCUUUUCCAACUUGAAAAUUCACAACCAGAGUAAAGUCAACUAUGGUAAUUAGAAAAGGAGACAAUAAAUCCUUAGGAAAAAUGGUAAAGAAAUCGAAAGGCAAACAAAAAACAGAUACCCAUUAGAAAUCUACUUCAAGUAUAAUCUAAAUAUUAAACAAAGUAAGAUAGGAGUAUGAUGGAACCUAAAAGAUAAUGAAAUGAAAAUGGAACAUGCAUGAUAGAUAAAUUUUGGCAUGAAAGCAGAGCAUACUGAUACUGAUACUGAUACAUUUCGGUGGAAAACGGCACAACAUUAUUCUAAAAAAAAUUCUGGUUAUCAUGAUCUUCACAGAAGUCAGAAACACAAAUAUAUCAAUGUACUUCUCAUUUCAGGGAUCUUCUCUAAGGAAUGACAAGAGCAACAUAUCAGGGUUCAGGAAUAAAAUUAUCAGUUCCAGAGGAGUUAGCAUUUAGCAAUGACCAAACUGGCAUGUAACAGGCAUACUACAGAAAAUAACCAACAUCUAGUUUGGCAAACAACGCCAAAACAGGAACUACCAGCUUAUAACGCAGAGUGAAAACUUUGUUGCGCCAUCACAAUAAUCAACUUCCUUAGCCCGUUUUCGGUUCAAGUAAAUCCGAAAUUAGUUGGCACCUCACCUUUGCAAGCGGUUGCAUAGUCUUGAGCGAGGUGUGGUACAGCUUCCUUGUGAGGGGAUAUGAGUUUCUCGACAAAUACCUUCUCAGUCAUCUUGACCACAUAACAGAAGCUCAGGUGACGAUCUACCAAUCCAUUUUCCUUGAGGAACUUUAGAACAUAGCACCGGGGCUUGACCCGGCCCUCCAGGCUAUAAUAGAGGAUGACCGGGCAAUGAGCAAUGUACCCCGGUUGCAAGCCCGCCUCGGAGACCAGGAACUCGAAGCUACGCCGUAGGAUGUAUUUUGACCUCCUCAGCAGCAUUGGAGCUGCAGAGAAAGCAAUGAGAACCUCAGCAUCAGACCAGCUGAAGGUCCUCUUCAGGUAGUCCACUUUUGCGGUGAUGUUCCCCUCACUGCGGAACGCGACAGCCUGCAGUGCCUCCCUGAACAUACCAGAGCCCCUGGGCACACCCAAUCUUUCGGCACAUGCCGCCAUCGCCCGGACGCGGUCGGGGUUGGCGGUCAGCAUCCUUGGCUCACGGAUACACAGCUUGGCAAUACUGCGACAAUCUAGCCCGCACUCCUGCAGAAACGCGACAUUGGGCAUGACCACCUUGCCGAGGUUGAACUUGAGCAAGCGGGGGCUCUUGGUUAGAGCACGGAAGAGGUUCUCGGAGGAGCCGAAGAGGGGCAGGUGGUACUGCAGCUUGGAGACGAUGGAUCUGCAGCGGAAGCUGUCUUGGACGAGCGAGGCGAGGCGGGCGAUCUCAGGACGCGACAGGCCGAGGCCGGUCAGCCCGUCGACGUUGUGUGCUAGGGUUGUCUCCACGCCGGCGCAGAGAAAAAGCGGGUCUUUGGCGACGACGGCCGCGGCGUCGGCGCCGGAGAGGCCGAGGCCGGAGAGGAAGGCGAGGACGGCUUCGGGGUUGGCGGGGGAGUUGAGGUGCGAGAGCUUCUUGGAGGCCUUGAGGGCCUGGGGCCGGGUGAGGCCGCAGGUGUGGACGAGGUACUCCUCCACGGCGAAUCCUUGGUUUGGGGAGUUGGACGGCGGCGCGCUGGCGGAGAGGAGCCGGCGGAAGAGGGAGCAGAUGGGAGAGGUGGAUGGAGAAGAGGGGAGAUGAGAAACCAUGCGCUCCCGGAGACGGAGCAUGCCGCCGGCGGCGGUGGCGGUGGCAGCGGCGGAGAUAAUCUCCGAUGGGGAGUAGAGCUGCAAGUGGUCCGGGUGCGUGGGCUGAAUUUUUGUCUAAAAGGCCGAGUGCAUUUGUCGGAAAGGACCACCUGCGGACGAAAGUGGCAGAAAAGACACCCACCCAUCGUGGCGGCAGGCGUGCCAGGCGACGCGUGUCACCUGCCGCCACAGCCUGAGGCGGCUGGGGCCUGCCACCAUGGCGAGAGGCGGUCGGCGCGGAUUUCCGUUCCAGCGUAGCCGCGACGGAACGGUGAGAAAGUGGUGGGACAUGCCGCCACGAAAGGAGGCGGCCAGGCGGGCCCUGCCGCCUCGACAGCCGGCGGCCGGUAUUGUGGAUGACGGCGUUGAUUCCCACCUGACAACGCUGAUUCCCACGCUGUCGGCUGAUUCCCAUGCUGUCUGCACCGAUGAAACAGUGUGAAUUUUUCCCGCUCUCCACCGAUAAAACAGUGUCAAAAUUAUUUGUAUAAAGGAGUUGCGUCGCUGCCUCCUCUCUCACUCGUUUCUCUUCUUUGCUUGAACCCACACUGCUUCUCUUUCUCACUCUCUUCUCUUUCUCUCAAGAACUACUCCAUAUGACGGUUUAAGUGGCGAUUUAGGACGGUUUAAAGUUAGAUUUUGAAGACGUUGUAGUUGAAGAAAAGAUAGAUGAAGGUAAGAGUUUUCCAUUUCUGAUGGUCGUGUUUUCAUGCAUGAUGUUUUUAUUUUGUUUGAUUAGUUUCUAAGUAGUAUGUUUUAUCUUUUGUCUUAGGGAGUGUAUUAUCAUUUUUGUGGAACUAUUUUAUCAUGCGAUAUGAACAACUAAGUUGAAGAUCAAGUAUGAGACUCUGUUCAUAUUUGUGUUCAUGUGAUAAUAGGUCGACUCUGUUCAUAUAUUAUCGAUGAUUUGUUCGUGUUUGCAUGCAACUGGUAUUUAGAAAGGAGCCGAAAAAAUGUGUAUGUAACUAGCAUUUUUGUUAAAAACAUGUAAUAAUAUGUUAGCUCCAUUAGUAUUAUUACAUGCAAGACGCGUGUGUAAUAUAUUUGUUUAUGUGAUAGUUUGUCAACCCCGUAGAAAUAUGACUCGUGAUAUAUAUAUAUGCAUGCAAUAUGUAUUUUAAGACUUUGCUAGCACGGAAAUAACUAUGUGUGUAAUAUUUUUGUUUAUAUGAAAAUAGGUGGAAUUCGCUGAUAUUAUUCUGGUGAUAUUUUGUAUUCGGAAGGAUAUCCUUAUUAAACCAGAGGUAUGAAUGACAUAUUGUAAUUCAUCUUCUAUUUAUUUUAUAGAUGUAGUGUCACGAUAAAUGGUACAAUAUAAAUUAUUAUGCGUAGAUGUACAAUCGUCUGUGAGUAUUUGUUAAAUUGUUAUAUGUAAAAAAGAUAAGUAAUGGAUGUUGUUAUUACAAUAUAAAUAUAAUAAUAUGAUUUUUAAUGGACUAACGAUGUAAAUAUGGCUGCUCGUUAGGUACUAUGGAAAAUUUGUUAGUGUUUUAUGGACACAUCGUACGUGAGGGUCCUUCUGGUGUGGAUGUGUCUAGGUGCGGGAUGACUACGGUUGUAGUAAGAGACAUGGUUAAUGUAGAGUAUGCGGCAGUUACAAGGUGCAUCCGAGCGGUGUUUGGUUCAGCGAUGAAUGGUAAAAAAAUGACCAUGGAGGCUUUCGUGGUUGAGGGAGGAAAUCGUUGGGUUCUGCGGCGGGUUAUUGGUGAAAGAGCAUGGGUGUCCUACAUGGGUUUUGCAAGCAAUCUCAAUAACUCCGUGUAUGGACAACCCAUGGUUUAUGUGGAGUUCAUUUCUGCCAGUGAUGUCGCCGAGUGCAGUAGCGGUGCCGGUGAGGCCAAGCUGGCCAUAACUGUAGCCCCCGACGCCGGCCCAUCGGAACCAAGGGGUGGCCAACAAGUGGACAUAACUGUAGCCCCCAACGCCGGCCCAUCGGAACCAACAGGUGGCCAACAAGUGUAUGACACUGGAUAUUGGUCUGCGGUCGUUGACAUGAGUGAACAUGUCGAGGGAUUGCCGAAGGCGCUAGAUGAUGACGAUGAUGGUCAUUCUUCUGCCUCUUCGGAAUCAGAUGAUGAUGAAGUUGUUCCUCCUGAGAAGGCGGUCGCUGCAGCAAUUAACCCAGAGUUUUUACAGGUUAUGAGCAUCACCAAUGAAUUUCACUCUGUUGCUGGCCUAGACGCGGGAAGUCUGGCCGUUGGACAGAUUUUCCCAGAUAAGAAAUCUGCUAAACAAGCAAUACAUAGCUAUGCAAUUGCUAUACACAGGCAACAUAGAGUGAAGCAGUCUGAUAAAAAGGAGUUGAAGCUCAUAUGCAUCCAUCGCGAAGCGGGUUGCCGCGGAAGAGUUAUUGCUCGCCAGAAGCCUGGGGUAUGUCAGCCAUGGCAUGUCACAAAAAUAGAGCAACAUGGUUGUGAGCAAACCGGCACUCUUUCAGAGCACCGCAAUGUGACUGCAGAAUAUGUGUCACAGGUGAUGCAAACCAUUGUGCAGCAAAGUCUUAAUAUUAGUAUUAGGGCUUUGCGUGCAACUGCAUCUGAUCUGAUUGGUUUCCCUGUCAGCUAUAGCAAGGCUCGUCAUGCAAAGGAAAAGAUAUUUCAGAGGUUGUAUGGAACCUAUGAGGAGGCGUACUCUUUUGCCCCUAGAAUGUUGCAUCAGAUUUCAGUUGCUAACAGGGGGACUCAAGUUUUCCGGAAAGAACGUCCAAAUCCAUUGAACCCAGACGAGCAAAUCCUGGACCGCUUAUUCUGGGCAUUCGCCCAGACUAUUCAAGCAUUGUCGUCCGGUUGUAUCAAUUGAUGGUACAUUUCUCACUGGAAAGUACAAGGGCACACUCUUAGUGGCGAUGGCAGCUGAUGCAAACAAUCAACUUCUUCCUAUUGCCUAUGCACUAGUGGAGAGCGAAAACAAACAUAGUUGGCUAUGGUUCAUGUGUUGCCUGAAGAUGGGUGUCAUCAAAGAUCGGGAAGGGGUUUGCAUCAUCUCUGAUCGCAACACCGGACUAUUAAGCGUGCUCGAGAUAAUUAAGGUUUCACAAGAUCCAGAUUGGGGGUGGCCCGAUCUGGAGACAAGGUGGUGCAUGAGGCAUUUGGCAGCUAAUUUUUAUUCGAAAUUCAAAAACAAAAGAUUGGUUCAAGCUAUUCAAGAGGAUGUGCAUGCAGAAAACUGCAGCAAAAAUGAAUGCUAUCUGGACAGGUAUCAAUGGUGAGAUCGAGCGCGCAUCCCUCCCGGCGAGAGAAGACCGGAGGGGUCGUCAAACAGUAAUAAAUAAAUUUGAGCCAGUCGAUCAGUGAGAAUUGUCCCAAUUUGUACAAGUGGGCGCAGUCCCAAUUGAUAUGGUAUUUGGUUCGCAACACAUGCCAGUGGAAUGAGUGAGAGAUAGUGCCUUUUGGAUGACUCGCUGCAAUUUACUCUAUCUGUGGUUUGUGGAACCGUACAAUCGUCACCGUGUCAUGAGACAGUUCGGUCCAUAUCAAGAUAUUUCACCACCAGUUCCAAGAUGUAUCGACGAAGAAACUCAUAAGUAAGUAAGAUGUGACCUAGCUAAAUAGAUAUUCCAUCACCUAUUCUUGAAUUUUCUUUUUGUUAUCUAUAAUUUCAGGAUGAGCAAUAUGGGCAGAUCUGGUGUGGACUGGAAUGCAGAAAACAUUCAAUGGAUAAAUCAGUGGAAUAAUGAAGCUCUACAAAAUAUAGUGCCUCAGCAACGGUAAUUUUACUAAUGUUAAAUUAAUUAUGUACUUAUAAAAUACAGAAUGUGAUGUAACUAUUUAUUUAUGCAGAACGUACGAUGCAACUACGACAGAAUCGUACUAUAAUUGGUAUCGCAUGAGCACGCGUACUAGACUGACGAGUGAACCACCUACGAUGCCAACACAUCCAACGCAUAUGGAACAGUUGCAGAGACGGAUAGACACAUCAUCAGCUUACUAUCGUGACUCCGUGGUAAUCAUCAACAUCUUGCUAUUCAGGUCCAUCAUUUCAUGAACAAUUCAACCAACAAACAACGAUUUUUUUUCAGAUUGAUAUUUGCAUCCAAGUAGAAGCGAUGGCGAGGGAAGGAAUGCGAGCCCAGGGAAUUGAUCCUAAAGGCAGGUCCUUCUUUAAAAGAAUUAGCGAAUUCGUCAGCACAAGGUUUAUGAGAUGCGGUACAGAGAACGACGUUGUCACUGGAGCGUACAACAUUCCGGAACCGAGGUCAGCUAGACCGAGUGCGGCGUCGUCGUCGUCCAUGCGGUGGGGAGAGGGUCCUAAUACUACGCCGACACUUCCACGACAUGACUCGUCUCUACUAAUACAUGGGCAGACAUCACAGGUAAAUGCUCCAGAUUUAGGUUCGACGCCCGACAUGAUAAAUGAUUUUUUCGGGCAGGACGUUAUUGGUCCAUCUUAUAUCAAUUCUGAGUCACAGUCAUUCACCUACAAUUUAGAAUCAUCAUCUCAAUAUGGAUUUCAGACUCCACCACCUAUGCAUGAGUCGCAGACACAGGAACACGAGGGACAAUACGGCCGUGGUCUUCGUGAACACAGACCCCCUGAACGAUUGUCACCCUCCGGUCGUCAGGCAAGGUCAGCUGGUCGUCGUCGCAUAGGGUGAUUCGUCUAUCUAUGUGUGCGAACUAUUGUAUCUCUUUAUGUCAGUUUCAAACUUUCAGAUGUACGUACAAGACAUCUAUGUAGUUUGAUGAAAUAAAAGUUCUCGAUAUAUUUCGACGCAGUUUUUCAAUUUAAAGUUGCUUCCAUAAAAUAAGAUACAUAAAAUAAGAUUCAUAAAAUAACAUACAUAGAAUAAGAUACAUAAAAUAAGGUUCAUAAAAAAAACUACAUAAAGUCGCCGUCAUCCUUCGACGAUGCAGAGCUCUCGCCCUUUGACGAAGCGCUACUCUUGGCCUUCGUCGAUGAUGCGCUCUUGGCCUUGGUACUCGGCAUGAAGAUAUCAUCUUCGUCCUCACUAUCGUCAAUCCAUAAAAAGGGAUGUUUUACUCCACCUCCAUCGCGUAUGUGUUGGCCUUUCUUCUUCCAUCUUUCAUUCAACCGCAGAUGUUCUUUCCGAAUCUCCUCAUAUGUCCUUGCAGGCCACCCCUUCCUAGCUAAUGCGUGGGCAACCUCAUUCAGUAGCGUGUCACUACUGAUGAGUUCGUCCCAUGAAACUAUUCUAUUAUCUAUCUUGAAAUUUCUAGCUAAGCGCAGAAGACACUCGGACAUACCACUGUGGAAACUACGAUCGAAAGGAUAAUGAGACAUUUUCAGGACACUCCUUACCCACCUUGGUCUGGAGGGGUUUUAUAGGUGCAGCAAAGCGAGACGAAUAACUAAUGGCGGGAAAACGAGGAGGGAAAGCGAGGGCGGGAAAGCGAGGCGGGAACAAAAUGGCGGCAAAGCUAUACGCGGGAAAAAAAUGGCGGGAAAGCGAGGCGGGAAAUAAAUGGCGGGAUAAAAUGAACAUACACAGCUGAAAUUAAGAUACCCAUUGCGGAAAUGAAGAUACAACUUGCCGAAAUUAAGAUAGACAUUGCUGAAAAUAAGAUACAAUUUGCCGAAAUUAAGAUACAACUUGCAGAAAUUAAGAUACAACUAACACAAAAUAACAUACAUAAAUCUACUGAGUCCAACGUGGAUAUUUUCCUUUUCCAUCACCAGCUUCUUCUGAGCCCUUUCUCUCUUUCUCUCCCUCUCAGCUUCAUGGGCCUGUUCUCGCUGUCUGUAAACCUCCUCCAGCCGAAGUUUCUCUUCUUGAUUUUUCCUUUUCAUCUCAUCAAUAAAAGCCCUCUGCUCCACACAGUAAUCUUCUCACUCUUUCUUCUGCUCUGCUUUCUCCUCUGCUUCAGCCUUCUCGCGACGCUCUUCGAAGUCCAAGCUAGCCCAUGCACGGCGACCUCUUUCACGAAUCUCGGUCACCGCCCAGUCCGGCAUUUCCUUGUCAAUCCAGCGAUAGUACAUGCAGAGAGGAGGAGGAGACUAAAGGAUGGAUCAGAUUCAAGUAAACAAUAAUAUCAAGUAAACAAUAAUCUGGAUGACUUGAGCAUACCGGAGGCCUGGCGUACGCAGAAAUAGAUUCGGGUGGAUCAGAUUCAUAAUUGGCGCACAUGGAAAACUUCAUGCCCAACCAAUCUGAAAAAUCUGUCACCUCCUUCACCUUGCAGACAUCUCUGCACCAACAUCGAACUGCUUCCACCCCCCGAGGCAAGCUUGCACUCUGCAUUUUCCUAGGCCUAAUGCUCUGAUCCGAACAAGGCAAACUCAUACUGACUAUGGAGGUGCAGGUGCUUUGAAGUCUGGCUGAUGGUGAAGAGAGUUUCACUCCCUGCCUCCUUUUAUAGGCUCUGCCGGAUGUCUACGCGGGAAAAAAACGGCGCGAAAACCAGAAACUUCAGCGGGAAACUUAGGUGGGAAAUUAACGCAGGAAACUUAGGCGGGAAAAAAUUGCACUGCUCGUCCGUCGUUAUCGCGUGCAUGUGGCGGAAACAAAUACAGCAGGCAGCCUUAGUUAGUGCAAUCAGCUUUUAGGCCCUGAUUGGAAUGUCGUUCUAUUUUUACAUGUGCAAUAUUUUACAAAGGUGUCUAUUAUUUUUACAAAUGUACUCCAUCCGUUCAUAAAUAUAAGUCUUUUUAGAUAUUUUACUAGAUGACUACAUACAAAGCAAAAUGAUAGAAUCUACAUUCUAAAAUGAGUCCAUAUACAUCCAUAUGUAGUCUUCUAGUAGAAACUCUUAAAAGACUUAUAUUUAGGAAGGGAGGGAGUAUUUGGUAAAUAAAAUACUCAUUUUGCUCUAGUAGAAACUAUUAAAAGACUUAAAUACUCUUAAAAGACUUAUAUUUAGAUAUUGUACUAUAAACUAUAUACGGAUUGACAUAUACAUACUUUAGAGUAUAGAUUCACUCAUUUUGCUCCGUGAAAGGUCUUAUAUUUUGGAACGGAGGGACUACAUCCAAAGCAGGGCCUAAUACUGCAUGCUUGUGGCGGGAAUGCGCUGACUCCGAGGCCCAUUCACGCAGGAACCGGGAUUCUCGGCCGGCCGCCUGGGGCCGAGGCGGCAGGGCCCACCUCUCUGUCGCCGUAACGUUGCAGCGGGGCGGGAACGGGAUCUGGCGUCGGCCGCCUGGCCUCGUGGCGGCAGCCCUGCCGGCCGCCUGCGCCCGUGGCGGCAGGCCCCAGCCGCCUCAGCCGGUGGCGGCAGGUGGCACGUGUCGCCAGGGAGGGGUGGGGUCUUUUUCGUCGAUUUCAGCCAUAGGUGGUCCUUUUGGACAAAUGCACCCGGCAAGUGGUCCUUUUGGAUAAAAAUUUGUGUGGGCUCUACUGGACCGAGGUUUCCUACGAUGCUUGAUUUUGGUCUCUCGUGGGCCUUUUUGCUUCCUGAGUUUGUUUUUGUGCAGAAAGCUGGUAGGUUUUUUUAGACUUUUUUUUGAAAGGUUUUAGACUGGUUAUUAAAUGCACGUGUGUUGCUACGGACGACAAUGCAAGUACAUAAAUCAUGAUGAUUAGGGCAUCUCCAACAGUUUGUUGGUUAGCUUGUUGGUAAAAUAUGCCAUGUCAUCAGCCAACACCUUAACAUACAACUACUCCAAUGAAUUGUAUCUAGUUUGCCCAAUAAGAUGUGAGGUAAUAAAUAAGGUGCUCUCUCAUUCUACAUUGGAGCUUGUGCAAGGGUGUUGGUUAAUUUACAUACAACCUUGUUCUCUUUCCUCAUUUAUUGCAAUGACACAUCAUCAAAAAUCCUAUGUGUCAAAAUUACCAACAACUAUCUUACAGCCAUUGAAGAUGCCCUUAAGUUACAUAGUUGAUACCAUGAUUGCAUCUAAAGACACGGGGAACCUUGACCGCUGUUGGGGGGCCCUACCACCACCCUUGCUUCGUCGUUGCCGGCAGGGCAGGUCAGGGAACCGCGCCAUGCCCGGGGAUGGCGGCGGCAGGGCGGUUUUUCGUCUCCCUGGUACCGGAGGCCCCUUUCCCGUCACCCCAGAUCCGAGCUGGCGCACAGCAGACUUCUCUUCCUCCAACAGUUGGCCUCUCCCCUACCAGUUUGGCGCGGUGGCACGGUCAUGCCCUUGGGUGCUCCUCCCCGCCCACCCUUGCAUCCCCCGUCGAGGCAGCCUUUCUUCGCGUUGUUGUUCAUGGGGGCAUGCACUAGGCCUUUGGGUGGAGGUGUCCAGGUUGGCCGGGCUUUGCCCUGCCCCGUGCAGGCCACUCUCUAUCUCCGACGGCGUCUCCUCUGAGUUGUGGUGCCGACAUUUGUGGGUGUGAAGUCACAGUUGUCUUUCUUGGCAGCGGUUGAAGCUUCAUGGUGGAUCCUUGUUGACUCUGCCCUGAUGCCGGUAGCCAUGGUCCUACGUUCUCUGGUGUCCAUCGCAUGUCGGCGUCCUCUGCCGACGCGGUUUCAACUCCUACGCUCAGGUUGAUGCGCCCCUUUCUGCAUUUUCCGCUCGCCGGUGUUCUCGUGACUCGGAGUUGCGCUCCCCUUCUGGUCCCUGACUUGCCAGCUGCGCCGGUCAUCACCCCCACCCAUCUAUGCCGACUUUCUACCCUGUUGCUUCCCUGCCCCCUACACGCCAUGUCGGCUCCAAAGCUCGUGUUUUUUCGAUGAUAGGUGCAACCCCACUUCCCCCCUUUUGAGGUGGCGAUCGACCGGCGGGCGGACUUCCUCAUCUUUGGAUCCUUAUUUGGUGGCUAUGAGAUUGCACGGACACAGGCCUGGUAAAAUCCAUGCUUAGCUUGCCGCGACACUCGUAGGUGUUGUUUCCUUUUUGGAGGCGCUGCCAUGGGCUCUCAUCGUGCUCCUUUUCAAGCUUCAUGGCAAACCCUAGGUCCGGUUCUUCGAAUCAAACGGCAGCAAGGUCACAACCUUAUUUCCCUUCUCAGAGGCGCUAUUUUGCUCGCUUACGACGUCCCAGUGUCAGCUCUAAAGAUGUUCGACGUUGUGCUCAUUUGGUCUACCUCUCUGGUUCUAGGCUUUGUGGGUUUUUAGAGAUUACACUAAAAACUACGUACAGAUAUAUAUAGACAUACUUUAAAGUGUAGAUUCACUCAUUUUGCUUCGUUUGUAUUUCAUAAUGGAACCUCAAAAAAGACUUAUGGACACAACACGGUUUUUGCAUCUUGCAAGUGCACGUAUUUACUAGUCCAGAAAAUCAUUUCCAUGUUAUUUAUUGUAAUAACUAGCAGGGUGGCCGAAUACACAACAUGGUAAAACUUUAGAGAUGAGAACAACAAUGCAUGUGGCAGAGAUGGUAUAUAUCCAAACGGCAGCAAUUUCACUCGCUUAUAGUUCUACCAUUUUCCUGCAUUGAUCAGCACAAUUCUAAUUACCCAUCACAAGUUGAGAGCAAAACACCGUUGGCAAUGCUAAAAACUUUGCCACCACCGUGGUUAAUCAGAAAUUUAAAGGGGACGGAGAAGAUUACAGUUGUAGAACACAUGGUUAAUCGGACAUAACUGGUGCAGAGCUCCCAGCUCAAGUAAUAAUCCAAGAUGAAGAUGGCAACCAGCGCCAGCAGCUUAUGAGCAGUUCGCAACCUCGGUUUCAGUUUGAAGUUGGCCACUCAAAGAUGUAAACAACAGCAGGUAUCCUGAAAAUUAUUCCGGGGUUAGGAACUAAAAAGGAUCAACAGCCGCCAUUGUCCAAACAAUUUCAGGAUAAUGAAUCUUAAACAUUACAUGUAAACAGUACGGACAUCGGCGUCCUGAAAAUUUCAGCCAGUUGGAAUUGAACAUCAGAAACCAUGCAAAUAGGAUGGAAUCUAAACAGGAAUCAAGUCACAGAACCAACAAAAUUAUCGCCAUUAAUAACUUAUUGGGAAUGUGUCGUAGUUUUUGUGUAAAAGUUGGACCAAAUUAAGAAAUAUGGAUGGUAUGCAAGGGAUCACCGAACCUCGCUGCCAUUUGAGUAAGCCGGGGCCUAGCUUUAAAUAUCGACACCACCGGUUAAAAUUCAAAUGAAAAGUAAGAUCGUGGGACUCACUAACUCAUGUGUGUUUAAGUUAAGCCACUCCCCAAUUUUGUGCCCAAGGCUAUCUAUCUCCAGGUCUACUACAUCUAAGUAAGAUCGUGCAAAUAGUUUAAAAAAAAGUAAGAUCGUGCAAAUAGAAAAACUAUGAUCUUCAAAUCUGCUGUGAACAUUACCUACACAGUGACUUCACUGUGGCAGGAAUUAAAACAGUAUUUUCAUUUCUAUAAGUACGUACUCCAGAUUUAACAUGUAUGGAAACAACAGAAAGCACCACGGGCAAAAAAAGCAACACCAUGGAAAUCUGUUACAAGAUCACAAACAGCGGUAAUCUGACAACCAAAGCAGACUAACAAAUAAUCCAUAAACACGACGGCAAGCAGAAAACAUCACCACAUAAAAGAGAGGCAAAAACCAGGACACUAAUUUUUUCACAUUGUUCCAGUAGUUUACAAACCAUUGGAUCGAAUUCCCUGCGGUUCUGCAGCUAUGAACAGCUAACUGUAAGGCGUGAAUUCAACUAAUGACAUGAAGCAAUGGUAGGAAGAGAAGUAAGCGCAGAUUUCAGCAACAAAAUCAGCCAAUGACCGGAAGAAGCAUAUCUAAAUCACAUUAAAUUAGAUGGAUUUCUUACUAACAAAAGGAUAUCUACCAGAUAAAUUGAGUAAUUCUCAAAAAGAAAAAAAAGAAAAGAGCAGAGUUUAUGCCAUAUGCUCUCAUAUGGAAGGAGUUUGAUCUCACUGAGCACCAUCUUGACACGAUUUUGCGAAUUAGCUGAAUUUUGUGGCCUUGCAAUUCUGAAAUCUACAGUUUCACAUUGGCUGGUUUUGCUGCCAAAACAUAUGUAUGUGGUUUUGUGAAUGGAUAUGAUUUCACAUAUGCAGACACUGAAUAGUAGACAGAUAAGAACAAAGAACUUUUUCCUUGGCCAAGCUGUAGCUUGCAGUGGCCAAUUCUCAUGUUCUUUUGUUCGGAACCUUCCCUCAACAAAUAUAAAUCCAUCCUUCAUUGGAUUUGCUUGUUAUUUAUGGGACCUCCAUUGGUUAAGUUCCAAUGACUACUGACAGAUGUAUAUGACAAGGCCAAUUCAUUUGUAGAUCCUGCUUUAGGCCUCGUUUGGUUAAGGGGGAUUGGGGAGGUUUUGAGAGGGAGGGAUUUCAGGGGAUUGGGUGAAUCCCUUUGUUCCACCCAAUCCUCUCAAAUCCCCGGGGCUUUGCUUCCACUAGUCCCUCGAGGAGGGUUUUGAAACACAUGGAUAGGAAGGGAUUGAAGGGGAACGGAGGGGAUUGGGCUAAUCAAACCCCUCCUACCAAAUGGGCGCCCGAGGAUCUGUGGGGUUUCUGGCCCUCCCGGGGAUUUUCCUCUCAAACCCUUCCCAAUCCCCCUUAACCAAACGAGGCCUUAGUGUCCCAGAUAGGUUAUCUUUUCCAACUUGAACGUUCAGAGCUAGAGUAAGGUCAACUAUGUCAUUUAGAAACAGAGACAAUAGAUCCUUAGGAAAAAUGGUAAAGAAAUCAAAAGAAGAAAAAAGACACGCAUUAGAAAUUUAUUUCUAAGUAACAUAAGAGUAUGAUGGAACCUAAAACAUAAUGAAAUGAAAAUAGAACAUGCAUGAUAAAUAACUUUUGGCAUGAAAGCAGAGCACUGAUACAUUUGGGUGGAAAACGGCACAGCAUUAUUCUUUGUUUUUGUGGUUAUAAUGAUCUUCCACAGAAGUCAUAAACGCAAACAUAUACCUGGACUUAUCAUUUUUAGCGAUUUUCUCUAAGGAAUCAAGAAUAGAAUUAUCAGUUCCAUAGGAGUUAGCAUUCAACAAUCAACAUCUAGUUUGGCGAAGAACACUAAAACAGGAACUACCAGCUUACUACACAGAGUGGAAACUUUGUUGCCCCGUAUGCAGUAACCAAUAAUUUCCUUAGCCCGCUUUUGGUUCAAGCAAAUCUGAAACUAGUUGGCAUUUCCCCUCUGCAAGCAGCCGCAUAAAUUUUGCCAUGAAAGCAGAUCAUACUGAUACAUUUAGGUGGACAAUGACACAGCAAUAUUCUUUUGUUUUCUGGUUUUCAUGAUCUUCCAUAGAAUUCAGAAGCACAAAUUACCCAUGGACUUCUCAUUUUCAGUGAUCUUCUCUAAGGAAUGACAACAUCAACAUAUCAGCAUUCAGGAAUAAAAUUAUGAGUUUCAUAGGAGUUAGCAUUCAGCAAUGACCAAACCAGCGGCAAGUAACAUGCAUACUACAGGAAAAUAACCAGCAUCUAGUUUGGCAUAGAACAACAAAACGAACUACCAACCUGGCCCUUAGCCCUUUUCUGGUUCAAGUAAAUCUGAAAUUACUUGGCAUUUCCCCUCUGCAAGCUGCCGCAUAGUCUUCAGCAAGGUUUGGAGCAGCUUCCUGGUGAGGGCAUAUGCACUUCUUCAUGAAAUACUUCUCGGACCUCGUGACUGCAGUAUAGAAGUUCCAGUCGUGAUCGAGCAAUCCAUUUUCCUUGAGGAACUUCAGAGCAUAGUACCGGGGCUUGAGCCGGCCCUCCAGGCUAUAAUAGAGCAUUACCGGGCGAUGAGCAAUGUACCCCGGUUCCAAGCCCACCUCAGAGACCAGGAACUCGAACCUGUGCCACAGGGUGUCCUUUGACCUCUUGAGCAGCAUUGGAGCCAUAGACAAAGCAGCGACCACCUCGGCAUCCGACCAACUGAACGCCUUCUUCAGGUGGUCCACUUUGGCGGCGAUCUUCUCCUCGCUGAGGAAUGCGACGGCCUGCAGCGCGACCCUGAACAUGCCGGAGCCACGGCGCACGCCCAGACGUUCAGCGCACGCCACCAUUGCCCGGACGCGUUCCGGCUUGUAGCCGAGCAACCUCGGCUCGCAGACACACAGCUUGGCGAUAUCGCAAUCAGCUAGCCCGCACUCCCGCAGGAAGACGACAUUGGGAUUGAUCACCUUGUCCAGGUCCGACGAGAGAAGGUAGGAUGAGCGCCGGAGCGCGCGGAGGAUGCUGUCCAGGGAGCCGAAGAGGGGCAGGUAGUAGUGCAUCUUGGAGACGACGGAUGUGUAGCGGAAGCGGCUGCCGGCGAGCGAGACGAAGCGGGCGAUGUCGGGACGCGACAGGCCGAGGCCGGUGAGCCCGGCGACGACGGGGGCCAGGGUUUUAUCCACUUUGGCGCAGAGGAAAAGCGGGUCUUUGGCGACGACGGCGGCGGCAUCGGCGCCGGAGAGGCCGAGGCCGGAGAGGAAGGCGAGGACGGCGUCGGGCUUGGCGGGGGACUUGAGGUGGGAGAGCUUCUUGGAGGCCUUGAGGGCUUGGGGGCGGGUGAGGCCGCAGGUGUCGACGAGGUACUCCUCCACGGCGAAGCUGCUGGGGUUUGGGGAAACGGGGGCGGCGGCUGCCGCUGCGGAGAGGAGCCGGUGGAGAGGUGAGAUGGCCGGGGCAGAGGUGGAGGAGGAAGAGAGGAGAUGGGAAACGAUGCGCUCUCGGAGGCGGAGCAUCGCGCAGGCGGCGGGCGGCGGCGGCGGCGGUGGCGGUGUCGGGAAGGGGAAGAAGGAAAGAAAUGGGGGCCGGUGAGAAUGGGCUGCCAAUUUUCGGUUCUUGUCGUUGGGUUCAGCAAUCAGCACUGGGCUCUAAUUGGACCCAAUUUUUCAUACCAUGGGCUUACCUCUUCGAUUUUUCCUUUUAAAAUCGCUCUUGUACGUGUAGUUUUUUUUUACCUUCGUUGGAGGUGGCAUAUUUGCAAACAAGCAUCCAUGGAGUGGAGCCAUGGCGAGCACCACCAUGGCAACUGAGAAAUCGGGAGGUGUUGACGGCGAUGCAAUUCGGCGCUCGUCGACGACCGUCGGUGCUGCAACGCAACAAUGCGUCCAGGGCCGCCGGGCUCCGGCGCAACAACUCAACCAUGUCCGUCCUGUUGCGAUGCAACCUCGUCGGCGCUAUUGGUGCUGCAAGUCACCGACGACGAAGCACCAAUGGAGCGCUCAUCAGACGAGUUGUUGCAUUCGUCAAGCGACAGAGGAGAGGCACCAUCUCAGCGAAUGAGGGGAUGUCAGGCGGCCAUCGCCUGAUUCAUCCUCACAACGUCGGGGUUGUAGUAGAGCGCCAAGCGAGGUUGUUGAAGCUCCACCAUUGCUGCAUUGACGUGCCAACGGAGCUGCAUCGCAGCUUCCGACGUCAUCAGAGCUGCAAUGUAGCAUGUCCGGGGCCAUUAGAACUCCACCACUGUUUGCAACGGAGCUUCGCCAAAGUUGCAAUGGAGCACGACCGGGGAUGCAAUGGAACUUCGACGGGGCGUCGACGGUGUUGCGCGCGUCCGAGCUUUUUUCGCAUCGUGGUGCUGCCAUGGAGCUUUAGUGAAGCUUCCUCGGUUUGUGUCGUCGGCAUUGCAAAGUUUUUUUUCAUCGACGUGCUGCUUCGUUGGAGCUCUCAAGUGGCUGGGGUGCUCGCGCCACGGUGGGUGCAUCCUUGCUUCGUUGCACCAUCAAUGCGCUCGCUGUAGAGGAUGCGCGGUGUGGAUUGGCGACGAGCUGCUGCAUGUGAUAUUGAACCAAUCUAACAGUUAUGCAUUGGUCAAUCUGACGGCCAGCAAGGUGGCUGAAGAAUUUUUUUUAUCACCCGAUUGAUUCGUAGCACUGGCGGAAAUUUAGAUCCAGUCGCCUCCGACUGCCAUCUUCCCCAGGGCCGGGCCGGGCCGGCGAAAUUCGAGGUCCGGUGCGAAACUUUAAAAGGGUCCCUACCUCACUAAAAAAAUAUAUAACUAUAAUUUAAUGUAGAGAUCAUAAUAUCUUACGGAGUAAUGAAAAAAAUAUCCAGAAUCAUACUUGUUCUUGGUUGUAAGUCUUCACUUAAAUAACAUCAUUCUUUUAGUGUUCCUUGAAAUAAAAUCUUCAAUAAUAUCCUCAUAAUCAAUCUUCUCCAAUACUUCACUCUCAAGUGCUAUUAUGGUCAAAUCAGUAAGUCUUUGUUGUGUCAUGAUAGUACGCAUAUAAGAUUUCAAUAGCUCCAAUUUUUAAAAGCUUCGUUUGGCUGAUGCAACAAUCACUGGAAUGGUCAAAAGAACUCUAUAUGCAAUACUUGCAUUGGGAAAACAAUCGUGCCGCUUCAAGAACUUUAAAAUUUCAACGGGGCCAAUAUUUUCUUUUGGGAUGAAAUUUUGAAGAAACAUCAGCUCCACAUACAGUUCAUUGGCUUCAAUGUUGGAUUUGCUUAGAAUCCAGAGGAUCCCGAUUUCUUGGAUCAAAUAUAUCAAUAUGAAAAGAAUCACCAACAUUUGCGGUAGGUGUAGUAUUCAAGUUGCCAUCAACAUUAAUAUCCUCAAUAUUAUCACGGUUUUCUUCACAUUCGACAUUAUUUUCUGUCUCAUGAUCAUUUUCGACAUUAUUAUCACGUGCGGGCUCAUGAUCAAGUGAUUGGUUAUCGGAGGACACUCAUGGCUUUUUUUACAACAAACUUGUCCAUAUUUCCAUACUGAGACCGAGUUAAUUCCUUGUCUUUUUGUCUCUUCAAACGCUUUUGAUAACCAAAUUCAUGUUUUCUAAGCAAUGCUAGACGCCCAAUUGAUGAAAAUAAGUUCCAUCCAAACAUGAGCAGUGGUUUUGAAUAUCUCAACGUGAGAAGUAAAAAUAGUUUGUGAUUUGAACAUACAGUUGAAAAAAUUGAAAAAUAAAAACAAAGAGAUCAAAUUUGAAAAAACUACCAGACACAUUAGGGCUCAUCACCAAGUUUGUUCUAAACUCAUAAAAUCAGAUAGAGUCCAUAAAAGACCAUAAUUUGCAUCGUAAUAAACGAGCCCAGUAGAGUAGAGUCCACACACCGCAGCACAGAACACAGAUCCCAGGCGAGUACUUGCAAAUCCCGUCGGAAAUAUCUUGCUCGCCGCCGGCCGCCGCUGCCAUGCUCCGUCUCCGGCGGCGCAUCGUGUCCCAUAUCCUCUCCUCCUCCUCCACCUCCACCUCCGCCAUCUCCCCUCUCCACCGGCUCCUCUCCGCAUCCACAGCCCCCGUUUCCCCAAAUCCCAGUAGCUUCGCCGUGGAGGAGUACCUCGUCGACGUCUGCGGCCUCACCCGGCCCCAGGCGCUCAAGGCCUCCAAGAAGCUCUCCCACCUCAAGUCCCCCGCCAACCCCGACGCCGUACUCGCCUUCCUCUCCGGCCUCGGCCUCUCCAGCGACGACGCCGCCGCCGUCGUCGCCAAAGACCCGCUCUUCCUCUGCGCCGGCGUGGAGAGAACCCUGGUCCCCGUCGUCGACGGGCUCACGGGCCUCGGUCUGUCUAGUACUGACAUCGCCCGCCUCGUCUCGUUCGCCGGCAACAGGUUCCGUUACAGAUCCGUCGUCUCCAGGAUGCACUACUACCUGCCCCUCUUCGGCUCCCUGGACAAUUUCCUCCGCGCGCUCCGGUGCUCAUCCUACAUCCUCUCGCCGGACCUGGACAAGGUGAUCAAACCCAAUGUGGUGUUCCUGCGGGAGUGCGGGCUAGCUGAUUGCGAUAUCGCCAAGCUGUGCUACCGUGCCCGGAAUAUCCUGACCGCCAACCCGGAGAACGUCCGGGCGAUGGCGGCAUGUGCCGAAAGAUUAGGGAUUCCCAGGGGCUCUGGUAUGUUCAGGGAAGCGCUGCACGCUGUCACAUUUGUCAGCGAGGAGAGGAUUGCUGACCAAGUGGAUUAUUUGAAGAAGACGAUCAAAUGGUCUGAUACUGAGGUGGCCAUUGCUCUGUCUAGGGCUCCAAUGUUGCUGAAGAAGUCUAAAGACAUGCUUAGGCACAGGUCCGACUUCUUGAUCUCUGAGGUGGGCUUGGAACCCUGGUACAUUGCUCAUCGGCCGGUGAUCCUCUAUUAUAGCCUGGAGGGCCGGCUCAGACCUCGAUACUAUGUUUUGAAGUUUCUCAAGGAAGCUGGAUUGGUCGAUUGCAACAUGAGCUUCUAUACUGUGGUCACGAGGACCGACAAGUAUUUCGUGGACAAGUUCAUAUGCCCUCACAAGGAAGCUGCGCCACACCUUGCUCAAGACUAUGCAGCCGCUUGCAAAGGGGAGGUGCCAAGUAAUUUUAGAUUUACUUGAACCAAAAGUGAGCCAAGGAAAUUUGUUAUUAUGUAGUAUCACGCAACAAAGUUUUCACUCUGCAUUAGUAAGCUGGUAGUUCCUGUUCUGGUGUUCUUUGCCAAACUAGAUUUUUAGUUAUUUUCUGUAGUAUGCGUGUUACAUGCCGGUUUNNNNNNNNNNNNNNNNNNNNNNNNNNNNNNNNNNNNNNNNNNNNNNNNNNNNNNNNNNNNNNNNNNNNNNNNNNNNNNNNNNNNNNNNNNNNNNNNNNNNNNNNNNNNNNNNNNNNNNNNNNNNNNNNNNNNNNNNNNNNNNNNNNNNNNNAAAUGCUAACUCGUAUUCUAUUCCUGGACCCUGAUAUGUUGAUGUUGUCAUUCCUUAGAGAAAAUCUUUGUGUCUUCCUGAUAAUUUUAUUCCUGAACCCUAAAGUCUAAUUAUAUUUUCCUAAAUCAUGGUUGAGCGAAAUAUGUGUUGCCAGUUACAUUCUGUCAUGUGUUCAGAUUUUAAAAAUGAUCUGGGAAGUGGACUUUGCCGGCAUUCCUCCUUCAGAUACGUGGACAUGAGCCAAUGCAGCCUGCCAAGAUGGUGCUCAGUGAGAUCAAACUCCUUACACAUAAGAGCAUGUGGCAUAAACUCUGCUUGCUCUUUUUUUUUUUCUUUUUUUUUUUUAGAAUUACUCCUCAAUUUAUCUGGUACAUAUCCUUUUCUUAGUAAGAAAUCCAUCUGUUUUAAUCUGAUUAAGAUAUGCUUCUUCUGGUCAUUGGUUGAUUUCAUUACUGAAAUCUUCACUUGCUUCUCGUUGUAUCAUUGCUUCAUGUCAUUAGUUUAAUUCAUGCCUUACACUUAGUUGUCCAUAGCUGCAGAACUGUAGGGAAAAUAUCAUGUGGANNNNNNNNNNNNNNNNNNNNNNNNNNNNNNNNNNNNNNNNNNNNNNNNNNNNNNNNNNNNNNNNNNNNNNNNNNNNNNNNNNNNNNNNNNNNNNNNNNNNNNNNNNNNNNNNNNNNNNNNNNNNNNNNNNNNNNNNNNNNNNNNNNNNNUAGUGUCCUGGUUAUAUUUUACCUCUCUUUAAUGUGGUCCUCGUUUUCUAGUUUACGGAUUCUUUGUUAGUGCUCCUUUGCAUUGCAAUCAUGUGCGUUUGUUGUCAGAUUGGCGCUGUCUGUGAUCUUGUAACACAGUAUAUACUUAUACAAUUGAAAAUACUGUUUUUAUUGCUGCCACAGCAAAAUUGCUGUAUUGUUAAUGGUCGCAGCAGAUUUGGAGAGCAUAGUUUUUUUUAUUUGCAAGAUCUUACUUAGCUGACCUGGAGACAUUGGGCACGAACUCGCAUAUCGCCUUAAGUUAAAUACACAUGAUUUAGUAAGUUUCACAAUCUUACUUUUCAUCCGAAUUUUAGUCGGUGGUGUUGAUAUUCGAAACUAGGGUCCAACUUACUCAAAUGGUACUGAGGUUUGGUAGCCUCCUUUCUGAAGAAAAGAAGUUGUUAAUGGGACCUUCGCUGGCAAUCAAUCCCGAAACACAGUCGGGAGCAUGCCCAAUCCAAGUCAGGUCAGCACCUCCGGUCCUAAACCCAUACGCAGCCAGUUCAUGAGUUACAUUAUUACUGUUAAGCUUCAUGCACUGGCCAACACAAUCAAAAGUACGAACUGAUGAAAAGGCUAGUGCAAUCCAUAUAUACUGUAACAUCCCCUCUCACGUGUGACGGGAAAGACAAGUGACUCAACUGGCUUCUACGUGGACACAAAGGGAGGCUACCAACAAUUUUUUAAAUUGCAAAAGCCAGGACUUGAACUCAAGACCUUAGCUCUGAUACCAUGUUAAGCUUCAUGCACUAGCCAACGUAAUCAAAAGUCCGAACUGAUGGAAAGGGCUAGUGCAAUCCACAUAUACUGUAACAAUUACAUCCACGAUGGCAGAAACUAAACUUGAAAGACUCAAAGUUUGCAUAACAUAGUUGAUUGGAGACAUGGGAGGGUUUCUCCUCCCGCCCCCGUGGUCGCAGAAAUUUAGGGAAACUCUCUAAUUCAUCUGACUCAUUUUUUGUCUCGUAAACCUCUCUUUCCACGUGCCCCGUGUGAAGGUGCCGCACACCACUUUCCCACCCUUAUCUCUAGUGAAGCAACCUCCUCCACAUAUCUCUUUCUUCCCCUGCCAUCUCAUUGAAGGAGCCAUGGCGAGACAACCACUUUAGCUGGCAAAUUGAAAAGGGUUGCCGCCGUAGUCGACGCUAGCGUCCACUGCUCCUCUGCUGCAUCAUCGGAGGUGGCAUAGUUGCAAACAAGCAUCCAUGGAGUGGAGCCAUGGCGACCACCACCAUGGCAGCUGGGAAAUCGGGAGGUGUUGCCGGCGAUGCAAUAUGGCGCUCGUCGACGACCGUCGGUGCAACAACGCAACAAUGCGUCCAGGGCCGUCGGGCUCCGAUGCAACAACUCAACCAUGUUCGUCCUGUUGCGAUGCAACCUCGUCGGCGCUACUGGUGCUGCAAGUCGGCGGCGGCGAAGUGGCAAUGGAGCGCUCAUUAGAUGAGUUGUUGCAUUCGUCAAGCGACAGAGGAAAGGUACCAUCGCAGCGAUUGAGGGGACAUCAGCUGACCGUUGCCUGAUUCAUCCUCACAACGUCGGGGUUGUAGUAGAGUGCCAAGCGAGGUUGUUGAAGCUCUGCCAUUGCUGCACUGAAGCACCACCGGAGCUGCAUUGCAGCUUAUGACGUCGUGAGAGCUGCAAUGGAGCAUGUUUGUGGCCAUUAGAGCUCCACCACGGCUGCAAUGGAGCUUCACCGAAGCUGCAAUGGAGCACGACUGGGGCUGCAAUGGAACUUUGACGGGCAUCGGCGGUGUUGGGCGUGUCUGAGCCAUUUUCGCGCCGUGGUGCUGCCAUGGAGCUUUAGUGAAGCUUCCUCGGUUGUGUCGUCAGCAUUGCAAAGCUUUUUUUCAUCGGCGGUGCUGCGUUGGAGCUCUCUAGUGGCUCAGGUCGGCGGCAGUCAUGCCAUGGUGGUUGCUUCGUUGCACCAUCAAAACGCUCGCUGCCGAGGAGGUGCAGUGUGGAUUGGCGGCGAGGUGCUGCAUGCGAUAUUGAACCAAUCUAACAGCUAUGCAUUGGGCAAUUUGACGGCCAACAAGGUGGCUUAAGAAUUUUUGUUAUCACCCGGUUGAUUCGUAGCACUGGCUGAAAUUUAGAUCUUAUCGCCUCCGGCUGCCAUCUUGGCGCUCAGAGGUGGGGGGCCUCGGAUCUUUAAGACCUCUAUAUUCCUCAUCGAUGUCUAGUGAUCAUCAUAAUUUUGUAAGAAUAAUUUUUCUCUUGUUUUUUUAUGGUAUCAUGAAAUUAGAGAGUUUUCUGUCCUCGCAGAUCCGAUGAGUUUAUGUUGUCGUGUCAAGCUUUUUGUUGUCAUUCUGAUUCUUUGUGGAGGUGAAAUCUUCCAUCGACGCCAUGGUGAAGAUAUAGUGAUUCAACGGCCUGCACUUCUGGGGAUCACCCUCGGCGAAAGUAUGUUCAUCGAUCAAGGUGUCCCGUCAUAUUGGAUGGCCGAUUCAAUGCACUUUUACAAAACCAUUAGUACUAAUGUUCAUACAGUCAAGCACAGAUUCAUACCAUCUAGAAGGUGUUUACAAGAGAUUUCUUUGUAAUUCUUAGUCAUAUCGUUGUAAGAGUUACUUUGUAUUUUGUUGGACCUAUGUCCAAAUCAGUGUAUCUGUAAUUGUCAUGAGUAUGAAUAAAGGUAUAGGUGUUUCUCAAAAAAACUCUUCAAAUUUUAAUCGUCGACACCGGACUCUCCUCUAUUAAUGGUCCAAGAUCCGGCAACACUCGAGGUGAUCACUUGUAGGGAUGCGAUCAUUUGCAGAAUCCAGCAAAAAAUUAGAGGAUGGUCGAUUUUAUCGAAUCACUUUCAGGCGUUACAUACGAAUCCGUCUGCCAUAUCUACAGUUAUUAUAGUAGACAGGUUGUUUUACCAGAUCUGCUAGAGAUGCUCUUAUAUCCUUGCAAAAGACCUUCUCCCUCAGCAACUCACUGUUGCUUUUGAUUCUAAGUAGUGGAACAUAUCAAUAAAUGGCAAUCAAGAACGUUAUUGUCCCAUUUAAGUGAGAUACAACUACGAGCAACUAUUUUCAAUUGUAAAUUUACAUUUGAAGGUCGUGAUUCGAAAAAUGAAGCACAUAUUCUAGUCAAGUUUCCGCAUUCAUUAGAUUAGGACGCCAUGCGUGGCUAGGACAACUCCAUGAUUCGAGAAGUAUUCUUUAUUUUGUGGCAUUUGAUCAAUAAAACUCGGCUUUAUACCCCUACAAAUAUUAAUGAGUUUAUCUUCUCAGAUAAAAAAAAGGAGUUUCUCUCCCUUCUCUCACGCAGUGAUUUUCUCCUUCUUUGUACUUAAGUAACUCUUUUCUUUAAAACACAAUGCAGAAAGACGCUCGCAACACACACACACACACACGCAUACUCAUCCUUAUGAACACGCGGAAAGAACCGUAGCUCUAUGAGUACUUCAGAGUGACGUCCAACAAGCAUCACGGCCACAAUUGGAUGGUUGAAAGAAGUCGAUGCUUUGGUCUCCUCCACUGGAACACUCCAAGACAUCAAACACCUCUGCCUCGAUUACCAUCGUGAAUAUUAUGGAAAUUCUAGGCAACCGGAGUCAUUACCUGAUCCUUAGAAGCGUGUCGAGGUACUUGAUCUAGCAAAAUGGAAGUUCGAUAGAGUUCCCAAAUGGAUUUGUGAGCUAUGUUGCAUCUAGUUCCUCGAUCUAUGUGUCUUACAACUUUCGAGUGAUGACGUUCGUUUUCUUGGAGAGCUUCCCUUCAUGGUCGAUGCCACGUGUUGGAUGUCUCCCAAAAAAAAGUCAUGGUCAGCACGGGGUUGUUCCUAGUUUUAAAGUAUUUAAGUUUCGAGUUUCGAGGCAGGAGCUAUGGCAAGUACCAACGCCCGUCGUGAAAUUCGGCUACACGGAGUGGAGAGGCGCUACACGAGUGGGUAUGGAAUGUUUGCCCUGCCUCUAGGACAUCCGCACCGCCACACGUGUCUCAUCAACAGCAGCACCGAGUCCAGCAAACAAGAAAAGAAAAAAGUUGAUCCAACCGCCGACCCUAAAGCCUCAGUAAAUGCCUAGCUAUCCAACACUCCUUAGGGCAUGUACAAUGCAUAGCCUCAACGUGAUGUCUCGUAUGUCAUGUAGGAGAUCAGAUGUCAGGAAAAGUAGAUUCGGAUGAGCAAGCAAGAUCCUUUGUAGGAGGCACGUGCUUGAAGAGAAAAAGUAUUGUCCGGUAUAAAAAGCGGAAAAAGUUAGAAUAGAAAGUAAAGGUGCAUGUGUAUUAGUCUUUAUUUUCUAUUUUUUGAUGAGACCCACUAAUAGCAGCUUGCAUUGCAGAGAAAAAACAAUAUAUACGCCACACGUUAAUUUUUAUCAUGGAACAUAUGUAUCCAUAUGUCAUCACUAUACAUGCUUAUAUUGCCCACAAAGAAUUUGGUCCAACAUGGACAACAUUUUCUCUUUGUUUAUUCUUCUCCUUCUUUCUCUCACUCCAUCUGCACCAAUGACAUACAUGACCGGAUGGAUAGGGAAAAGGUGGAGAACAUGACUGUGAAAAUGAAAAUUUGAGAGGUGACAAAAUUAGGCGUACACGGCCGUAGAUGCUCUGUCACUUUUAUGUUUAUCAAUGGUUUACCAAAUUUGCAUCGCACUCAGCACUCUGCAUUUCAACGUGUUUAACUAUGGUGGCAAGUGGCAUUGAAUUUGCUGAAGCACUGAACGCUUUUGUUGCAUUUGCACGUACAUGGCAAUGCUCUGAGUUUGGAACUCUGUAAUGCCCCUGAGGCCAUGCUUGGAAUGGAUGUACUCACUCCAUUUCUUUAUACAAGGUCGGAAUAAAAAAUACAUUUUACAUCUAUAUAAAGCUCCUUCCAAUGUUUCAUCUUGUACGGAUGCUAAGACUGCCGUGUAAAAAAAUAUGAUGUGGCAAAUUAAUUAAUAGAAGAGAUAUGAGUGUGGUGACCCCAAAAAGUUACAAUACUAAGCGCAUAAACCUAGGCAAAAUAUUUAAAUGAAAGAAGCCCACCAAUGCAUGAAUAACCUCAGUUUCAAAAUCAUUAAAUGAAGGAUGCUUAACAACAACAAGUUAAGCAGCAAUGCAUUGGGGCUUUACCGCUUUAGUUACUAAACUUUUAAACGUGCUUAGCACCUCAUGUAAGCACCUUUGCAUUGGAAGAGGCCUAAGGCCACUAACAGUAAUUAAGAUACAAGUUAAUGAUGUCUUUUUUGUACUAGCAACUUGUUUAAUGCUUGCAUCCAUGUAAUCAUAAUGACACUUAGCUGCUUUCUUCUCAUUUUCUUCCUUGGGUGCAUGCAAUAUAUUAAUGAUUUCCGUUAAAGAAAAAAACAGCUGGCUUACAAAAUAGUCAUUAAAUUUACCUUGAUACCUAUAAUCUAAGUUUGUGAUUUUGUAUAAAGGAAUGAAUGGAGUAUUUCGAUACAUAGGUGUAUUAAAUACACCUGUAACUUAGUAGCCAUUGUGCAAAUUCCAGCCGGAAAUGAAACGACGGACACAUAUGUAUACUUUUUUUACAAGUGCAUUUAAAAGACAAACGGUGAUCCAAAUAUGGCCAGGAUAUACAUCACACCCUAAACAAAUUAACACAGAAACAACAUCACAUUUAUCACCAAAUAAUAAACUGACAUCAUGCAAAUUUAUGGAAUUUUCUGGUUGCAAGCUUUCAAAUCUGCACACUGAAGCUUCUACAAUGGGAAAGCAUAAAGUUAAAAGUAGCAACAAUUUCAUUCAUUUUCAGGGCUAUUUGACCAGAGCACCUGUAAGCCGUGUUGCCAGAGCUGCAUGCAAAUUUCUUGGCAAAAAACUCCAUCGCCAUGGUUACACGUCUCAUAUCAGAACAAAACCAUUCACAAUACUCAAAAGUCAAAACGCAUGGAAAUUUCCUGCCCAUGAGGUCUGAUGGUGACCGCUGCGGCGGAAAUUUCGAGUAAGGGAUCGGAGCAAAAAUAUUGGAUGGUUACAGCAGAACGCAUUGUUAGCCGGACAUAACUGGUGCAUAACUCCCAACUCAACCAAUCCAAAAAUUUCAGCUUGUUAGAAUUGAGCAUGAAAAACCAUGUUAUGCUCUACUAUGAAGGGAGUCUGGAAUCUAAAUGCUAAUGAACCACAGAACCAAUAAAAUUGUUGCCAUCAAUAACUUUUUUUUAGAAAGGAGGCUACCGAACCUCACUACCAUUUGAGUAAGUUGGACCUUAGUUUCAACUUUCAAAUAUCAACACCACCGACUAGAAUUUGGAUGAAAAGUAAGAUUGUGAAACUUACUAAAUCAUGUGUAUUUAAGUUAAGGCAAUAAGCAAGUUCGUGCCCAAUGUUAUCUAUCUCCAGGUCUACAGCUAGGUAAGAUCUUGCAAAUAAAAAAACUAUGCUCUUCAAAUUUGCUGUGACCAUUAACAAUACAGCAAUUUUGCUGUGGCAGCAAUAAAAACAGUAUUUUAAAUUGUAUAAGUAUAUACUCUGUUACAAGAUCACAGACAGCGGCAAUCUGACAACAAACACACAAGAUUAUAAUGCAAGGGAUCACUAACAAAGAAUCCGUAAACAAGAAAAACUGGACCACAUUAAAGAGAGGUAAAGUAUAACCAGGACACUANNNNNNNNNNNNNNNNNNNNNNNNNNNNNNNNNNNNNNNNNNNNNNNNNNNNNNNNNNNNNNNNNNNNNNNNNNNNNNNNNNNNNNNNNNNNNNNNNNNNNNNNNNNNNNNNNNNNNNNNNNNNNNNNNNNNNNNNNNNNNUCCACAUGAUAUUUUCGACAUGAAGCAUGAGUUCAACUAAUGACAUGAAGCAAUGAUACAACGAGAAACAAGUGCAGAUUUCAGUAAUGAAAUCAACCAAUGACAAGAAGAAGAAUAUUUUAAUCGAAUUAAAAUAGAUGGAUUUCUUACUAACAAAAGGUUAUCUACCAGACAGAUUGAGGAGUACUUCUCAAGAAGUUAAAAGAGCGAGCAGAGUUUUAGGGCACAUGCUCUUCUUGCUGGAAGAAGUUUGAUCUCACCGAACACCAUCUUGGCAGGCUGUGUAUCGGAAGGUGGGGUGCCAGCAAAUUCCAGUUUCCAGAUCACUCUUUAAAUCUGAACACAUGAGAGAAUGGAACUGGCAACACAUGUUUCCCUCAACAAUGACUUGGGAAAAUAUAAUUAGACUUUAUGGUUCAGGGAUAAAAUUAUCAGGAAAGCACAAAGAUUUUCUCUAAAGAAUGACAGCAUCAACAUAUCAGGGCCCAGGAAUAGAAUUAUCAGUUUCAUACGAGUUAGCAUUUNNNNNNNNNNNNNNNNNNNNNNNNNNNNNNNNNNNNNNNNNNNNNNNNNNNNNNNNNNNNNNNNNNNNNNNNNNNNNNNNNNNNNNNNNNNNNNNNNNNNNNNNNNNNNNNNNNNNNNNNNNNNNNNNNNNNNNNNNNNNNNNNNNNNNNNAAACCGGCAUGUAACAGGCAUACUACAGAAAAUAACCGACAAUCUAGUUUGGCAAAGAACACCAAACCAGGAACUACCAGCUUACUAAUGCAGAGUGAAAACUUUGUUGCGUGAUACAUACUAACCAAUUUCCUUGCCCACUUUUGGUUCAAGUAAAUCUGAAAUUAGCUGGCACCUCCCCUUUGCAAGCGGCUGCAUAGUCUUCAGCGAGGUGUGGUGCAGCUUCCUUGUGAGGGCAUAUGAACUUCUCCACGAAAUCCUUCUCGGCCUUCGUGACCACAUUAUAGAAGCUCCUGUCUCGAUCGUCCAAUCCAUUUUCCUUGAGAAACUUUAAAACAUAGUAUCGAGGCCUGAGCCGGCCCUCCAGGCUAUAAUAGAGUAUCACCGGCCGACGAGCAAUGUAGGCCGGUUCCAACCCCAGUUCAGACAUCAAGAACUCGGACCUGCGGCUAAGCAUGUCUUUAGACUUCCUCAGCAACAUUGGAGCCUUAGACACAGCAAUGGCCACCUCAGUAUCAGACCAUUUGAUUGUCUUCUUCAAAAAAUCCACUUUGUCAGCAAUCUUCUCCUCGCUGAAGAAUGCGACAGCGUGCAGCGCUUCGCUGAACAUACCAGAGCCCCUGGGAAUCCCUAAUCUUUCGGCCCAUGCCGCCAUCGGCCGGACAUGCUCGGGGUUGGUGGUCAGGAUCCUGGGCACACGGUAGCACAGCUUGGCAAUAUCGCAAUCAGCUAGCCCGCACUCCCGCAGGAACACGACAUUGGGAUUGAUCACCUUGUCCAGGUCCGACGAGAGAAGGUAGGUUGCGCGCCGGAGCGCGCGGAGGAUGUUGUCCAGGGAGCCGAAGAGGGGCAGGUGGUAGUGCAUCUUGGAGACGACGGAUCUGGAGCGGAAGCGGGCGGGGGUGAGGGAGACGAGGCGGGCGAUGUCAGGACUAGACAGACCGAGGCCCGUGAGCCCGUCGACGACGGGGACCAGGGUUCUCUCCACGCCGGUGCAGAGGAAAAGCGGGUCUUUGGCGACGACGGCGGCGGCAUCGGCGCCGGAGAGGCCGAGGCCGGAGAGGAAGGCGAGGACGGCGUCGGGCUUGGCGGGGGACUUGAGGUGGGAGAGCUUCUUGGAGGCCUUGAGGGCUUGAGGUCGGGUGAGGCCGCAGGCGUCGACGAGGUACUCCUCCACGGCGAAGCCACCGGGGUUUGGGGAAACGGGGGCGGCGGCUGCCGCUGCCGAGACGAGCCGGUGGAGAGGGGAGAUGGCGGAGGUGGAGGUGGAGGUGGAGGAGGAGAUGAUAUGGGCAAAGAAACGCUGCCGGAGACGGAGCAUGGCGCAGGCGGCGGCGGCGGCCGGCAGCAAGGAAGAUAUUUCCGAUGGGAUUUGCAAGUUUGUUUUUUUUAGACAAGCAAGGACUAUAGAUCUAAAAAAAAGGAGGACUUUGUUGGGCUAGUUUCCUACGCUGAAAUUCAGUCUUUUAUGGGCCUUACAGCACGUGAGUUUGUUUGUGUCUCCUCUCUCUUUGUUAUUUUUUAAGUUUUUCAAGAUCACUGGUUAAUGGUUAAGGGUACCUCACUCUCACUUUGUAUGUUGGUAACAAGUGGCGUAUCAACAUGUGGUUGGAUGCUUAGGAGAACAGUGGUAUUCUCUGCCCAUCGGACUUUAAGUCAUAAACUUGACAUUGAUGCUUGCGUAUUUCUGGAUUUAUUUCAGGUCUUUUCAUGACGUACGUUCAGUAAAAGGAGAUGUUUCCAUCGACUGCAAAUGCGUCUAUGACGGCUUUGUCAAUCUCAAGACAAUGUGCUAGUUCUGUCUCUUAAAGGUGGUCAUAGGAAGAUGAUGUGUGUGCGUGCAUUUAGAGAUGAGUGUAUGUGCGUAUGUAUGAGCGUCUGCAUUCAUACCAUGUUAAAAAAAGUGACGUCCUAUAUGUAUGAUACUUAUGGCAACCCGAGGGUUUUAUCUUUUUUUUUUCAUUGGUUUUCUCAGAAUGUUUUUUAUUUCUUCAACUGUGCGUACAAAUCACACACCGUUUUCACCACUGUGUUUCUCGUGUUGAGAUCUUUAAAACUAAUACUCAGUUUCAUAAUGUAAGACAUCUUUAACAUUAUGAUAAUAUCAAAAAACGUCUGACAUUAUAGCAUGGAGGUAGUACUGUUCAUGUUUGGAUGAAAUUCCUUUUAAGAAGAGACUGAAGAAAUUCAAAACUAAAAAAGAUAAAGAAAAUUAACAAAACAUGAAAACAAUGAAACCAAGAAACCCUAAAAAAAGUGUGAAAAACACAUAUGUGCUUUUUACUUUUGGCUGGAGUGCCUCAACGCAUGUCCGCUAGGGUCACAUUUAAAACUUGAAGAAUUUUUGUUUGACACAGUAGCGGGACACCAGGAUGUAAAUGGCGGGGGAGACCACUUGUUCCGCAUAUGCCGUCCAUUUAAAAGAGGCUAAAUGAUGUAUCUAGACUCCCAUUGAAAUUAAGUGAAAUACAUGAACAUCCCAUGAAAUUCCGCAUACACCAGUCGCAACCAGCACCAAAUCCUUUCUUAAGUUCUGACACCAAAAGUUCCGACGUCACCCAGCUACAACAAUAAUUCUACACGUGUUUCCACUCCGACACACGGCCCACCUUCCGCAAGCUUCAGUAUUGAUGUGCAUAUAGUACCAGCCGAGCUGCUUAGUGCCAACCGCUUCUCAUCUGCGCUUGGAAUCACCUACGACCACUCUCCUCAGGUUAAUUCCGUAUUAAGUGGUCAUAUGUGAAUGCCACAUUAGCCACAUAUAUAUUAAGUGGUCUUUGACAUAAUCCCGUAUAAACACUAAUGGCUAGCACGGGCAAGUCCCAUAUAGUCGAGUGAUCUUCCACUUACAUCCUAAGCGGGACCGUCCAUUAGCUGUGUCGCUCGACGGCUUCUCGCUUCGCUCGAUCGAUUCGUUCUGGUUUCUUUUUUCUUUCUUUUCGUUUACUGUUGUAUUUUUAUUCGGCUUUCUUUGUUCUUUCUCAGUAUUCUUAGUUUUUUUUUCUUCACUACAUUUUCUAUUUUCUUUUGUUAUUGCAACAUUUUUGGGUUUUAUUUCUUCAUUUAUACUCUCUUUUUCUUUGUUUUUUUCCUUCCAUUUUUUGGGGUUGUUUUGUUUUUUUGUUCUCUAUUUGUUUCAUUGUCGGAUUUGUCGCUUGUCUUUCUAACAAAUGUCUAGUUUUCUCAUAUAUGUUGUACAUUUUCCGUAUUCAUGUAAAACAUUUUUUAUACUUGUUUAUUUUUUUUGUUAUACAUGUUUAACAAUUUUACCAAAAUAUGUUUUAAAUACGUGUUAACUAUUUUUCCAAUAAAUAUUGAAACUCUUUUUGAUUGAUAAUAUACAUUUUUUAUAUCUGUGCAAUUUUUUUCUGAAAAUGUCAUGAAUAAAUUACUGAAACUUGUGAAUAUUUAUUUAAAUGCGACAUACUCCCUCCGUUCCUAAAUAUAAGUCUUUCUUGAGAUUUCACUAAUAGACUACAUACGGAUGUAUAUAGACAUACUUUAAAGUGUAGAUUCAUUCAUUUUGUUCCGUAUGUAGACUCCUAGUGAAAUCUCUUAAAAGACUUAUUUUUAGGAACGAAGGGAGUACAUUUUAAUGCAUGGAACAUUUUUUUGAGCUACAUUAACAUUUUUUAAUUGUCACGUACUUUAUUCUUUGAAAUGUGACAUUUUUUAGUUUUAACAAACAUUUUUAAUACACAUGAUAAACAUUUUUUAGUUUUCACAAACAUUUUUAAUACACAUGAAUGAUUUAGGUGGGUUACCAAAUCAAACAACCGUCUUUUACUAAGCAAAUCCUGCCCUCGUUAGUUAUUAUUUGAGAAUUAGACUAUGGGCUUAGAUGCCUAGCCCAAUGUACUCUACUAUCUUGGUUGGCCUAACUCCCGCACACCAUUCCGUGCGGCCUUGGGUCAUCCACAAUUUUGUUGCAGUAAUAUGAGUCACAACAGUGUGCCAUAUAUGACGAUCAACAUGACACGACGAGUUGGCGGCGGCACUCCGGGGCCUUCGACACCGUGCGAAUCCUGCAGGUUGUCGUCGACGCGCGCGCCUUGUGGAGCGCCUGCACGAGGCGUCUGUUUAAGAAAACGUUAUGACAAUUCCAUAUUUUUUCCAACAUAAAACACAUACUCUUAGAUGGAUCUAGGCUUUAUGCUUAGUGUGAGUAUGUGGUAACAAGCUCCGGAGCAUGCUUGUUAUGCUCGCCCAUGGUGGAAGGUUAAAUUUACAUGAAUUGUGCGCUAUAAUAACCGAGUGAAAGGACAUGAGAAAAUAAGUGGUGUGUUGAUUUAUCGUGGUUAUAGUAAAACACCUUUCACUGUCUUGCCAUAUGUGCACUGGCCAGUUUUUCGUCGCCAACAUAUUGAUUUUUUUAUAGUGGUUACUUUGAGUUUCCAAAUGUAUUUUGUGUGAGACAUGUAACACUCUUUGACCAUCCCGGCAUACAAAGAAUGAACACGGUAUAUACCGGACAUAAGACAUCUGGUUCAUACAUGUGGAUCUGUUACCUGCCGUCAACGUAUUAACAAGGCAGGGCAAUGCUGUCCAUGCACCACGCAUCUUUCCAAAACCUCGUGUCUUUAUCAUUCCGAUCCACGAACGAAACCUGCACUAAAGAAAUCCUGCUUAACUUGUACUCCCUCCGUAAAGUAAUAUAAGACGUUUUAUAGAGGUAGUACGUUAUCACAUGAGACAGAUUUUGAAGUGGGCACAUGCAAUUUGGAAGUAUGUUUGGUGAACACUUUUGGCGGCGACGACGCGGGCAGUUUGAAAGUACGUUCUUUUGAAGGGUUUUGAAAGUAUGUUCUAGAGAAAAGAGAAAUCCAGUUGUCACCUUCAGUAAGGGUCCAGCGUAAUCGUGGCGUGACAAGCAAUCGUACUUGGAGUGAGCUUCGUUGCAGUUUUGCUUUAGUCACGCCUGCGGGUGGACGCACGCGCGGCUCCGAUCGACCGUGGGAUAUAUAUGCUGGAGUAGGGUGGAAUUCACCAUCAGUUUCUUGUAGUGCUUCUCGUAGAAGAUCACGCAAAGCAGCACUCUUAACAAAAAAAAAAGCAGUUGCUUGAAGGGUCGAUCCAUUCCAUGGCGAACCUCGGGGCGUUAGCCUCACUCGCCGCCAUCGUCGUCCUCGCCGAAGUCGCCAUCCUCUCGUCGUUCGCGGCGGCGCAGCUUCGGCCGGACUACUACGCCGGCGUCUGCCCCAACCUGGAGGGCAUUGUCCGGGACUCCGUUAAGCAGUCCAUGGCCAAGUCCCCCAUCUCCGCGCCCGCCACCCUCAGGCUCUUCUUCCACGACUGCGCCGUCAUGGUAUAUGUGCUACACAUUGACGCAAGUAAUCGAUGGCUAUGGGCAAGACUCACCGGCACUUGCAAGCGUGCAGGGCUGUGACGCGUCGGUGAUGAUCGUCAGCCCGACCGGCGACGACUAUUCGCUGAAGCCGGAGGGCUUCCAGACGAUCCUGGAUGCCAAGGCCGCCGUGGACAGCGACCCUCAGUGCCGUUAUAAGGUGUCCUGUGCCGAUAUAAUCGCCCUCGCCGCAAGAGAGUCCGUCUUCCAGGUAGUGUUGGUCUAGCCAAAAGCUAUGAAAAUCGAUAACCAAGCUAUAGUGAAACAAAUUAAUAUCAUAUAUACAGAUAAACUUGACAAUUGACAUGCAUACAUAUAUGAUAUAUCAUGUAUACUUGACAGCCAUAACAAAGUAAACACUGGCAUACAGCCAAGUAUAGCAACAAAGCGUUGAACCAUAACAAAGGCAUAGCAGAAAGCAUCCAGCCAUAAUAAAGCAAAAGCUUGGCAUGUACUCCCUCCGUCUCAAAAUAACUGUCUCAACUUUGUAUUAGCUCUAGUAUAAAAUUGUACUAAGCUUGAGACACUUAUUUUGGGACGGAGGGAGUACUACUAUAGCUUUAGAGUGACGCUGAAUUGACGUCCAAAUUUAGUACUAACUCACACUAUAGCACAUUGUUAUCAACAAAAUCAGUUUAGCACAUAACACGUCUAGCUUUUGCGCAAUGGCCAGUUAUUCCAAAUAAAAUGCAGUAGUUGGACCACCAUCUUCCUUCGCCAUGAGACGGCCAUGCAUGAACCAAUGUGUUGCAGAGCGGAGGGCCGAACUACACGGUGGAGCUGGGCAGGUACGAUGGGAAGAUCUCGACGACGAACAACGUAACGCUCCCGCACGGCGACGACAACCUCGACAGCCUCAAUGCCUUCUUCUCAACCUUGGGCCUCUCCCAGGCCGACAUGAUCGCAUUAUCAGGUACGUGAUUCAGCUGAAAAAAUGUCAUCAACUUGUGAAUCUGAUCACGUCGGCCAACCAGUUGUUCACCAUCAUCUACCACCCCCUCAGGUGCCCACACCUUGGGCGCGGCGGACUGCAGCUUCUUCCAGCACAGGACCAGGGGCAAGGACCCGAGCAUGAACCCAAGCUUUGACGCGCAGCUCCAGGGCACCUGUGCCAGGCAAAACUUCGCAUUCCUGGACGACGUGACACCGGUGGGAUUUGACAACUUGUACUUCCAGCACCUGCAGAACGGCAGGGGCCUCCUGGGCUCCGACCAGGUGUUGUACACAGACGAGAGAUCACGCAGCACCGUAGACUACUACGCGUCCAACCAGGGCAUCUUCUUCUAUGACUUUAGCGUCGCCAUGACAAAGCUUGGCAGGGUAGGGGUCAAGACGGCCGCUGACGGCGAGAUACGCCGUGACUGUCGGUAUCCAAAUUAGAUACUUGUAUGGCCUCAGAAGAUUUCUCAUUGUCUCAACAUAUCGCUGUCUAUAAAUGGUGGACUAUAAAAUGUUUAAGGGUCAAUCCCAUAUAUGCCAUUGAAAGUUUACCCAUACCCUCAUAUGCCAUUCCAAAUUUUCCUCUCGCAAAUAUGUCACUGAAAUAUUGCACCACGUACACAUAUAUAUGCCACUACCGUCAGUUGAUUUGAAAAUACGAUUUUGCCUUUGGUAAUAUCCUGUGAUGAUUUAGCCAAAUGACUGAAUUUUGCAGUGUAGUAAAUAUAUCGGAACACGGGACCCGCUCAUAACUGCACUUCUAUGUGAUGAUUUAGCUUGCCAUUUUUAAUUUCAUAAUCCAUAAUCAAGAGAAAACAAGAUUUACCCAUUGUUAAAAUAACAAUUUCACCAUUUCAUAGGUUAAGAGAAGAACAGAUCUGAGCAUAAGAACUCGUCCAACAUAAUACUCCCUCCAUUUCCUUAUAUAAGGCAAGAAACUCAGAUUACAGGUAUCAAGGUAAAAAUUAAUGACUACUUUGCAUUUUAACUUUUCUUUUUGUUAACCGUGAUCAUUAAUGCGCCACAUACAUGCAAAGGAGGAAUGAGAAGAAAGAAGCUAAGUGAUGUACUCGGUGUAUUUUUUAGAUGACAUUUUUGAAUGCCAUGUGGAGCUCACUCGAGCGUGCUGGCAACCUAGCUCCGCGUGAAUAAGCUUUUUGCUUGGUCAACACUCAAAACAAACAAUGAAUAAACCAGAGCAUUGCCGUAAGCCAGGACUGGUUCAGCCACAAGUCAUACCCCCAGAUCCAUGGCACACACACAUAUGGGAUUUCGUGGAAGUCUUACCCAAGCCUUGGGGUUUUGAUGUGAUCCUUGUGGUUAUCGAUAAACUAACAAAGUUCGCCCGCCUUUUGUCUCUCAAACAUCCCUAAACAGCUCAACAAGUGGCGCUGUUGUUCUUUUAUCAGGUCUACCGUCUGCAUGGUAUGCUGCCGUCUCGGAUGAUUUCUCAUCGUGAUCCGGUGUAGACCAGUUUGUUCAGGCAAGAAUUGUUGAGGCUUUCAGAUACUUUGUUGAACAGGAGCUCGACCACACAUUGUGGACUUCUACGCGGCCAACCAGGGCACCUUCUUCUCCGACUUCGUCAUCGCCAUGACGAAGCUCGACAGGGUCAGGGUCAAGACGGCCGCUGACGGCGAGAUACACCGUGACUACGGGUACCCAAACUAAGGCUGAACGACCCGUGGAACUGCACUAGCUUAGCAGUGUUGGAAAAUAAAUGAGCAGUAAAAUCGUUGGAAUAAUGAUUUGCUUUACUUAAAAAAGUGAAUCUAAUCCCUUCACUUUAGUAGUUUAUUAUGUACAAUAUUCAGAGUAAUCUACCUAUCUUUUCUUCUUUUAUAAUCGGUAUGCUAUCUAUCUAUCAAUAUAUUGAUCCAAAAAUGCCGUUUAGAGCUCAGGCUACCGGGUAGCCUGAUAUCUUGUUUGUUUCGAUUGCCUCGUGAUGCCAACUUAUAGCAUGUUAGUCUUCUUAUGUUGAGAUUUUAGCACAGUCCACGUCCCAUAGCCCGGCCUAGAAGACCAACUUGUUUGGCCCAUAUUUCCACCUCGUCGAAGCACGUGGUAUGGGCCUGCACUUUCAUCUCACCGUCAGCACCAUUAGUCAUGGGAAGAGAGAGGGAAAGGGAGAGAGGAGCACGACAAAAUAGAGAGAAAAAGCAUCACACGUCGACACGACCAUGACUUGUUACGUACACUCCGACGGCGACAAGAGUAGCUUGUUAUGAUACAAAUGAAAGCAUCGCAUACACUUAGCUCACUCAAAUCUGCAGGAAGAACUCUCUCUUAGUGCCACAUCGACAAUUCAACAUUUAUGGCUUGUAUUAUGUAUAUGUACUUUCUUUUUUAGUUUUAUUAUUGUUUGAGAAACUAGCUAGUAGUAGCUUUCUUGAGCCAUGCUGAAUAGGUCUGUAGGUUGUCAAUAUUUGCAUUGAUCGUAUGCCUUAGCAUAUAUAGAGGACAUGGGCAAGGAUAUCUCAACCAUAUCCCCUAUACAAUGAAAGGAUCGGGAGAUAUCUGUAAGACUAGGAAAUAACAAACAUAAUCUUAGCUGCCUAAUGAUGUACACGUGAUGAUCAUGCUCAACAAGGUCAUCUAGCACGCUCUCUCUACUUGAUGGAUUCCAAUACUUGGUAAGUAGCUACACCCUACUUUUUAUUAAGAUCGCGCGAGUAAUAUUGGUUGGGAUAUUUUUGCAUAAAAGAUGGUGCCACAGUGGAGCACUAAGAGCGGCCUUAUUAACCAACGCUACAUUGGCCGGUCAAUAGCAUCCCAUGAUCAGCCAGCCUUUUCAUUCCAUGCUACUGAUCCUUCAAAAAGAUCAGCCAGCUCCACCUGUGUCGUGCAGUUAUAUCAGUUAACAACAUGAUCUAUACGGGGUAUUAUACGGACUCAAGUGUUGACACCUAACUCAACUCUUAAUCCGUGAUGAUCGAUCACCAUCACGAACAGGAACUCAAGCAAUAACACUAGUCAAUUAGCUAGCAACUUAGAAAGGACCCCUAUACAUGUGGAACGUGAGAUGGGGAGGUUCCCCCUUGCGAAUUUGUUCACUAUAGGGAAGGAAUGAUCCACGGGUUAUAGGGCGGAACACGCCCAAAUACUUAGCAACAACCGUGUUUCAUGUAGAAUUGCGAAAAUAAAAUUAAUCAUGGCAAACACAACACAAUGUCACAAACAUGACACAUGAUAUUAUCUUAGCUACUACACAAUGCAGAUAACCCAGAGUCUUGACGAUGUACGACAACAAUAAAACCUUGAACAGAAAACAAAACAAAAUCAUGUAGCAAUCCCGAGUAGCAAGUACUCCCUCGGUGUCCCAAUGUAAGUGUCGUUGCAAAUCAACGACAUUUAUUUUGGAACGAAUAGAAUACUAGUUAUUUAGUUGUUGCGGCCGGCCGUCCUAAUCAUAUGAACGAUGGUGCCGACGGCGGGGUAUUAUAUCAGUUAACAACAUGAUCUAUGCGGGGUAUUAUAAGGACUCAAGCAUUGACACCUAACUCAACUCUUAAGCCGUGAUGACCGAUCACCAUCACGAACAGGAACUGAAGCAAUAACACUAGUUAAUUAGCUAGCAACUUAUAAAGGAUCCCUAUACAUGUCGACCGUCAGAUUUGGAGGUUCCCCCCUGCGAAUUUGUUCACCAGGGGAGGAAUGAUCUAUGGUUUGUAGGGCGGAACACGCCCAAAUACUCGGCAACAACUUUGUUUCAUGUAGAAUUGCAAAAAUAAAGUUAAUCAUGGCGAACGCAACACAAAGUCAGAAACACGACACAUGUUAUCUUCGCUACUGCAUAGUGCACACUAGUAGAAAAUGGGUCUUUCGGUCGAAGCCCAAAACCAUAUUAGCCCCGGUUCAAACUAAAACCGGGACCAAUGCCAGGCAUUGGUCCCGGUUCGAGCUACCAGGCCCUAGCGGGGCAAUAGCCCCGGUUCGGUUCGAUGCAUUAGCCCCGGUUUGCGCCAAAAACCGGGACUAAAGAUCCAGCGACUCACACGUGGUGUUCCGCGGUGGUGGCAACCGUUCGUAUCCCCCUUUAGUCCCGGUUGGUGGCUCAACCCGGAACUAAAGGUCUGACACGUGGCCUGCCGUAGUGGUGGCAACCGUUGGUAUCCCUCUUUAGUCCCGGUUGGUGGCUCAACCCGGGACUAAAGGCCCAAACGGUUUGCAUCCCGCUUCCCAAACCACAACCGAAGCAGAGUCUCUGUCGCGUCGCCAUUUCUCUGUUCUUAUUCCUCUCUCGCUCUCGCUCUGUUCUUCCCCUCUCUUCUUCCCUUCUCUUCUUCCACCAUGCCAACUCGCUUUGGAGAGGUGCUCGCACAUGGCAAGACCAAGCUCGAUGUCGUGUACACGAACGAGAGCAGGGAGGUGCCACAUUUUCUUAGACAGUUGAAGGAACGAUGGCUUGAUGCCGCAGUGGAUCAUGAGAAGUUCUUGGGGCUUGAUCUGGAGUACACGGCCGAUCAACAUGGUGUUGCCAUCAUCCAACUAUGUUUCAAACACCAUGUCUUGAUCUUCCACUGGGCGAGGUAAGUUUUGAGGCUUUCUUUGAUCCAAGGUAAUGACAUUGUAAGUUUAUUUGUUUCNNNNNNNNNNNNNNNNNNNNNNNNNNNNNNNNNNNNNNNNNNNNNNNNNNNNNNNNNNNNNNNNNNNNNNNNNNNNNNNNNNNNNNNNNNNNNNNNNNNNNNNNNNNNNNNNNNNNNNNNNNNNNNNNNNNNNNNNNNNNNNNNNNNNNNNNNNNNNNNNNNNNNNNNNNNNNNNNNNNNNNNNNNNNNNNNNNNNNNNNNNNNNNNNNNNNNNNNNNNNNNNNNNNNNNNNNNNNNNNNNNNNNNNNNNNNNNNNNNNNNNNNNNNNNNNNNNNNNNNNNNNNNNNNNNNNNNNNNNNNNNNNNNNNNNNNNNNNNNNNNNNNNNNNNNNNNNNNNNNNNNNNNNNNNNNNNNNNNNNNNNNUGAAGGGGAACACAAUCUGAUUGGAAUAGUGUUCCAUAAUCUGAAAAAUCUUAUUAGAAUCAACUAGUGUUUAAUAUGUUCCAUUGGAAUCAUAGUUGGUUCGCUUCAAAUAGUUGUAGUGAAACAAUUUUGAUUAGUUGAAGGAAACACAAUCUGAUUGGAAUAAUGUUCCACAAUCUGAAAAAUCUAAUUGGUUCAAUAUGAUCCAAGGUUAUGAAAAUUGCAUAUAGCUAGUGAUCUCUCUAGGUUCCAUUGGAUAGCAAUAUGAUAUUGUCAUAAUCAUGAAAAUUGCAUAUAGCUAGUGAUCUCUCUAGGUUCCAUUGGAUAGCAAUAUGCAAUAUGUCUAGCUUAUUGAAUAUUUGCAAAACCGUGGGAGAAUAUAUAUAUAUAUGACAUAGUUAAUUUACGGUUUCUUGAUCAAUUCAUAGGAUACUAAAAUUGCAUAGGAUAGCAAUAUGUUCCAUUUGAAUCCUAAAGAUAAUUUUCUCUUUAGUUGUAGUGAAACAUGUUUCCUUAUUGCAGCAGUAUGUAACAUUUGUUCCAUUUUAAUUUCUUUCUGAUGCAGUAGUGACAAGCAUUGUCCAGAACUCAUGGACUUCCUUCGCAGCGGCAUCACUUUUGCUACCGUUGACAUAACGAACGACAAGCUGAAUAUGAGGUACAGCUUCGGUAUUGAGAUACCAACUUGUUGCCUCAUUGAUCUCCAAACGGUAUUCAGGCUUCGACAUGUCAGGACUUCGAUGGCUCAUGUGGCAGUUGCCUUGAUCGACGAGGAGUAUGGUAAUAUGAAGACCAAUUUCCCAAAGUCUCAGCACAAACUUUGGGAGAAGGUCCCACUUGAUCGUGUCAACAUUGAGUAUGCAGCAAAAGAUGCAUACGUUUCAUACGAGUUGUACCGCAAGAUUCGAGUCAUCAACUAUGGCCAGCGUCACCUCGAGGAAGGUGGACAUUCUGAUUCAGACGAUUCAGACGAGUAGUGUUCUCAACGUCGAACACUUGUAUAUAUAUCUAUGGUAGCUAUUAUUAUGUACUGUUUGGACUAGUAUCAUGUACUACUUGGACCAAUUUAUACAUGUCUAGUUUCUGUUUGUGCCAUUAUAGUUUCCAAAUUUGGAUGGUUUAGCCCUUUCUAACUUCAUUUGCUACUUUUGAAUGGUUUAGCCCUUUCUAACUUCAUGGUAUCAUGCAUUUCGACCAUAUAUAUAUAUACAAAAAGUCUUCAGUUCAAAUAAGUUCAAAAAAUGAAAUCCCUUUUGUAACAGAUCUGUUUUUGAUCAAAACAGUAAUUUUAAAAUGAAAGACCAUUAGUCCCACGUGGCGUGCAGCGGAACCACGUGGCGUGCCGUGAAACCACUUUUGUUGUGGGGGUCGCUUUUCCUUCUUCUCCUUGUGCUAGAUAUUUGUUAUGCAUUAGGGAAAGAAGGAAUAGCGACCAUCAUCGACGGUCGAAAAAUCAGGUGAGGGAGUGUCCACCAUACAUGAGAGAAGAAGAAUGCCGACUGUUGUUGUGGGGGUCGCUUCUCCUUCUUCUCUUUGUGCUAGAUAUUUGUUAUGCACUAGGGGAAGAAGGAGUAGCGACCAUCAUCGACGGUCAAAAAAUCAGGUGAGAGAGUGUCCACCAUAUAUGAGAGAAGAAGAAUGUCGACUGUUGCUGUGGGGGUAGUUUCUCCUUCUUCUCCUUGUGCUAGAUAUUUGUUAUACACUAGGGGAAGUAGGAGUAGCGACCAUCAUCGACGGUUGAAAAAUCAGGUGAGCUAGUGUCCACCAUAUAUGAGAGAAGAAGAAUGUCGUCUCUUGUUCUGGGGGUCGCUUCUCCUUCUUCUCCUUGUGCUAGAUAUUUUUUAUGUGCCUUUGAAUGGUGCAUUUUGAACACACAAAAAGUAUGGAGUUUAAAUAAGUUCAAAAAAUGAAAUCCCUUUGUAACGGAUGAGUUCUCGUUUGAAACCGUGAUACUUCGAGAGAGAUUAUCCGUUUUGUACACGAAGUGCAUCCAGUUUUUGCCGUAACCCUCUCAACUUUCUCGCACAUGCUAUGUGGGUGAAAUGAUGAUACCAUGCCAACUUGGAACCUUUUCAGAGUUCAUUUUCAAAUGCUUUUCAAUUUCAUGGUCUUAUAGCUCGAAAUAAUCAGUAAAUGCAUGAAAAAUAACAAAUGAAGUCAGAAAGGGUUGUAAAUUGAUGAUGUGGCUUUGAAUGAUGCAUUUUGAACACAGAAAAACUAUGAUUUCAAAUAAGUUUAAUAAAAUAAAAUUCCUUUGUAACACACGAGUUUCCGUAUGAAACCCUGAUACUUCCAAAGAGAUUGUUCGUUUUGUACACGAAGUGCAUCCAGUUUUUGUCGUAAUCCUCUCAACUUUCUCGCACAUGCUAUGUGGGUGAAAUGAUGAUACCAUGCCAACUUGGAACCUUUUCAGAGUUCAUUUNNNNNNNNNNNNNNNNNNNNNNNNNNNNNNNNNNNNNNNNNNNNNNNNNNNNNNNNNNNNNNNNNNNNNNNNNNNNNNNNNNNNNNNNNNNNNNNNNNNNNNNNNNNNNNNNNNNNNNNNNNNNNNNNNNNNNNNNNNNNNNNNNNNNNNNNNNNNNNNNNNNNNNNNNNNNNNNNNNNNNNNNNNNNNNNNNNNNNNNNNNNNNNNNNNNNNNNNNNNNNNNNNNNNNNNNNNNNNNNNNNNNNNNNNNNNNNNNNNNNNNNNNNNNNNNNNNNNNNNNNNNNNNNNNNNNNNNNNNNNNNNNNNNNNNNNNNNNNNNNNNNNNNNNNNNNNNNNNNNNNNNNNNNNNNNNNNNNNNNNNNNNNNNNNNNNNNNNNNNNNNNNNNNNNNNNNNNNNNNNNNNNNNNNNNNNNNNNNNNNNNNNNNNNNNNNNNNNNNNNNNNNNNNNNNNNNNNNNNNNNNNNNNNNNNNNNNNNNNNNNNNNNNNNNNNNNNNNNNNNNNNNNNNNNNNNNNNNNNNNNNNNNNNNNNNNNNNNNNNNNNNNNNNNNNNNNNNNNNNNNNNNNNNNNNNNNNNNNNNNNNNNNNNNNNNNNNNNNNNNNNNNNNNNNNNNNNNNNNNNNNNNNNNNNNNNNNNNNNNNNNNNNNNNNNNNNNNNNNNNNNNNNNNNNNNNNNNNNNNNNNNNNNNNNNNNNNNNNNNNNNNNNNNNNNNNNNNNNNNNNNNNNNNNNNNNNNNNNNNNNNNNNNNNNNNNNNNNNNNNNNNNNNNNNNNNNNNNNNNNNNNNNNNNNNNNNNNNNNNNNNNNNNNNNNNNNNNNNNNNNNNNNNNNNNNNNNNNNNNNNNNNNNNNNNNNNNNNNNNNNNNNGUUAAAAGAUUUUUUUCGUUAUAUUAUUGUUGAAUAUGUAUGUUUUUAUGUUCAUAUAUAUGCAAAGAUCGAAUAUGUCAAAAGGAAAAAAAUAAGAAGAGAAAGUGUUUAAUAUAAUUAGUUAGAAAAAUAAUAGAACUAUAGUUAAACUAGUUUAUUUUUAGUAAUUACUACUAUAUUUUAUUUAUAGUAAGUGCUUCAUAUAUAGUUGAACUAGCUAGUUGAUUUAAUAAACUACUUUAUUUUACUAUAUAUAAAAGUAGUUUGUUUUUGGUAAGUACUACUUUAUUUAUUUAUAGUAAGUGCUUAGUAGUUGAACUAGUUGAUUUAAUUAAUAAAACUACUUUAUUUAACUAUAUAUAGAAGUAGUUUCCGCAUCGACGUCGACUUGUUGUUAUAUAUAAUCGUGACACACUUUAUUUAACUAUGUAUGAUGAUAAUUAAUUAGUAGGACUUGUUGUUAUAUAUGAUGAUGCAUGAUGCGAGCAUGAAGAGUUAUUAUAUAUAGAUGUUCAAUUCUUUUGAUAUAUAUAGUGUGUCACGAUUAUAUUGUUGUUUACACACAUUUGCCACAUUAAAACAAGAAAUGUUUGACGAUGGAUAUUGCGAGUGUGAAUAUUGUGGCGACUCUCGGGGUAUAUGCGACAUGCCUCACCUGCGAGACGAUAGGUUCUUCAGCAUGAAGCUUGACGAUAACGGCGAUAUGUACCUCCCUUGCCAUGCAAGAAGAUAUGUGUUGGAGAGGCUCGGUUUCGAAGACCACGAGAGAAUUGAGACGAGGAGCGCUAAGCUGAGGACUAUACAUGAUCACACAUUUAUUAUCCAAGUAUUUAAUUCAGUUUUUCGAACAGAAUUUGGGUGCCCAAAGUGGGAAGAUCUUUGCAAGGCAUAUGGAUUUCAGAAGGGAAUGGAAAUCACCUUUGAUCUUCGUCCUAAAGAUAAUAUGUGAGACAACAUCGAUAUUUGGGUGGUUGUCGAUGAUAUGCUUCCUGUUUAUCUCUAUGUGAGUUUCUCAACCAUAUUUUUCAAGUAAUUUGCAUUUAUAUUUAUAAAUAGUUGGUGUAGUCAACCUGUUUUCCUCUCGCAAUUUACAUGUCAUGUGGUGUUCAUCGUCUAUUAAAACUUUGGCAACACGUUGCAGGUUCCUAGUUAUUGGACCAUAGUUAUAAUUAUAUCAUGUUACAUGUUGUACAAACAAUCACAACAACCCAAAUUGUCCUUUGAAUGAUCAUAGCACAUGUGGUCGUUUUGAAUGGUUUAUAUAAUGUCCACAUCUUGUGGACAAUUACAAAAUUUCUAAGUAUUUUUGAAACAUUAAAUUAUUAUAAAAUUUGGAUGGUUGUCGAUGAUAUGCUUCCUGUUUUACCUCCAUAUGAAGUAAUUUGCAUUUAUAUUUAAAAAUAAUUGGUGUUCAUCUAUAUACUAAAUUUGUUAAAUUAUAAUUUACAGCUUAUUUCGUUGCUUUGACUGAAUUACGAAAAUUAAUUGACACGACACACUACACAUAUGGAUCACAUCUAACUUGGAAGGAGAAGGACCAUCUUCUCCACUUUCUUGUUGCGGGUGUUUUGGCUUCUAGGGAUACCUUCCCGUAUCAUUUUGGAAUUGGCCAAAAUUAUUCAUUUGACAUGCCACUAGUGCAUAGGUUGAGUUCAGAUGACAUUUGUCGAAAUGUCUUGGUAAGAGUUUUCUAAUUAAGUACGCCCCACCAUUGCAUAAAUUGUGUUGAUUACAUUGCUAACUACUCCCUCCGUUCCUAAAUAUAAGUCUUUUUAGAGGUUUCACUAGUGGACUACAUACGGAUGUAUAUAGACAUAUUUUAGAUUAUACAUUCACUCAUUUUACUCCGUAUGUAGACUCCUAGUGAAAUCUCUUAAAAGACUUAUAUUUAGAAACGGAGGGAGUAGGUUAUUAUUAUGUUCUUCAACAGCAACUGCCACAUGAUGUAGUGCCUCCGUUAAUGGACCCAGAAGGUCAAAUGAGAAUUAGAAGCCCGCUGAAGGCUGAGGUCUAUGCUUCAUACUUGAUUAACUUCAAAUCAAGAUAAAAAAGACUCCAAAUUGAAGCAUGGAGAGAAAUAAAGAUGGUUCGCAAGCCACAAGCUGGAGACCGUUGGAUCUCUGUGAUUCAUCAUGGAGCCAUAUGUGUUAUUCUGUUUUAUGACAUUAUAUCUAAGAGCGAGGACUAGGUCUUAUGAGAGACAAGUUAUUCUAGUUUGUAUUAUUACUUGACAUGAUCGAUUAAUUAGGAUGCAUGAUGCAUAUGAUGACUAUAUAUAUAUUAUGAUGUUUCUCUGUUUUAUUUUAUGUGUAUCAUAUGAUAACUUUUUUUUUGAAACCUAUCAUAUGACAACUUGGUAUAUGAUCAAGUUGAUGAUGAGUUGUUAGAUGAUCGAUUAGAAUACUAUUGCCAUUCGACGAAAAUGAUAUGAAAUGAUAUAGUGUAAAAAGAUGCAUAUAUGUGCAUGUAACUCGUGUCUACAUUCUGUAAAUAUGUUCGACAAAGCACGACGGAUGACCAAGCACGGAGAUAUAUAAGAGAGAACACUUUUCUCUAUUAGCUAGCUAAUAACAAUCUAAAUUAACCACUAAACCAGCCCCUUUAAAAAAACCUCAGCUCCAGUCAGGUGCUGACGCGUGAAUGCCUUUUGGUCCCGGUUGAUGUCAUCAACCGAGACUAAACGCCCCCCUGUCUGGCCUGGCCGCAUCGGCCACGUGGAGGCCCACCUGUCCCGGUUCGUGUAAGAACCGGGACUAAAGGCAAAUGGCAUUAGUAACGACCUUUUUGUCCCGGUUCUAAAACCGGGACAGAAGGCCCUUAUGAACCGGGACAAAAGGCUCUUUUUCUAUUAAUGACAGAUAACCAAGAGUUUUGAUGAUGUACGAUAAAAACAAAACCUUAAACAGAAAACACAACGAAAUCAUGUAGCAGUCCCAAGUAGUAAGUUCUCACUCUGUCCCAAAGUAAGUGUCGUUGCAAAUCAGUGACACUUAUUUUGGGACGGAUAGAAUACUUGUUAUUAAGUUGUUGCGGCUGUCCUGAUCACAUGGGAGAUGGUGCCGACGGUGGCGGGCUGCUGCUGUCGUUCCCAUAGAACUGCAGGACGGUGUAGACAGUCUGCAUGACGGUCAUGCCGAGGAGGAAGACGGCGGCAGCAAGCGAGAGGAACGCCCACGGGCUCCUGAAGUAGGUGUGGAUGAGGUUGGCACGCCACAUGUUCCAUGGCUGCCGGAAGUAGCCGUUGACCUGCCGUUGCACGGCGUCGAGCGCGCUGUUGGGCUCGAGCACCACGUCCCUGGAGAUGGUGUUGAAGAGCUUGGCCACGGCCUGGUCGCUGCCGAUGGCGUUCUGGAUGAUCCCCUUGGAGCUCAGCAACGCCACGUCCUUGGCGGAGUCGAUGAUGUUGUCCAUGAAGAAGACGUAGCCGGUAACGUCGUUGCCGGCGCCGGCGUGUAGCCGCUCGAACGCCAUCAUGUUGAGGAACAUGUACUCGGUAGAGUCGUCCACCGACACCGUCGGCAUGCUCAGCGUGCCGCGCCGGAACCGGAUGUCGUGCAGGCUCAGCGUCUUGCUCGGCUUGAACUGGAUCCCGGCUUCGUAGAGCUCCACUGCUGACCGGAUGAUGGCAUUAUCGUCCACAUUGUCCUGUGGGCUCCGGAUUUUGUGGUGCUUACCAGUGAGCAUGCUCCGGCGAAACACAUCCAGCGGGUGGAGCCCUAGGCCGAUGCCCAGUGGUAGCCCGGAAGAUUGGGCUAGAAAUUUCAGCACCAUUCGGUUGAUGAAGUCAUCGUUCUGGUCAUCACCAUGGAUGCAAGCAUUCAUAUCGAAUAUAUUACUCUUGACGUAGUGCUACUAAAAAAGAGUAAUACUACACCUACAAAGGCUUACGUAAAGAUUUUACGUACAAACUGAUGUGUAAGAUUGUGAUUGGUAAUUGAGGAACGAAGGGCCCCACCCCCACUGAAAAUCAGGGGGGGAGAGAAGAGUUAGUUUGGAAGGUUAAGUAAACCUUUGUAAGUUUUUGUAUGUCUAGCAUUAUUGACUAAAAAAUGCAAGGGGAUGUACCAAAGCACACUUUUAAAAAAAAAUUGAAUAAAAAUGUAAAAUAUGAAAUACUCCUAAAAUUGAUUUGAAAUAUGAGUUGAAUUAAUUAAUUCUACACUACUAGUUAACAUAUAGGCAAGUCUAGUCAUGUUCUGAAGGUCUAGUUGCCAAAAUUUCAAAAAUAUAAAAGAGGGCACAAUGGCAGUAUAUAAGUUGCAUGAAUUUGCAAUUUAUAUAUCAAUAUCGUGGUACAAAAAUAAAGGGGACGAGGAGGAGCUAUGAGGCCGAGCCGGGAACAGGCCCCAACCAGAGGCUAGUUGAGGGUUGACUGGUGUGGAAGGUCGGAGAUGGGCUGUAGAGAAGGAAUGGUUUGAGGAGGAAGAAAGCUGCAAGAAGAAAAAGAAGGACGACCAUCGGAUCUUAAAUCUUAAUCCAACGGCCUAGAAAUUGAGUUACCCAAAAUAAAAUUCAAGGUGACUAACCUAUAAUUUGUUCUUUUUCAAUUAUUUCCGUGCGAUGUUCAUUGUUUCAAAAAAAUCUGUCUACAUUGGACAUCUAAGUAACUUAGUCAAACUAGGAAGGAAAAGAAAUAAAUAAAAGAAUAUGUUUGCUUGAAUCUCUGCAUAAAGUCAGUGAUAGGACAUAGGGCCAGUUUUUUGUUGGCUUCUAGAUAAAGCUGGAAUAAACCGCUUCUACCAGAUUAUUUUAGAAGCCAAAUAAGAUUUUUUUUAAAAGAUUAUUAAUGAAGACUUGACUAGUAAACUUCUAAAAAUAUAUUUUAGGUUGGCCUUUUACAAUACCCAAAAGCUAACGCCCACACGUGUGGGCAUUUGUAACUCGCCCACGCGCAUUCAUUAUCAUCCAUUUUACCAGGUCAAAACAGAUAACAUCAAUGAGAAUCUUUUUUGGUUUUUUGCUUAAAAAUAUUUUAUCUUCUAAUUAAAAAUCAUUAAAUCCAUCUCGAUGAGAUCUUCAAAUUUAGAUCGCAUGUUGAUAUGUUUUGAUGAAAAAAAAUUGACCAAAAGUUCUCAUGAUGUUUACAUUGUAGUUGUCAUAGUGUUUACACUAAAGUUGUCAUGACGUGUUCUAUCUACUUUUUUCUUUUAGAUUUAAAGGUAGCGUUAUAUUUUCAACUACUUUUUACGGUGAUUUUUAUUAAUUGAUUAUAGAAAUUUUUAGUAAUUAACCACGGUAAAUGCAAUGCAUAGAUCAAGGCAAUUCUUAGUAAUCCAUCAAAAUUUACUUUUAAAGGUAGAAGAGAAAAUACCUGAAACAUAUCAUGGCAACUUCAUGUGCAACAGAUAUGACAACUUGUAACCCUAAAAAAACUCGUCGAAACAUAUUGGUAUGGGAUCUAGUUUUGAAGAUCUCGUCACAACAGAUUUAAUGAUGAAAACGGAUUUUUAAUCGGAUUUUUCAUUUAACUGAAAAUAAAAAAAGAUUUACACAUGCAUGCAUGCGGUGACGUGACGCAAUCUAUGUGGUAUAGGUGCGUCGACGGAUGCUUAGAGAGCAUCUAAAUGUACUUUAGCAAAACUGUUUAAAAACCUUCUAUAGCAGUAUUAGAAAGUAUGGUAGAUAAUAAUUACCGGAGGCUUCCCACUCUCAACCUCAACGAGCUUCUGGAGCAGGAGCAGAGGUAGCUGGUUCUCAAGCAUGAGCACGUCUCGCCGGAUGUAGGGCACCAUGUAGAGUAUCCCAUGGGGGCUGAAAAUGGGGUCGUUGUUUGCGUAGUCGCCGACCUGCUUCCCGUCGGCGGCGGUGCACCUCAUCACCUCCAGCAGGAAGCAGCCGUCAAAGAUCAUCAUGGCCAGGAACCGGUCCCUGCCCCCGCCGUCGGCGCGGGCACGCCACUCGCUGUCGAGGUCCAUGUACGCCCCCUCCAGCUGCUCCGCGACGUCCUCCACGCCGUCGACGAGCUCGUCCAAGGUCCGCCCAGCGCGCCGGAGCAGCUGGCGCAGCGCCCGGUGCUUGUGCUCCUCCAUGGGCCGCAGGUCGCGGUCGCCGUGGUGGAAGGGGCCGAGCGACACCACCUGCGGCUGGUACGCCUUGCUCUUGAUGUUGGUCAUGCACGGCGGCACCCGGUAGAUGCAGUGCCGCUCCCACCGGGACGCCUCCGCCGGCCCCUUGUCGGCCUCCUUGAGCUUCUUCUCCACGUCCACCACCCACGUCCUCUUGCUGCUGCUGCUGCCGCCGCCGGCCGCCGCCAUUGUGAAUCGUGAUUGGGUUGAUUUAUGCAAGAUAUAUGGCUGCUAUGGCUAGGAUCGAUAGUAGUCGGAUUUAUGUACUGAUGUGUGCAUGCGUGUGGAAUUGUGGAUCUACGUAGAGAGAGAGAGAGAGAGAGAGAGAGGAGAUACGUUACUUGCAAAAGUUGCAUCGCAUGCCACAUUUCGCGUGCUAGACAGGUGUGUGUGUACAAAAAGAGAUUCAUGUCAUGUGCACGCACGCAUGCUGGUCCUAUUCCAUGGUCUGGUGCUGGUCCCCUGGUUUCACUCCAUAGUAACACGCAUGCAGUUUAAUACUACAUGAUUGCGAACCAAGGUGUGACUGAAUAGUUAGAGGGACAGUGUAUCUUAGUUCGUCAUGAUUCAAGUCCUGGUGUUCGCAUUGUUCUUGGAUUAUUUUAGAAUUUUUGACGAUGCGCGUUCAGUGAGAGGAGAUGUUCCGGUCGAAGACGAUGCGUCUAUGUUGACUUAGUAAAUUUCAAGAUGAUAUGCCGGCUCAGUCUNNNNNNNNNNNNNNNNNNNNNNNNNNNNNNNNNNNNNNNNNNNNNNNNNNNNNNNNNNNNNNNNNNNNNNNNNNNNNNNNNNNNNNNNNNNNNNNNNNNNNNNNNNNNNNNNNNNNNNNNNNNNNNNNNNNNNNNNNNNNNNNNNNNNNNNNNNNNNNNNNGCGUGUGUGCCUUCAUAGAAGUUAGUGUAUGUGAGGAGAUAUUCCCGUCGAAGACGAGGCGUCUAUGAUGACUUCGUAAAUCUCAAGAUGAUAUGCCGGCUCAGUCUAUCGGAGGUAGUCAUAGGGGUAGGAUGCGCGUGUGUGCCUUCAUAGAAGUUAGUGUAUGUGAGGAGAUAUUCCCGUCGAAGACGAAGCGUCUACGAUGACUUCAUAAAUCUGAAGAUGAUAUGACGGCUCAAUCUCUCGAAGGUGGUCAUAGGGAUAGGAUGCGCGCGUGUGUCUUCAUCGAGAUGAGUGUAUGCGCAUAUAUAUAAUCGGUUGCGUUUAUACUGUGUUAAAAAUAAUAAUACAUGAUCAUACAUUUUAUUAUAUUAGGCUAUAUGAUAUAUGGGUUGGAAGGUUUAGGCGAAAAUGUUCUUCCAGUUCUUCCCCACACGGCGGCUAUGGUUUCCGCGCCUAUCAACGCCGCCGUCGAUUUGUGUUGUCUCCUCAGAUCUUAGGGACAUGAAGGCGCUGUGGAUCCCGACCAUUGCCGUGGGAGGCUCCUACUUCAGUUUUAAGUGUUCUUUUGAGUUUGUUUUGGCUUUGUGCCCUGUUCCGGCGGUGCAUCUAGCGUCAUUGAAGGACGUGUGGAGGUUUCUUUCCGGCGGAUCUCGCGGAUUCGGUCAGCCUCAGUUUUUGGUGGAUCCACUUGGACAUGGUCUUUGUUGCUUGUGUUCAUACGUUUUUAAGUUGGAUCCUUCCAGUCUACAGUUCUCUUCAUCGAUGACAAUUGUUGUUCUGGUGUACUGGUCAUAUUAGAGCUUAGCACAAGGGUUUCCUGACUGUCUACUACAAUAAUGUUUGUCCGGCUCUUAUGGGGGAGGGGCGAUGACAAAGGCGCGCCAUCGGUUCGCUUUAGUGCUUGUAGUCAUCGCUGGAUGGUCUACGAUCCUAAAUGUAUUUUUUAUUUGUAGUCGUCUCUAGGUGAUCUACGAACCUAGAUGUAAAUUUUAAUUGUAGUAUUAUUUUUACUCUUGAUUGAUGAUGAACAGAUCGAAUCUCCCCCGCCCCCCCUUUAAAGAUUAUAUGAUAUGGAAAAUGAUUAAAAUAAUCCGGACGAUUCUACGCUCCGGGCCCACCGCGUGGAGAGCCAACCUUGUGUCUCAAAGAUAGGUAAUGUUGCAGUAGUAGGUCGACGGUGCAGGCGAAUUUUUUCCAAAACAUAACCUUUGUUACAUAUAAAAUUCUACAACAUAAUCUUUGUUGCAAAAGUAUAUAUACGGCACAACCUUUGUAACAAAUAUCUUCUGUAACAUUUGCAAAAUAGUUCCGUGACACAAUGUAUGUCACGAAAUUGAAGAAGGAAGCUCGGCAUUAGCAGAUUUGUGCCAGAUCUGAUGCCUCGGGAAAGAUCCGCCGAUGGGUAGCACUUCUAAUAUGAUACUAUAAUAUAUUCUAUUACUGUGAGGAAGGGGUCAUGGUCAAUUUUAUGUCAUUGCAUGUAAUCUUUACAGCUGCGAGAUGAUCGGAAGUUGCAGGCUUUAGGCAAAGGAGAGAUGAAGAUGCUACGGGAGCAGCUGGCCGGAGGCACGAGGAAGCGAGGAAUUAAUACGCACACGAAAGUAUAUGCUGUUCACUUGUUGGGAAUGGUCCAUGCAAGCGAACAUCUGAUCAGCUCUAGGACGGAGGCAUCAGGCAUCGCAUGCAUUUGCUUUAUGCUCCCUCAUGCGUGUAUCUUUUUGUCGCUAAUUUUACUACUCCCUCCGAUCUCAAUCUCAGUUUACAAGUAUGGCACAUGUACCUAGAUCGUUAAUUUGAUCAAUGUAAUGAGAGACACAUGUUACAAAAAAAUAUCAUUAGAAACUUUAGAUGUUGUAUUUUUUAAUGAUAUAAUUUUGAUGUUAAACAAUAUAUUUUAUAUAGGUUAAAUUGAUGAUCUAUAUACACGUGCAUGUCUUUUAAACUGUGACGGAGGAAGUAAUAUGUAACAUGAAUAAUAUGUCACAUCCAACCCCAUGCAUCUUCGAUUUUGGCGCCCUCCAUGAGUCGUAUCUCCUUCCAGCUCCUGGGGUCAGCUGGCGUCCCUACUGCUUCGGUCCCCGUGGCCUUGAUCCACGCUCUCUUCCAGAUCUUGGCUCGUCCAGGACUUGGCCACCGCUGCAUCCACAUAUUCCGUUCAACCAUGCAACCUCGCCCUCCUUCGGAGCUAGCACAUCCGGUGGCGCCCGAUGCCUCCUCGGCGUAGAGCAUGGCUCCUCAUUCGGCGGUCGUAGUUUCGGCUUAUGCCCGACUUCUCCGACUUGUACUCCGAUGGCUUGGGAGUGAUCCGUACAUGGCAGCGGCGGCACCCGCAUGUGUCGUCCCCUUAUUGAAGAUGCUGCCAUGGCCGUUAACCGUGCCGCACUUCGAGCAUUAGGGGAAACCCUAGGUCUGAUUUUCAGAUCGAAAGACGACAACAUCUUGAUGUCGUUCUUCUUCGUGAAGGCGUUGUCUUGUUUGCUCGUGGCGUCCUCGGUGCUAAAUGUGGAGAUGUUGGUCGUCUAGUUGUUGUUUGGGCUGCUUCCUUGGUUUUGCCACUUUAGCUGUGUUUUUCUUUGUUUGGGUCAAGCAUCUCAUGCUUCUCUGCUUCGGCAAUCAUGUUCAUGCCUCCUGCGUUCGUGCGAUGGGUUGUACCAUUCCAUGUAUUCACUCUAACUUCUUCUAUCAAUGAAAUGAUACGUGAUCUUUGCGUAUUUGCGGAAAAGAAGAUGUCACAAAAGUUAUACCUUAGAACAUUUAAAAGUUUCUAUUGAAAUACUUUUUUGUAAUAUGAACGGGCGGCAGAAAUUUUGGUCCCGACAUGAUGGAUUUUUCUUUGAACCCUACACGACGGAUUUUUAGAGGGUUAGUACUAGGUGCCGAUCGACCGGCAGAAAUUUUGGUCAUCUCCGGCCCACCGGUCCGAGUAGCCCACCAGGACCGCCUGAUCUCGUGAUUCGUGAAGAAGUGUCUUUCUGCACCCUCUAGGUCAACACCUGCCAAGAUGAAAAAUCCUGUCCUGCUCCAACCGACGCGCGAUGUGCUCGCCGUCAACGCACGCAUGCAACUCCGGUGAGAGCACGAAAGCGCCCCUGCAUCAACCCCUCACAGCGUCCCGCACUUGUUGAAAAGCUUGUCGACACCCUCGAUGGUCGCCGUCCACAACGCUUGGCAACCCCCCAUCCUCCAGCUCUUAUUCCAACAGGCAUGAAACAACAAAAAUGGUUAGGAAGAUGGAUCAACAAGGCGAGUAGUAGCAAAAAUCCAAAACGGUAGUAACAAAAUGGUGCAUUUGGUUCCACGAAAAAAGAAAACAUGAUAGCAAAAUUUGGGCUGGUUUCUAGCAAAAUCAAAGACGGUAGUAGCAAAAUGGUAUGCAUGUUCCAGUAGAAACAAAACAGUGCUAACAAAAAAUGGGUUGGUUCCAGUGACUGUCGCGUAUUAAAAUUCAGGAUGACUGUCGCGUGAGCCAUUGAUCUACAACACAAAUAUUUUUAAAUGAACUUAGACUAUAUUCAAGGUAAUUAAAGUUUAACUAAUUAAAUUAUUUGCUAAACUCUCACAUGAUUAAGGACUUGCAGUUACGAUGGACCAGAGCAAUCAUGAACGAUCACAGGCGUCACUAGUGGGCUUAUCCACAUGGCCUUUUUUCUCUUCGGCACGCGCCGUACGCUGUCCGUCCCGACAGGGCUGUCUCUGUUCAUCACCGGAAUUUCCUACUUGCCGCUCUCUGCAUUAAAAUGCCGGCGUGUCGCGUUUUAUUAGUUUUCUGCUUCUUCUUCUUCUUUUUUGUUUUUCUAUUUCUGUUUCUGCUUCUUUUUCUUUUUUCUUUUAUUAUUUUUCUGCUUCUUCUUUUCCAGUUUUUGCAAAGUUAUUUUAUCUAUUUUGAAACUAAGUUUAUGUUCCAAAAUUGUUCUUAAAAUUUGCAAAAAUUUCUUACUUUUAGAAAAAUCUCCUAAAUUUAAAAUAAUUGUCCUAUUUCAAAAGUUAUUCAUAGCUUUAAAAAAUAUUUGUGAUUUUCAAAAAAUGUUCUUGUUUUUAAUAAAAUGUUGGGAAUUUCCAAAGUUUGGUCAUUUCUACAUUAAAUUCUACUAUUUUCAAAUUUUGUUCAUAAAUUUUAAUUUUUGAUGGCUUUAUUUCAAAAAAUGUUCACAUUAUUUAAUUUUGUUCACAAACCAAAAACUAUUUGUUUUCAAUAAAGUUCCCAUAUUUCCAAGUUUAUUGGAAAUUCUAAAAAUGUUCACAUGUUUAAAUUUUGUUCAUAAAUCAAAAUAUGAAUGGAAGGUUUGAAAAAAAUGUUCCUAUUUUGAAAUUUUGUUCCCAAAUAUAAAAAAUGAUCAGGAACUUCAAAGUUUUCAGGUUUUAAAAUUAAGUUUUCAAAUUAUUUUCACGUUUUCAAAUAAUUAUGUUUGAGAAUUUAAAAAAUCUUCCCAUUUCAAUAUUUGUUCACCAAUUUUUUUAAAAAUUAUGUUUUCAGUUUUAUUGUAGUUUCAAUAAGUCUUUCCAUUUACAGAAUUGUUUGCAAAUUCCAAAAAAAAUUCAUGUUUGUAUUUUUGUUCGGGAGUUUCAAAAUAUGUAGGCAUGUUUUAAAAAUUGUGCAUGUUUCCAAGUUUACUUCGGGAGUUCCAAAAAAGUUCCCAUUUCUCAAAAAUGUUCGCGUAUCUACAAAUUGUUUUUGAAUUUGAAAAAUGUUUUAGUUUUGAAAAAAUAUUUAUGUUUUCUAUUUGGAAAAUGCUUAAAAUCAUUCGGCUGAUUUUUGGAACAAAUCAUCCGCUUUGCGGACGUCACGUCACGUGUUCCUGAGCCACUCCUUCCACUGCCUUAUCUCAAUUUCUAAGGUCGGCUUCUACCUCUCUAUCAACAACACAAAAUCCCCACCAUCGGCUAGAGCAACACAACACAAGCUCCCCACCGUCCUCCAUAGCACCAGCUUCGACCAGCGCACCGCGAAGCCGCGUUAGAACUGCACCGCUGCUAACGUGUUUGCUGGUGAGUGGUGACGACAAUAGAUGGUCGAAGCUGCUCAUGUGUUCUAAUGGCGAAGCAGGCGCAGCAGUAGAUGGAGGGGCUUCUCGAUCCGUCUGCACUAGUAGCAGCGGUCAGUGAGUUGGCGUCACACAGCUCACCACCGGCCUUGUACCAACGGUGUUUGUUGGUGAGUGGUGACGGCAACGGCUACACCCACCUGUCGCUGCCGGUGAACUGUUGCAGCAGCCCAUCAUCGAUGCGCUGCGAUGACGCUCCGCCGUGCUGAUGGUGACACUCCAGUGAAGCUUCGCCAUCGGCAAUCAGGUGCUGCAAUGGAGCUUUCAACAGGGGCAGCCAAUGCUGUGAAGUAGCACCAUCCGCAUGAUGGCGCGCUGCAAUGAAGCUUCGCGAGCGGCGUAGAGUGUUGCGCUGUAGGGCUGCCGCACCAGUGUGUCGCUGCAGUGGAACAUCGUUGGCGACCGUGAGGUGCUGCAAUCGAGCUUCGAUGGAGCACCGCCGUGCUGGCCAUUGUUGAGGAAAUCUUUAACUGGUACCUGGUCGGUUGGCUGACGACUAGGGAAUUAAUGAGUCAAUUAGCAAGUUAAUCGACCAUUUAAUCAAUUAAUUGGAUGAUUUUCUAUUUAUCGGCUACUCAGUGGCCCUACGAGUAGGGAUUAAUCUGCAAGUUAAUUGGUUAGUCUGAUGAAUUCUUGAACAAGGGUGUUGGCAUAUGCGCUGCAACGAAGCAUCACCAGCGGCGCCGGGUGCAGCGAUGAGACUCCGCACGCUACUGUGUCGCUACAAUGAAGCGUCGUUGAUGACUACCCGUGCUCUGAUGCAGCGCUCACGUGGUGGCUUUGGGUGCGGUGAGAUCGAAGCAAAAGGAGUGGGUCUGUAAUGCAAGGAGGAAGAAGUGCUAGGGUUGACCACUCAAACAGUCAAGAGGAAGGAAUCGAACGGUGAGGUCAGGCUGAUCGUACGGUUAGCGAGGCGGACUAAAUUUUUCUCGCAUCAUCCAGUUGAUUUGUAGCACUGGCCUUUCUAUCUUUGGGAGAUUUUAAAAAUUGUUCCCAUAUUAUAAAGAAUGAUCGCUUUUAAAAAAAAAACUUUAACUAAAAAAUGUUCACGUUUUCAAAUUAUGUGUCGGAGUUUGAAAAAAUCUUCCCAUUUCAAAAUUUGUUCACCCAAUUUUUAAAAAUGUGCAUGUUUUCAAUUUUUGUUGGGAGUUUCAAUAAAUGUUUCCAUUUACAGAAUUGCUUGCAUAUUCCAGAAAAUGUUUAUGUUUGAAUUUUUGUUCAGGAGUUUUAAAAUAUGUACACAAGUUUUAAAACCUGUUCAUGUUUUCAAAUUUUGUUCGAGAGUAUCAAAAGAUGUUUCCAUUUAACGAAUUGCUUGCAUAUUCCAAAAAAAUGUUCAUGUUUGAAUUUUUGUUCAGGAGUUUUAAAAUAUGUACGCAAGUUUUAAAACCUGUUCAUGUUUACAAAUUUUGUUGGAGAGUCUCAAAAGAUGUUCCCAUUUUAAAACAAAUCGUGUAUCCAAAAAAUGUUUUCGAAUUUGAAAGAUGUUCCGGUUUUGAAAGCACAUUCACGUUUUCUAUUUGUUGGAGAUUUUACAAAAAAAUCCCGCUUGCAUUUUUUGAAUUGGUUGAGUUUAUUCAAAUUUUAUUAAACAACUCUAAAAGUGUUUGCUGUUUCAUAAAACCUUCAUGUUUUUUUUCUCAAAAUAAUGUUUUUGCGUACAAAAUAUUAAAACGUUCGGAUAUGUGCUCGAUUUUAUUCUUAAUAUUAUGUGCUUCAUUAUAAACAAGGUAGCUCUCAGGCUUGGCUGGCUAGGUAUAUUGCUUUGCAACUGCUUUGAAGUGUUUGGUCUCAGGUUUCAACCCUGUUUAGAGCAGUUUUUUUGUCGAGCGCUGCGGUUUUUCGUUCGGUACUUGUCACUAGUGACAUGGGCCGGCCCUAUCGGAAGGCUCGCCUGUGUGUGUGGUCGACAUUUUGCCGCAAAGAGCGUCAUAUAGGACCUCCCUUCAUCACCGGCCACUCCGUCUGGGCCGGGUUCAACUGUGAUGGCACCGCCGAGUCCAACCACCACGCUGCCAAAGAGCUGGUGCAGCCACAUAGCAUUAUUGAGUGCCUCUGCAGGAACAUGAACAUCUCCAUGUACGUAAUAAUUAAGCUCGCAUCUUUGAUAGCUCGGAAGCUCAUCACAAGUAUGGUUAUGCAGAGAGGCUGAAGGAUUUGUCAUGGUGUAAUUAGAGCUCUAGUAAUUCUUCUAGCAUAUAUACUUACACCGAGUAUUAAUUUUUCCGAAACGUCUUUUUUUUUGUGGUAAAGCGAGAUUUCUAUUAACUCAAGGUGGCAAGUUAGCCCACAACCAGUUUUACAAUGUCACUCAUACCCGAGCCCAACCAAACAGCAGUGCGAGGAGUACUUGUACCGUAUGCAUCGAUCAGGAGCAUGACUCAUUGUAUUCUGCGAGCGUCUAAUAGCAGCAAUCAAAAUGUCCCUAGGGUCGUCCGCAAUCAUCCUCUAGAUGUCCGUGCUGAGUGCACACGAUCGUGAGCGUUCAACAUCAUGACCACUUCAGUGUUGUCCAUCUUAACAGCCAUGGGACGAUCUGUGCGGAGUAGGGCAAGCUCGAGUCCUUCCCUGGACGCCGCAAGUUCAGGAUGUGGGCUAUUAUCACAUGUGACGUGAGGAUCUCUCUACAGGCGGUAAAUAUGAUUUCGGUCCCUUCCGAGCGCAACAUCAUGCCGCCCUCGGCCUCGCCUAUAGCUGGCACGUUGCUACCAUCAACAUUCAACUUGGUGCACCUAGAAAGUGGUACCUCCAGCGCAGCUCUUCCUUCUGCUUCACGGUGGGAGAGCUAGAAACAGCUCCCAUCUGAACAACCAUCUUGCCCUUCAUCAUGUCUCCUUGUGGCCACUGAUGGAUACACAAAAGAGAGUUGAUAUACCCAUGGAGGAAUCUGCAUGAAGCUUCGGUCCGUGGAGGGAUCUUCCCAUGGGUUACUUCAUUGCGCACGUACCACACACGCCACAUGAUCGUAAGCAGCUCCAGCAGCGAGAACAACCAUUCCGGGCUUGUAUUGAUGAUGCUCUCCACCGUUGGAAUAUAAUGGUAAUCGAUCGUAUUCGUACAGAGAUAGGAUACAUAGAGGGUGUUUGUUUAGGCGACGAUCGGAUUCCCUCCCCUCCGCGACUCCGCGCCGGAGCGGAGUGGAGUCCAGUUAAAUUUUUUGGAGCUGGUCCAAGCUCGCUCCGCUGGCUCCGCAGAGCGGAGCAUUGCCGAACAGUGUCUUACACUGGUGGAAAAAGGGCCUUUGGUCGCGGUUCGNNNNNNNNNNNNNNNNNNNNNNNNNNNNNNNNNNNNNNNNNNNNNNNNNNNNNNNNNNNNNNNNNNNNNNNNNNNNNNNNNNNNNNNNNNNNNNNNNNNNNNNNNNNNNNNNNNNNNNNNNNNNNNNNNNNNNNNNNNNNNNNNNNNNNNNNNNNNNNNNNNNNNNNNNNNNNNNNNNNNNNNNNNNNNNNNNNNNNNNNNNNNNNNNNNNNNNNNNNNNNNNNNNNNNNNNNNNNNNNNNNNNNNNNNNNNNNNNNNNNNNNNNNNNNNNNNNNNNNNNNNNNNNNNNNNNNNNNNNNNNNNNNNNNNNNNNNNNNNNNNNNNNNNNNNNNNNNNNCCCCCCCCCCCCCCUAAACCUGUUUUCUGUUUAAUUUGUAUUGUUUUAUUUCUUUUGUGCUUUAUUUUAAUUUUGAAGGAGUUUCACAUAUUCUACGGUACUACAUACAUGCAUAUGAAUGUAUAAUUUCAAACAAAUUUGAAAUUAGAACCAAAAAGAAUUCAAGAGGAAUAUACAAUAUAUAUUCAAUAUCAUCGGAUGACCAUAUACAAUUUUGAACAAGUUUCCAUACAUAAUUUAAUGCAUAUAAAGUUCUACGUCCUCGUAAUGGUGUUCUCCUUUACGAUGGAGGACUUCCCUCCUGAACCAUCCAGCUAGUUCCUCUUGAAGUGGUCGGAAGCGAGCUUCUGGACUAAGCAUCACCCGGAGGUUAUUCCGCUGAGCAUUGGUAUCACUCGGAACCCGCUCAGAGGUGUAUCUCCGGAUCAUCUCACAGACAUAGUAUCCACAUAGAUUGGUCCCCGCUGGCUGAAUAUCCCCACCAUUCUUAGCCUUUGACCUUUUGAAUUCUAGCUCUUUUUUGAAUUCACCGACCUUUGUAUCUACGAACCGUCUCCAAACCCUACGAGGCAAAGAAAAUUAAAUGAACAAGAGAGUUAUUAGUUACUUGAUAUUAGGAAAUGAACGAAAUAGGCCGAUCGAUAUAGAGCGCAAAUGAAUGAAAAUAAUUACUUCUGCAGCAUUCUUCUCAUGCCGCCCCAAAGCUUUGGAUCCAUAUUUAGAGAGUCGUGGACGAGACAUUCUGAGGUGUCAACUUUAAUUACUAGCAGAAUCCAGUGGAACCUGCGGACACGAUACAUGCACAGUACGUCAUGCAUAACUCAUUGAUUAGCCGGCCACAUACCAUGCAUGGAGUAAACAAAAGAGAAUGUGCUCAAGACAGAAACACUCACCCAAAAUGGUAAGGAAAUAGAAUAUCACUUUUGAGUUCCUGCUUUGUAAGAAACCGCCACAGGUCUGCCUCCAUGUCGGCGGGGUAAUGCUCCAACACAUAUCCAUUAACGAUGUGUGGGUCAAUGAACCCAACAUCAUGGAUGUUCCUUACUCUGCAUUCCUUAAUCUUCAUUCUGCAUGUAUAAUAGCGGACACAACAAUAUAGUUACGACAUAUAUAUAGUGCAGGCAAUAUGAACGAGAUGGGGUAUAAAUAAAUCACUUACAGAACGUAGCAACUGAUGAUAGAUUUGUCGAGCUCGCGCAGAUUGAAAAGCUGGAACAAUUCACUCAGAUGAAUUUGUACAUAGUAAUGUUUGAAGUGAUGCUCAUAUCUAACUUCCGCAUAAAUAUAAUCUUUGGCGUUUUUAUUUUUUAUGUAACCCUUGUACCGAGGCCGGCCGGCGUCGUUGAGGGCGAGCGAGGCGGCGAGGGCGGGCGAGCGAGGCGGCAGUACCGAGGCCGGCCGGCGUCGUUGAGGGCGGGCGAGCGAGGCGGCGCGCGCGCGGUGGGCGAGGGCGACGGCNUAAUUCAAUUCAAAAUGUUAAAAAUACAAAUAAUAUAUCAAAAAAUUCAGAAAAAUAAAACUAAUUCAAUUCAGAAUGUUAAAAACACAAAUAAUAUAUCAAAAAAUUAAGAAAAAUAAAACUAAUUCAAUUCAAAAUCUUAAAAAUACAAAUAAUAUAUCAAAAAAUUAAGAAAAAUAAAACUAAUUUAAUUCAAUAUGUUAAAAAUACAAAUAAUAUAUCAAAAAAUUCAGAAAAAUAAAACUAAUUCAAUUCAAUAUGUUAAAAAUACAAAUAAUAUUGUAUCCCUUAUUUGACAGUCCCGAAAGGUUACUAAGAGCAGGCCAAUCGUUGAUGGUUACGAAAAGCAACGCUCGUAGGUCAAAUUCCUCUUCUUUGUGCUCAUCCCACACACGGACACCAGGUCUGCCCCACAGCUGUAAAAGUUCAUCAACUAAUGGCCUUAGGUACACAUCGAUGUCGUUGCCGGGUUGCUUCGGACCUUGAAUGAGCACUGGCAUCAUAAUGAACUUCCGCUUCAUGCACAACCAAGGAGGAAGGUUGUAGAUGCAUAGAGUCACGGGCCAGGUGCAAUGGCUGGAGCUCUGCUCGCCAAAAGGAUUCAUGCCAUCUGUACUUAGACCAAAUCUUAUGUUCCUUGCGUCAGCUGCAAAAUCUUUUAACUCUCUGUCGAUCUUUCUCCAUUGCGUUCCAUCUGCGGUGUGUCUCAACUCCCCGUCCGACUUACGGUCCUCUUUGUGCCAUCGCAACAACUUGGCAUGCUCUUUGUUCCUGAACAGACGUUUCAACCGUGGUAUUAUAGGAGCAUACCACAUCACCUUGGCGGGAACCCUCUUCCUGGGUUUCUCGCCCUCAACAUCGUCACCAGGGUCAUCGCCUCUGAUCUUAUAACGCAAUGCAGUGCAUACCGGGCAUUCAUUCAAAUUCUCGUAUUCACCGCGGUAGAGGAUGCAGUCGUUGAUGCAUGCAUGUAUCUUCAGAACCUCUAAACCUAGAGGGCAGACAACCUUCUUUGCUUCGUACGUACUGGCGGGCAACUCGUUAUUCUUUGGAAACAUAUUCUUCAACAUUUUCAGCAAGUUUUCAAAUGCCGAGUCAGCUACACCUGCCUGUGCCUUCCAUUUCAGCAAAUCCAGUGUGCAGCCCAGCUUUUUCAGACCAUCAUCGCAUCCGGGGUACAACGACUUUCUGUGAUCCUCUAACAUGCGAUCCAAAUUCUCCCUCUCCUUUUCAGUUUCGCAGCGUCUCCGUGCAUCAGCAAUGGUCCGACCAAGAUCAUCAACGGUCUCAUCACGUGCCUCUUCUUCACCUUCACCUUCCCCUUCACCUUCCCCUUCACCUUCAGCAUCCUCCAUGAAAGUAUCACCGAAAUGAGCAAGAUAGCUUUCAUCCAUGAAAUCAUCCCCUUCUUCAUCUUCUUCCAUUAUAACCCCUCUUUCUCCAUGCUUGGUCCAACAAUUAUAGCUUGGCAUGAAACCGUGCCGAAGCAGGUGCAGGUGAACUUCUCUUGAGGAAGAGUAACCCUUCUGAUUCUUACAGUCAACACAUGGACAGAUAACAAAACCCUUCUGCUUGUUCGCAUUAGCCACUACGAGGAAAUCUUUCAAACCCGUAGUGAACUCGCGGGAGAGUCGGUUACCGUACAUCCAUUGCCGAUUCAUCUGCAUUAUUAUAAUAUAAAAUAUAUAAUUAACCAUCAUGCAUUUGUUAAACUAACUAGCUAUAAACAAUAGAAAUUAAACAAUGAACAACACACAUGCAUAUUUUAUCAAUGACACACAUGCAUGAAAGGUUCAAGUUGCUAACCGCGAUCGAGGAGGAAAAAAUAAAUGAGGAACCUCAAGUGUGGCUCCAACACUUCAUAUCAUGUUUGUUUCACGCUCUUGGGGCAUUUCAUCAAACACCUUGUGUGCAUAAGAGGAACCAAAAGCAAACCUACACCCCCUUGUGAAGCUUGUGAAGAGAAGUGGCACCAAAUGGCUAAGUGAGUGUGCUGAACUGGUAUCUAUAGGGGAGGAGAUUUAGUCGCGGUUGGCAUGGCAAACCGCGACUAAAGGCCUUUGGGCACCUUUAGUCGCGGUUGGCCUGGCCAACCGCGACUAAAGCCCCUCACGUGCACCAGCUGGCCACCGAGCGCCCUGGCCCAGGCCUUUGGUCGCGGUUCGUCUGCCGAACCGCGACUAAAGAAAUCAUUAGUCGCGGUUCCUACAGUGUCGCGACUUAUGGGGCUGGACGGAAGCCUCUUUUUCUACCAGUGUUAGUCUUAAUUUCUGCUUGGGGACUUUUGUAAUAGGGUUUUUUUCAAUGUUUUAAAUAGCGGGCUACGGCUAAUAGCGGCGAGCCUCUAAAUCAGCUAUAGCGGCAAAUUUGUACAUGAUACCAUUUAGCGGCACCUUGCUGAAAAGGCUAUAGCGAGGCUAUAGCGGGGCUAUAGCGGGCUAUUUAAAACUAUGGUUUUUUUUGCUUAUAAGACAAACUUUGAAAGCCAAAUUGAAAACCAAACACCCCCGUAAUUCACCCUUGUCCUUGGGGCUUAUAGUCAGGCAGAAAGUUUCUGUGCGACAAUCAUAUAUAUGGAGGACUUGCAUUAAUCUUGUGGCAUUGUGCCGAAGUCAUUCAUUACAAAUACUGUAACAAACAGAUGAAAGUCAUUGCGCUUACACAAAACAAAGAUAUUAUGGAACAUCAACCCGAUGGUAAAUGUUUCAAAAAAAAAAAAAAAACCCGAUGGUAAAUAUAAGCACCGGAAAACAGUUAGUUGAUUGCUGCCGUAGAUGGCCGUUACGCCCAGCAAUUCUGGCUCCUUUUUCUGCAUCCACGUGGACAUGAAGGUGGCGGUCGGGAGAUCCGUAUAACGUUUGUUACUGGGCGCCGGCGGCGCCGGCAAUUGCGCCUACGGCGUCAGCAGCGGCGUCCGUGGCAGCGGCGGCAGCGUUUGCAGCCGAUUCGGCCGCGGCCGUGGCAGCGUCCGCCGCCGCCUGGGUCGCGUGCUCGCCGGCCUGCAACGUGCACACGGAGAGCAGUCACGACCUGCACCACAAAGCCACGAGAUGAAAACGAAAUGCUGGACGCACCUCCUGGACGGUCUCGGCGGCGCGGUGCGCCUGCAUCUGCCCGCUGUCGGCGGCGGCGGCGGNNNNNNNNNNNNNNNNNNNNNNNNNNNNNNNNNNNNNNNNNNNNNNNNNNNNNNNNNNNNNNNNNNNNNNNNNNNNNNNNNNNNNNNNNNNNNNNNNNNNNNNNNNNNNNNNNNNNNNNNNNNNNNNNNNNNNNNGGUGUCAUGGACGGCCCCGGCGGCGUGGCCCGCCUGGUCGUGUAGCUGGGCCUCGGCCUGGCCGGAUUCGAAGGACUGCUUCAUGUCCGCCAUGGUAAGGUGAUCGAAGGUUGCUGCGAGUGAAAAGGAAGCUGAGAUGGAAAU
rnacentral:lncRNA from 1 species